rnacentral:lncRNA from 1 species
GGUGGUGGUCCUGAUCUUGCACCAAAUGGACGGGGUAUGAAUUAUGGUUUUCAACCACCGAUGGAUCCAGUUUCCAGGCAUGGACCUGAGCCAGCACUUCUACCCCCAGAUGCUUCACCAACUCUAUAUAUUGAAGGUCUGCCUUCUGAUUGUACAAGAAGAGAAGUGGCUCGUAUCCUUUUUGUUAUGAUGCAAUGCUUUGGAAUUUUUUCAUUUUCUCUUUCAUCCAUGUGUCUUGAGCUUUGUUUAUUUUAAUUCUGUUAUACAUAUUCCUUAACGUCGUCUUUAGACAUUUUCCGUCCGUUUGUUGGAUAUAGAGAAGUGAGACUUGUUAGCAAAGAAGCUAAACAUGUAAGUCUAUCGUUUGUUAAAGUUGUCUUCUUAUGUUGAAAGCUAAAAUGUCCCCUUUAUGCUAAAAAGCCUUUUUAUUGCAGCGUGGAGAUCCUCUGAUCCUUUGUUUUGUGGACUUUGCAAAUCCAGCUUGUGCAGCCACUGCUUUGAGUGCCUUGCAAGGUAUUAUUUCUAUAACUACCUGCUUAUAGAUAGCAAGUCAGUUUAUGAUUCAAAUAGCAUGAAAAUGACAGUAAUCUGCGUCUAAAGGUAAUUAGUUGUUGUUCAAUAGAAAUCUGUUACGAUUCAAAGGAAAUACAUGUCAUAUAUGUAUUAUUCUAUUAUUAUUAUGCAGAUUUUGAGUAUGGGUCAGAAGCGAUAUUUUGAGUCGCAUCACAUCGUUACAUGUCAUAUAUGUAUUAUUCUAUUAUUAUUAUUAUGCAGAUUUUCUUUCCAUUUUCUCUUUCCGUACCAAUAAUUUCAACAAAAUAUUUUUGUCAUUACUAUCAUUGAUAUCUUGAAAUAUCGAUUUUCCAUUUUACAACCAUAUAGUUACAUCCUUGUUUUUACCCCCUUAUAUUCUGUGAAUUUAAGUUCCCAUUUUAUAACAAAACAGAUCGUCCAUAUUGGUGCAAACAAAUUUGUUAUUUAGUGAUUAAUGGAAAUUCAGGUUCAGAAAACGAAAGAUGAUUCACUUUUACUGUUUAAUCUACAAUGGGAACCUCAUCGUUCCAGACAUGAUAUGCUUAUUGCCCUGUACUGUGCUCCCAUGGUUGGCAAAGCUAACAACCAUAUCCAUUAUUUUCAUAUUCAUUCAUAAAACUUAUUUAUGAGCUCGAUGCUUAGUGACAUUUUGAGAUACUUACUCGUCUUAUGCUAACUUUGUGGUUUGUACACAGGCUAUAAAGUCGAUGAAAUCAAUCCCGAGUCUAGUCAUUUGCGGCUUCAGUUUUCUCGAUAUCCAGGUCCAAGAAGUGGAGGUGGUCCAAGAAGUAGUGGACCUCCCAGAGGUGGACAUGGAUCUCGUGGUAGGAGGUGACUCACAUAGCCCAGUUAGGAUUUACGCUCAUAGGAAACGUGGAUGGUCCGUUUUAUGGGCUUGAAUGUUCGCUGGUCAUUUUACUACACAAACGCUUAAUUUUAUUUUACUUAUGGCUACAUUCCUUGUUUAGAGCCCUUGAGAUGCACAAAUUAUUACCAGGCAGAGAUCAAAUAGCAAUUUCGUUUUAGCAAAACUAGCAAAAUGGAGAUUUUUGGUUGUGUAUUAUUAUUAUUUGCUAAAUUGAGUAUGAUCCUGAAGUUUAAUUUAUGUUAGAGUUUACUUUGUGCUGACCAAUUGUAUUGUUCAGUUAUGAUAUUUUUUUGGUUUUUUUUUUCUUCCAAUAUUAUCUAUUUACUUGGUAUGUGCUACAGAGAUAAUGUUGUAGGUUGAAGGACCUAGUUUAUAGGGAACCAUUGUCCCCUGAGAAUCAGGAUAGGGAUUGCUUCGGGGUGCCAACCUAGUUGUGAUGUCGACGUUUCUCCUCGAUGCCUGUCCUUUCUCUUGGCUUAUAAAAAAAAAAAUUUCCACCGAGAAUCUGAGAUGUUGUUGAUAAAGGAUGAUUGUGCAAGAUGUUCUCGAUUCAUGUUGAGUUUAGUGGUUAAUUGCAUAGAAGAAAUAUGAAUUUGUUCUUGAUCCAUACUCUGAUUACAAGAAGAAACUCAUUUUGUUACACUGAAAGCUAAGGACAUGCUUGCUUGUUAUUUUUCAUAAAAUCAUAUUUUUAGUAAAAAAAUGAAAGGAAAAAAAAGAUUCAUCAAGCUUUUUGAAAAUUUUCCAACUUUCACUUAGUGUUUUCAUUUUUCCAACAAGUCAAUAAAUAAUAUUUCUUGUCGAUUUCUUAAACUCUUUGUUGUCAAUAUGUGUGUGUGGAACUCUAAGUUUAUGUUUUGCUAGUUUUUUUAUAUUUUUCUUGCAGCCCUUUCUGAAACUUCAUUGCACAAAAAUGAAGGAUUACAUGAUUUUUUUUUACAAUACACCCCAAAAAUAUCUGUAAUCUAAGUUUAUGUAUGUCUCAAAAUUCAAAUUUUAAAGAUAUAUGUUAAUUGAUUUUGCAUAGAGUAUGUAAACUGAGUUUAUGCUACAUUCCUUAGAUUACGCAUGCUACGUAAACUUAGUUUAAGUAAACUAUACAGAUUCAGUUUACGUACAAAGAAUAUAUAAACUCAGUUUACAAACAUAAAUUUAAUUUGUAAAUUUUGUUACAAGAGUAUUUUGAUUAUUUUGAGGUGUAAUCAGGAUUUUUGUGUCACUAGAAAUUAUCAUAAAACUUCUUCAAGCCGAAGGCAGCACCCUGCUGUCAAGCUCCAAAAAAACCCCACUGCUACUUCCAGAAGCGCAAAAACCACGAAAACAAUUGCAGGAACAACCUGCAAUCCCACUGCCGAACAGAAAUAGGAGAAUGACAGCACCCUAAAACCUGCGCAGCAGGAGGAAUAGCAGCAGAACAUCAUGGUAAAACCAUCAGUCAUCUCAACAAACAAUCCUGUGGACUCCAUUCCCACUCGUAGAACAUAUAAGUCGUAACAUUUAGCCUUCCCAACAACCACCUCCAAGACAACACCUUUAUAACCUCAAUAAAAUUCAAUUUUCAUAAGGGCUCUGUUUGGUAAAAAUAGCGGAUAACUGAUAAACUAGCUGAUAGCUGAUAGCUUAUAACUGAUAGCUGAUGACUGAUGGCUGAUAGCUUAUAGCUGAUGAUCGUUAGCUGAUAAGCUAACUAAAGUGUUUGGUAAAAUUAACGGUUCAACUAGCUGAUAAUGGUAAAUUUACAUAAAAGGACAUUUUUUAUUCAUAAUAAUUUUUUUAAGAGUUUAUAAUACAAUCUAUACCAAUUAAUAUUUAAGAUGUUUAGUCAUUUAAAUUUUUUAUUAUAACCAAUACAUAUUUUCUCUAAAAAAUUGUUUUAAGUUUAUUUCAUUCAAUUUUUAUAAUUUAUGAAUGAUUAAAGUAUAAUUUUUUUUUCUAUAAACAAAGUAAAAAAUAAUCAUCGACAAGAUUAAAAAAAAGUGUUAGAAGAAUAAAAAAAAAAAAACAAAAUAAGUAGUUAGUAUAUACUAAUAUACCCAUAAACAUGGAACUUUUUUAAUAAGUUAGGAAAUAGGAGUAUAAAAAAUUGUAUGUGUCAUUACAUGAAAUGAAAUGGCGUUGUUGCACUGCAAUAUAUUGAACGAGUGCUAAAGAGAAGCAUGCAUACUUGAGAUAUAAAAAAUACGUCGUACAGUAGUGUUCUUUUAGUUUUAAAGUAUAAUAAAUUAUAAAGGGUAAAUAUGAAUUUUAGUUAAAAUAAUAAGGGUAAAAAAGGAACAAAAGAUAAUAAGCUAUAAGCUAUAAGUUCAAACGCUACUUGAAAUAGCUUCUGAAAAAUAGCUUAUAAGCUCGUGAAAUAAACUAUAAGCUCAUGGUGAAAAAGCAUUACUAAACAAAGUUUUUUUGUCAUACGAGCUUAUAAGCUAUGCGUAGGCAUGGCAAUGGGGCGGGGUGGGGACGAGUUUUACCUUCCCCGUCCCCAUACCCGAUUCUCAUAUACUUACCCGUUACUCUACCCAUACCCAACGGGGAUGAGAAAUUGAAUCUCAUCGCCGUCCCCGACGGGUUUGGGUAUCCCCGUCCCCGCAUUGAAUAUUUUUUUAAUAAAAAAUAGAAGUUUUUUUGCAUCCCCAAGAGCAACGUAGUAAUACAUUAUUCAACAAUAAACUCACUUUCACAUUUGUUAGACAAAAUGAUUUAGUUGAUCCUUUAAAUAUCAAUGUUAGUUUUUAUUAAGAUGACAAUUAUCAAACAAAAUAACAUAACGUAUCAACAUAAAAUAAUUUUUUACAUUUGGGACGGGUUUGGGUAUGGGUUCGGGGUGGGUACCUAUAUACCCGUCACCCGUCCCAUAUCCGUGUUUUGAGAUUGGGGAAAACCCAUACCCGUACCCAAACCCAGUCAAAACGGGGAAAACCCGUCAAAUUGAAUUUGGUUCGGGCGGGUAACCAUAGGUAUGGGUUUUGUUGCCAUGCCUAGCUAUGAGCUCAUUGAUGUGUCUUACCAAACAGACCCAAGAUACUUGCAAAUUUUUUUUUCACUGUUAUGAAUAUUAUUAAUUUUCUCAUUCCCAGAUUUUUAAAUGCUAUAAUAAUAAAAGGGUCAUGUUAACUUGUGCAUUUAAGACACAUGUUAAACAUUAAUUUCAUUCCAUUAAUGAUAAAAAUUUAAUAAAAGAGAAUUAAUAUAUUAAUUCUAUCGGUGAAAAUCUUAAUAUGUGCCAUGAGGACACAAGUUAACAUCAAAUUAAUACAUUUAAUUGAAAAUCUUACACAACAUGAAUACAAAAGAUGUGGAUUAGUGUCUUUGUAUCCAAGAAUGUCUCUCUUGACAAAACAUGUAAAAAGUAGUUAUUCAUCAAUGCAGAACCAAUCCACUUAAUUGAAAACGCAACAAUCCAGUCAUUAAGUUGAUCAUAAUUUUUUCCUUAAAAAAAAAAAAAAAAAAUUGAUCAUAAUUUUAACAUAGAUCGUGAGACACUUAAAUCAUAAAUCAUUGGACAACACUGUGGAUUCGACUUCUGUAACAUAGUGGCGGGCUAUGUUACAUGACAUAGCCAGUAAUAUUGUGCCACAUGUCACUUCUUUUUUAAAUAAAAAAAUCAAAUAAAAUAAAAGAAAAGGAACAAUAACAUUACAUUCGCUCAUACUUCUUCUUCAAAAGCGUUUCCUCACUUCUCCUUGUGCUACCCAUCCACAAUCAUCAUAUGUGCACAGACCGCCUUCACUUCUACACCAUUUGCCGCCUUCUCCCUCCGUCGCCGGAAUCAUCUAUGCACAGGUCACUGUCAUGGACUGAUGGAUUGACCAAUGUUCUGUCAAAGGAUUCAGUAUUGUAUUGUGUAGCUGUGUUUUCAUUUUCAAAUUUGUUGAAUUUAUUUGAAAUUGACUAGAGAUUGAGAGUUAUUAUCUCAGAAAAUUGAUUUUGAAUUUGAAAUUGCUUAAUAAAAAAAAAAAACAAUGUUUCUACUUGUUAUGUGAAUCCAAGACUGUGUUGGCACGAUGGAGGAGUGAUUGUGACCUCUGAGAUGUGUUAGCAUUCUGUUAAAAUUGCGGCAUCGGAUUCUGGUUUGAACUGUUUAAAUUGCGGCAUCAGAUAUUGGUUUGAAGCUGUGGUUUUUGGUGUUAAUGGAGUAUAUGGUUGCAGUGUGUGCUACUAGUGUUAAAGGAGGCAGUGGCGACUGACGGUGGCGACCGAUGGUGGAGGAUAAACAAAUGAUGAUGGUGGCGACCGGUAUUGUUUUAAUGUUGCCUAUGGAUAUUACAUUUUGAUUGGUUGAAAUCAUGAGAGAGUAAUUAUCCCCUAAACAAGAGAGGGUAACGUAGGCCUCACCCAAAUCAUUGGACAACACUGUGGAUUCGACUUCUGUAACAUAGUGGCGGGCUAUGUUACAUGACAUAGCCAGUAAUAUUGUGCCACGUGUCACUUCUUUUUUAAAUAAAAAAAAUAAAAUAAAGAAAAGAAAAGGAACAACAACAGUACAUACGCACAUACUUCUUCUUCAAAAGCGUCUCCUCACUUCUUCUUGUGCUACCCACCCACAAUCAUCAUCUGUGCACAGACCGCCUUCACUUCUCCACCAUUCGCCGCCUUAUUCCUCCGCUGCCGGAAUCAUCUAUGCACAGAUCUCUGUCAUGGACUGAUGAAUUGACCAAUGUUCUGUCAAAGGGAUUCAAUAUUGUAUUGUGUAGUUGUGUUUUCAUUUUCAAAUUUGUUGAAUUUAUUUGAAAUUGACUAGAGAUUGAGAGUUAUUAUCUCAGAAAAUUGAUUUGGAAUUUGAAAAUGCUCAAUAAAAAAAAUGUUUCUACUUGUUAUGUGAAUCCAAGACUGUGUUGGCACGAUGGAGGAGUGAUUGUGACCUCUGAGAUGUGUUAGCAUUCUGUUAAAAUUGCGGCAUCAGAUUCUAGUUUGAACUGUUUAAAUUGCGGCAUCGGAUUCUGGUUUGACACGUGGCACAAUAUUAUUGGCUAUGUCAUGUGACAUAGCCCGUCACUCUGUUACAGAAGUCGAAUCCUAACAGUGUCAUGUAACAUUGACCAACUACAGUGUACCAUGUGUCACCCUUUACUUAAAAAAUACUCGAAAAACCAAAAAAUAUCAAAACCAAUGCAAUCAUUAAUUAAUGUAACUUUUUGAAUAUUUUUACAAAUACACCCUCAUAAAAAAUUGUGAAGCAUUAAAUAUACUAACUAAUACUCCCUCCGUCCCUAAUUAUAAGACACUUUUAAGAGUUUUUUUUGUCCCUUUUUAUAAAACCCCUUUGCUAUUUUCAACUAUAUUAAUUAUUUCUUUACAUGCAUGCCCCUAUUUAUUAUACAUAAUUUUCUUUAAUCAGCAAUAAAUAUCAUGUUGAAAACAUAAACCAAUUCUCUCUUAAAGGAUAAAAUUGUAAAAACAAUAGCAAUUACAAACAUAUUUAAUACAAAUAUCCACUAUCUUAAUUCCCGUUAUUUUUUUAAAAGGGUCUUAUAAUUAGGGACGGAGGGAGUAUUAAAUAAAGGGUAUAAAAGUCUUUUAAAUAAUAAUUACACCUUAAAAAUUGUGACAUUUUUUUUAUAAAUAGGACGAUUUUUUUUUUUUUUUGAAUAUUUUCUUAUAUAUAAGACCGGAAGGAGUAUAAGAAAAACUAAAAAAUUCUUAUGAAAGCAAGAGAAGAAAACCACUUAUUACAUUGUAGUUGAUCAAUAUCACAUGAAAUUGACACCACAAUGUCACAUAAGUGUUGUCCCAAAUCAUCAAACUAUGAAGUAUGUAUGGAUUAAAACAUCAUAUGCAAAUAUUUAGAUCAUGAUUCACCAUUUCUAAUAGAUUGUAUGCUAUGUCAAAUCCUUAACUAUACCACUAGAUAAAAUGGAUGUAAGAGCGAGUUUAAAAGGCCAAUCGUGUAUAAUAUUAACUAGGAUACGAAGAAUGUAUAUUAAACAAUUUAUUCCUAUCCUAACUAAUAUACAUGAAUCACUAUCACAUUAAUAUCUAUAUGAAACUUUCAACAAUGCAGUCCCAAGGAUCUGCCAAUCAACCAAACUAUUCAUAGAACAAUGGCCUGCUCUCUUUGACUAGGUCAUGGUAUAAAGACCAAGAGUCCUUGUUCCCCAAUCAUCAACAACAUCAUGAUAUAGUCGCAGCAUUAUCCGAUUUUCAAUAUAAGCAAAUGUCAAAACAUAUUUAGUUCAAGUUAAGACCAAAUACAUUUUAAUUUUUGUUUUUGUUUUUUGUUUUGAGGAAAUACUUAAAUUUUAAACUGGAUUAGUACAUUGUAAGAAAGUAUAUACACUAUUAGUUUGCUUCUUAUAUUAUAUUUUAAAUGAAAUUGAACUUCAUACCGGUUCAACUUAGCUUGAUUUGUUGUCAAUUUAUGAGAGAGAUAAACAUAAAUGAUAAUUUUGUGAGAUCUAUCGAUGGGAUCCGCUAAAUCAUGAUUCUAUCAUUAGUAGUUACACAAUCCUUGUUACUAAUCUAAUCAAUUGAAUUUAUAAUAAAAUGUAUAACUACUCAAAUCACCAAGACAUUACUUUUUAAUUAAUAUAUUAUGGGUCCUGCUAACCGGUGCCUCCGGAGCACUGGUUAAGCAUACUAUAAAAGGAAAUUAUUAUCAUAAAAGGAAACUGUUUUUGACUUUAUUAUAAAUUAAUUACACAAUUUCAAUGCAUUAACUACUAUAUAAUUUCCUUUUUCAUAUCCUUAACAAGUGCACUGGGGGCACCGGUUAGCAUUUCCCAUAUAUUAUCUAGGGUUAAUUAAGUUUUUAGUCCCUAUAAAUAUUCACAGUUUUGUUUUUAGUCCCUACAAAAUAAAAUCACACUUUUUAGUCUCUGUGACAUUUUCCUUAAGCAUUUUAGGGACUAAAAAUGUUGAUGGAAAAAUUUUAUAGGGACUAAAAAUGUUGAUGGAAAAUUUUAUGGGGACUAAAAAUGUUGAUGGAAAAUUUUAUAGGGACUAAAAAAUAUGAUUUUAUUUUGUAGGGACUAAAAACUUAAUUAACCCUAUUAUCUAACUUAACUAAUUAGACCAAUCACCUAAUCAAUUUAGUUGUACCUAAUCGAUCAUCCUAAUUCCUAACGGCCUUAUAUUCAAUUAAAUUAAGCGUAGUAAAAACAUAUUUAUUAAUUCAGUUAAUCAUCAAACAUGAAAUCUAUUUACUAUAGCAACUUAUCACACAGUACGUACAAUAUAUCAAAGUUUGUUCUUAAAAAAAAAAAUCAGAGUUUGAAUUUUAUAUUGAGUUAAAUUCUUCCUCACAAUAUCAAUUUGUAUAAUGAUAAUUAUUGCUCUUUAUAAACUCAUUUCAAACCUUUAUUUUAUGCCAGAUAUAGGUUUUUUUCAAUAGUCACAUCACCCAUUAUUUAUUUAUUUAUUUAUGGCAUAGACAUCACCUAUUGUUUUAAAAUUAGGAUUCUAAGUAAACAAAUAAUAUAGAAGAUUAUCCAUUGUCUAUUUCAGACUACAUGUUAGUACUUCAUUGUUGAUUGUACUAUAAUAUUUUUUUGUAUAUUAUUGUAAUAUUAUUUUUGUCAAUUUGGAUAGGAGCCCCGUACACACUCGUAUUAAGUUCACACUGAUUUUGUACUACUUUUUUUUUUUUGGUAUGGAAGAAAUUAAAGACAUAAGACAUGCUUAAAUUCUGAAAAGCUUGAAUCCGUUUCGAGUUUAAGAGUAGGUUUUAGAAAUUAAGUAUCCAACGCUUCAGCAAGUUACGUGUCAUUCUCAUUUCAAUUCAAGUUUUUCUCUCUCAAUAUCAGAAUAAUUCCUUCGCUUAAAACUCUUAUGUGUUGCAACCGUCUCUCUCUCCCCAACACUUAAGAGUUUUAAGCGGACAAAUUAUUCUGAUGAUGAGAUAGAGAAGCUUAAAUUGGAAUGACAAGGAUAUAUAACUCAAUUAAUUGUCGAAUAUUUUCUUUAAACUUUUUUAUUUAUAGAUAUCUUAUGACCAUACAAGAAUAAUCGAGGUUUGGGUCUCAUUGCCAUACUAGAGGAAUCCCCUUGCAUCCAUGGGUAAAAAGAUUAUUUCACCAUCCUAUCUGUUUUUACACCAUGCAUCUUCAAAAGCAUAUGCCUAAUUCAUAUGACUCAUUAUAUUGCUAUAAUUAACUAUCUUAAUUAUCUCUCAAAAAAAAAAAAAAACUAUCUUAAUUAAUCAAGAAGGUAGCGUGCAAGCAUAAAAUUUGGUUGAAACUAACCAACUUUUUUUAGUAAUAUUCAUUUCAAUGAUAGUAAACUGUUGGUGAUAUUAUUAAAAUAAUAGUAGAAUAAAAUAUAUUAGUAUUUUAUUAGUCAUAAUAUAUAUUAUCUAUCAAUUUGACUUUGAAAGAGUUCAUUCAUUUCUUUUUUAUUUUAUUGGUACAAUUUUAGGGUUGUUUUAAGACAAAUAUUUUGACGGUUGUGACGAUCCCCCUAGGCAGAAGAGAAAACAUUUUGCUAAAAAGUGUGAUUUCUAAAAUUUUCAUAUCUUUCUUCUUCCAAAGUUUUAAGUUAUUUGAGCAGUAUAAGAAUUAUCGUGGAGUGUAGAAUUUCUUCCAAAGUUUUAAGUUAUUUGACUCAGUAUAUAUAUCUAUCAAGUGUUUGAGAAUUAUACCGACAUCUUUUUUUUUUCAUAAUAUAAUAUAUAUCAUAAUUUUAACUAAAAAAAUAUAUGUUCUUUCAAUAUAUAUAUAUAUAUAUAUAUAUAUAUAUAUAUAUAUAUAUAUAUAUAUAUUAAUCAUGUGCGGGAUAUUUUUUUCUCAAUGAUAGAACUUGCUUGCAUGUUAGGAGUACGUGUGUUUACUUAUAUGUAAUUGUCGCAAAUAUUAUAUAGUGAUUUGGGAAAGCAACUUUUAAGUAUGUGUAUGUUUUCUUAAAAAAAAAAAAAAAAUGUGUAUAUUUGUUUCAUUGAACAAAGAAAAAGUAUGUGUUUGGUUUGACGGUGGGGAAUGUUAUCGUACGCUUCAAUAAAUAGUCUUUUGUCAUUUUUAAAUGUUUGGUUAGGAAUUUUAGAAAAAUCUAUUAUGUCAUCUAAAUUAAUACUCAUUAAAAUUCAAGAGGUAACUUUGUAGAAUGACAUGUCUUUUUUCUCAUUGUUAACUUUCUUCUAUGCUUUUGAUUUCUAAAAUUUAUUCAUGUGCUUUAAUUUAAUUCUACUUGCACUUUUAAUUUGCAUAUAUGUUUAUGUUAGAUAUUAUUUUGAAUCACAGAAACUCAAUGAGAAUUAUUUAAGAAUGAUAAAAUCUUAUUCUUUUACAUUUUUUACCAAAGUGAGUUGUUUAUUGGACCAUAUUUUUAGUUUGGUCUUUGUUUAUGAGAACAUUGUUAGAUGAAAAUAAAAUAGUAAUUUUGGAUCAAAUUUGAAACAUUGUUGAAAUUAAGUUAUUUUUAACUUGAUUUUAAUGUUGGAAAUAAAAUUUUGUAUUGUUUCUUAAAAAUCGCAACAACCGAAUCAACCCAGACCACAUAGGUUUGAUUUUUAUUUUAAAAACCAACAAAUCAAACCAAACUAUAUGUUUUUUAUUUUAUUUUACGGUUCGGAUGACUUUUAACUUUUUAUUGAACAAGUUAAAAUGAUAUAUAAACAACUGUGAUUUACCCCGCACAAGGCGUGCAAAAGGCAAACCACACAAGAGUAUUUACAACCUCAAGGUGCAAUCACAAAGGGCGCACCACCAAUGCAAAAAAAUAGAGUUUUCCAAUACAAAGAAGCGAGUUUUCCCACCAAUCAUGAUAACUAUAACUAAAAGUCGCUUGUUUUGAUUUCAGCCAUAAAAAAGAGUUUAGUUUAACCUUUUUGAUGAAAAUAGAAGGAUCAGAAGCUGUGUUUUGGAAUACACGGUGAUUCAUCUCCUUCCAAAUAACCCAAAUAGAGGCAAACCAAAUAGUUGUGAAGAACGAAUGGGUGAAUCUAGACAUACCUGCCGUAUUAUUAAAUUGACCAAAAUGUUGUCGAAGGUCACCAGAAGAAACCGAAGAGAUACCUAACCAAUGCCACACAUGAGACCAAAGAGAACUGAAUAUAUCACAUCCUAAAAAAAGAUGUUGUGUUGUUUUCGCACCAAACUGCAUUGUGAACACCCCUAGUCGAGCCAAUUGGUUGAGCUUAUGUAGUUAACAAAAUUUAGUUAAAAAUAAAUAGAUCGAGAGAAUCCAAAUUUAAUUUUUGUCUGAACUAUCGUUGACGAGACUUUACUUAUCUUCUUUUCGAACUCAUGAUCAACAAUAUAUAUCAUUCUUAUUAGGGGUUAAAUAUGUUUUUGGUCACUAUAAAUAUGUCAACUUUCAUUUUAGUUCCUCUAAAAAAUUUCUUCAAACUUUAGUCGACAAAAAGUUUUUUAUCUUCACUUUUGGUCCCUCAUUUAGAGUAAACUCAUAUGUAGAAUUCAUAUUUUCGAAUAAAAUUUUGCAGAAAAAUUGAUAAUAUUAUAAGAAUCUCUCCAAACAAAAAUUAGAAUUUUUUUAACAAAAUAUGAAUUAAAUAUGUAUUUUUAUAUUUCGGCAGUUAAAAAUUCAUAUUUAAUUUAUGUUUUGUUAAAAAAUUCUAAUUUUUUUAGGGAGAUAAUUUUACAAUAUUCUACAUAAUUUCAUUAAAAAAAAAUACAAAAAUUAAAUUACAAGUAAGGACUAAAAGUAGUGAUUGAAAAUUUUAUAGCGACUAAAAGUUAAAGGAAAACUUUUGAGGGACUAAAACGAAAAGUUUGUAUAUUUGUAAGGAGCAAAAAUAUGUUUAACACUUUUUUUUACAACCGAAGAUUCAAAACAUAAAAAAAAAAAAAAAAAAAAAAAAAAAAAAUUUUUAAACCUUUUUUUUAAAACCAAAAAAAAAAAAAAAAAAAAAAAAAAAAAAAAAAAAAAAAAACAAUGUUUUCAAGUAGUUGGCAACAUAACACGACUCUCCUAGCAAACAUUGGCAAAAAUCUAGAAUUACUUGGCUGGAGGAGGGGGAUGCAAACUCCAGAUUUUUCCAUGGGGUUAUAUCCUCUACGAGACGUUCAAAUGCUAUUGUUUCUAAUUGAGUGAAUGGGGUGCAGAUUGAAAGGGUUAAAGGGGUGAGAAGUUCGGUUUUUGUUCAUUUCAGUCGGUAUUUUAAAAGGGUGGAUGUCGAGAGACCAAGCCUACGGAAGAUGGUGUUUAAAUAUUUUUCUAAUGAGGAGGGGGCUGAUCUUAUAAAACCCUUCUUGUUAAAGGAGAUUAAGGAGGCAAUGUGGGACUGUGAUAACUUUAAGAGUCCUGGGCCGGAUAGCAUUAACCUAAGAUUUUUUGAAUGAUUUUUGGAAUAUGUUGAAGGUGGAGUUACUGAUAUUUUUGCUGAAUUUCAUUGGAAUGACAGGUUGACUAAAGGUUUGAAUAGCACUUUUAUCGCCUUGAUUCCUAAAAUUGAGAACUCGCAGAGAUUGUCAGAUAUUCGACCUAUUUCAUUUGUUAAUAGUUUGUAUAAAAUUCUGUCCAAGAUGCUUGCUAACAAAUCUAUGAUGUCAUUGUUAUUGCUAAUGAGUUGGUGGAUGAUGCCUUCAAGUUAAAGAAAAUAAUUACUUCUGUUUAAGGUUGAUUUUGAAAAAGCAUACGAUUAAGUUGACUGGAGGUAUUUAGAAGAGGUUAUGAGUAAAAUGAAUUUUCCAUUUGCUUGGCGUAAGUGGAUGAUGGAAUGUGUUACUUCAACUUCAGCAUCGGUUCUUGUCAAUGAGAGUCUGACUGAUGAGUUUAUUUUGGAGAGAGGGCUUCGUCAAGGUGAUCCUCUUUCUCGUUUUCUUUUUCUAUUAGCUGUUGAAGGUUUAAAUGUUUUGAUGAAUGCGAUGGUGGAUAAUGGAAUAGUUAGUGGGUACAAUGUUCGGGCGCAAGAUGCUUUGACCGUAACUCAUUUACAAUUUGCUGAUGAUACCCUUUUGAUUGGUGGAAAAAGUUGGGCGAAUGUUUGCGCUUUGAAAAAUGUUUUGCUUUUAUUUUUGAAAAUAUCUGGUUUAAAAAUAAAUUUUCAUAAAAGCAUGUUGUUUGGUAUUAAUGUGGCGGUUUCUUGGCUCCAUGAGGCGGCGGUUGUUAUGAAUUGUAAGCAUGGUUGCUUACCUUUCGUGUACUUGGGGCUCCCGACUGGUGUUGAUCCGAGAAAGCUUUAGUUAUGGAACCCUUUGGUUCAGCGUAUUAGAAGUAGACUUUCUUGUUGGAAAAGCAAAAAUCUUUCGUUGGGGUUCGGAUGAUUCUCCUUAAGUCUGUACUGUCUAUUCCGGUUUAUUUUCUUUCCUUCUUCAAAUCUCCCUCAGGUAUCAUUUCUAUCCCUGACUCUUCAGUUUGGAGGUUUUGGGGAUUUUUCCAACAAGUCUUGUUUGACUUUUAAUAUUAUUUGGAUUUCAACUCUUUUUACUAUAUGGAAGGACCGCAAUAUGAGACAUUUUUACAAUAAAUCGGAACACCUGCUAUCUUUAUUGAAAAAGAUUAAACUACAAGUCUUUUGGUUGUUUAAAUAUAAUCUCAUAAUGCUGUUUUUGAUUUUGAUUAUUCAUUAUGUUUUUAGGUUGUAACAUAAUUUUAUUCUUCUUGGCUACUUUGUGGUAACAUAUGGAUCGUCUUAUUGUAAUUUUUAAAUACUUUAACUUCCUUUUAUACAUCUUGUACUAGAGGAUCCUGUGGUGGUUUUUAUAAUAUUUUGUUUAACUUCUUAAAAAAAACACGACACUCCUAAUAAAAGAUAUAUAUAUUUGAUUUUUGUUUUUAGAUAAAUAUAUUUGAUUUUUGAAGUCGUUUAUUAAGUCGUAUGAAAGACGCUUGUUCAAAAAAGUCGUAUAAAAAACGAAUAUCGCUUUGGGGAUGCUAUAGUAUGUCUUGUAGCUAUAAUUGAAACAUUAGCCAUGGGAGUGGAACCCAAAACUACAAUGAAUUAAUUUUUUUUUGUUUUAAAUAUUUGGGACCAAGGAAAAUGGGCUGAGCUGUCUUUGUGACCUAUUUUUGCUAUAGAAUAGACAAAUGUUCUUUAAAUCAAUUUGUCCACAAACCCUAGCGACAGUGAGUAAGGAAGGAAAAGUCAGCAUUUAAUUGUUACUCCAACACGGUUAAAAUUCUGUGUAGUAAAAAAUAGCGGAUUAUGAAUAAGUUACCUUAUAGCGAAUGACUUAUAAGUUGAUUUAUGUUUGUUAAAGGAUAAAAUAACUGAUUGGGUUUGUAGUAUUUAUUAAAAUUAACGGUUGAUUUUUUUCUUCUUCCAGCAACACCUUAUUAGUAUAAGUAAUGAUAUUUGAACAACUAUUUUGGUACAACUUUGUUGUUCUCUCUUCUUAUUGGUCAAAAACAAUGGAGAGAGAAAAAUGAAGAGAGAGAAUAAGAAGAUAAUGUGAGUAUGAGAGAGAGAGUUAUACAAAAGUUGUACAAAAAUGGUUGUACGAAUAACAUUUGUCUAUUGAGUUAGUAUAUUAAGAAAAAAAAAGUAAAAAAAGAGAGGGGGUGUAGACCAAAACACUCAAAGAAAGAAAUUUAGGAUUAAAAUCAAAGCUUCAAGUCGACACCUUUGGGAGCAACUACACUGAGCGUAAAUUAACUGAUUCUCUGCAUAGUCAAUUUUGAUGGACAAGACCAGAGAAAGCUUCACUUUGACUUUAAAUAAAUGGACAAUGACACAAAGCCUCUUAGAUUAAUUAGACCUUAUAUUAUAUACCUCUCUGAUUAAUUGGCAAGAAUCAAUAUGCGACAUUUGUGAAAGAAAAAAAAAGUAUAAACUGUUUCGUAUUAGCGUGGCAGGUCCUCGCGAGCUUACCUCAGUUGAUAGGGACAAUGCAUAUAUUAUGUAAGGUCCGAGGUUCAAACCUCAAUCUUUACCAAAUAAAUAUUAGCGUGGCAGAAAUCACGGGUUAAGUGGAUCAUUAAUUAUGCAGUCGUGUUAUUUUUGUAUUAAUGCUUUUAUAAUAUUAAGCAUUUUCCAAAAAAAAAUGUAUCUUUCCUUUAAAACCGAAGGUAUGUACGCGAAGAAAACUAUAUGGUUUUCAAGCAGUUAGUUGGUAAAAGUUACAUAACACAGUCUCUCUAACCUAAGUUAUAUAUAUAUAUAUACAAUUUAUGAAGUCGUUUAUUAUGGAAACAAUUAUCCACAAAUCACAAAUGUAUUAUCUAAAAACCUAAAUCCUUAACAAAAUCUGCAGAAAAUGGAUUACCUGCGGAAUUGUUACCAAAUUCUGCGGGUAAAUCUGCAGGAAAGUUGGGAGUUUAUAGUAGUGGCAGUUCAAACCCAUAUAAAAAACGAAUAUCUCUUUGGUGAUUCUAUAGAAUGUCCUGUAGUUAUAAUAGAGAAAACAUUAUCUGUGGAAGUGGAACCCAAUAUACAAUGAGUUAACAAAAUAAAUUAAAUAUCUGGGGACCAAGGAAAUUGGGUUCAGUUGUCCUUGUAACCUAAUUUUCAUAGAAUAGACAAAUGGUCUUUAAAGCAAUUUGUCCACAAAACCAAACCACACUUCAGUAAGGAAGGAAAAGUCAGCCUAUAAUUGUUACUCCACUCAACUUAAUUGAGAUUCUGUUUGAUAAAAAAUAAUGGAUACUUAAGGCAGAUAACUUAUAAGUAUAAAAUAAUAACAUAAAAAGAACUAUUUUUAAUUAUUAUUUAUUUAUUUAUUUUAAUUAAGAUUGCAUGAGCGAAAUUGAGAUAAAUAAUGAUAAUGAUAACUUACUUGAAUUGACUCGUCAAAAACUACUAUAAACUCAUAAAAUAAGCUAUACGCUCAUGAGAAAAUAACGGUUUUUAAAUAAGUCUUUUUUAGUUCAAUUGUGUUUUAUCAAACAUACCCUAAACGACACAUUUGAAUUGUACGUAAUUUUUUUUUAAAAAGUCAAUAAUUGGAUGAAUUGCAUCGGUUUCAAUUGAUAUCAUUUAUUAAAAUAUUUUUAUUAAUUAUAGUUAGUAGUAAUUAGAUAAGUGAAAUUCAAUAAAAUGAGUGUAACUACAGGACAAAAAGUAAGUUAAAGGACCAAAAAGAAACUUUUAAUAGUUAAGGGACCAAAAUGAAACCAAAAAGUAAAUUAAGGGACCAAAACGAAACUUUUAAUAGUUAAGAGACUAAAACGAAACCAAAAAAUAAGUUAAGGGACCAAAAGAGUAAUUAAACCAUUUUUUUUUACAAAACAAUAAAUGAAAGUAUGUUAAUGAAAGUAAAAUGUAAAUGUUGAAAAUGACAAUUGCUUUAGAACAGACAAAAGUUUAAGUAUGAUAUUUUUUACGAGACAAAAAUAGUAACAUUCACAUGUAAAGACUUUUGGGUUUGUUAGGGCAAAUGUCCCACCACCUCGGAACAUUCAGAAGAGGAAAAAAUAAAUAAGGCUAAAUAAUGCAAAGGCUUUGAUUUGAAAUUGAAUUAUUUUGACUCAUUGUGUGGAUUUUAGGUAUGUUUGGUGGGUAACCUACACCAUUCAAUCAUUCCCAUCACAUAAUUAAAUGAAUCUCACUUAAUAAAAUUGAAAAUAAUAUACUCCCUCCGAUCUCAAAAACAAAAGAAGAUUUUAUUCAUGUUCAUUGAAUAGAUACUGUAUAUGGUUUAGAAUACAGAUUAGAUACAUCAUUUAUUCAAUGAAUUUAAAAAAUAAAAUCUUAUUUAUUCAUUUUUUUGAGAGUUUUCUUGUCCGUCCUUUAUUAAAUAAAAAUAAUUAUUAACUUAUUUUUUUAUUGAGCCAAAAAACUGCAUCAGCAACAUAUACUAGCAAGAAAACUCCUUUUUAGGCACCAAAAUGAGUGCCCGAAGAGCAAUUUCCUUCCAGAAAAUCCAUUCAACGAAUAUCAAAUCAAAUGAUAAUCUAUAAAUCGGAUCGAGAAAGAUUCCCUCAACAGAUCAAACAUAUAUUCACCUAUUUCUCCUAAAACCCUAUUUAGAAAAGGAAAUCAGAAAAGGAUAAAGGUACACACAUUCUAAUUCUAUACCAAAAUACCUCUCACCCACUUUAGUGAAAGAUAAACUUGAGUGUUCAAGUGAUUGCAAAUCAACACCUUCAUCGAUGAGCUCAAUCAAUGUCCUUUGUUGUGAUAUUCAAUGUCCUUUGUUGUGAUAAAAAUAACCUUAAGGCAUUAUAGAUUUUCAUACUCUGUCCAAAAAAAGUAAUUUUUGACACUUGCCAAUAUGUGCUGGAAAGCUAAGGAAUAGAGCUACACAUUUAUGUUGAAAAAAAAGCCCAAUUUAAACGUUCUACUUAUCAAAAUUGCGAAUUUCUGAAACAUUAAAGUUGACUAAGAGUUUUUGGACCACUUAAUCCUAUGUAUUGGGCCGAAUAGCCCAUAUCGGGUCAACUUAUGUUAAGACCCAUUUUGAACCGUCAAUAUAUUCCUAAGGGCUUAGAGGCCCUCCAAAAGGGUCGGAAGCCCUCCAAAAGGCUUGGGACGCCCUCGGAAAGGGCCCCAAGGCCUAGGCGUGCCCUUCCAAUGGCGUCGCCUCAAUCAGCUUGUAGAAGCCUCUAGAGCUCGGCAAAAAGACUUAAAAUCCCUCGUUGCUUAGGGCUUAAGUCACAAAAAACCAAGCCCACAAUAGGCUAUAAAAACCUCCCAUUGAGGUCUAUUAGGUGAAAUAUCUUGUCUAAAAUGGGAAGGUUACUUGUCUAAAACUUCUUGUUCAUAAUGGUCAAAUGUUGCAACGACCUCUGCACAUGUCUAUUAGGUGAAAUAUCUACGCGUCUUUUUAUGAGCUACAUAAUUUGGUUGGAAUUAGGAUUUGCUUAGUAGACAAGUAUGAGAUGUUUUUAGGAGUACAUACUUUGUAGUUGUAACCUAUUUUGAAUGUUAAGGAGGAUGAGGUUUCCGACAAGUAUUUUGUGGUUGCAACCUAUAAGAGAACGAAAGAGAAAUACCUAUAUCGAGCAGAUGCAUGAAUUAGAGUUAUGUUAGAACAACAACUAGUAACAAAAAAUUAUAAGAGAACGAAAGAGAAAGACAAUGAACACACAAUAUUUUUUAACACAGUUCGGCAAAUUGUGCCUACGUAUUGAAAAAGGAACAUGGGUCGUAUGAGAAGGAAAGGAACGAGAGCUUAAAUGGAAAAUGAGAGUGGAAAAAGGAACCGAACAAGCUUAAAUGAAGUUUGGGGAAAGCUUCGAUUGAGCCAUGGGUGAUAGAGAUUAAGGUUUCAAUCUGGGGGAAAGUGAGAUUGUGGGUAAGAGUGGUGGAGAUUUUCAUUUCAAUUUGGGGAAAAGUGAAUAAAAUUUGGUUUUAGGGUUUUGAAGCUGUGGGAGAGAGAAUGAAAAUGGAAAAGCUGGGGUGAUAGGUAUUUGGCCAAAAGAUAUAUGGUGAAGCGUGUUUGAAAAAAAAGCAUAAAACCUACGACCCUUAAGACUAACCGUCGCAGUAACAAUCACAAAAGUGUAAUCGCGACAGUUAUAAGCUAAGGGUCGCAAAGUAAGUGUCGCAAAAUGCCAAUUUUCUUGUAGUGUACCUAUGCGACUAUAGGGCAACUAUAGUUCCGUUUCUAUUACUGUGAUAAGAAUUAGGAUUUCAGUGUUACAAACUGUAUAUAUAGUACUAUCAUGAUGUAGUUCACAAUAUUACGCCUUGUCUUCUUCAAUGUCUUCUAUAUAUGAGUCAUACUUCAAAAAUAUCCAUCUUAGCGAAUAUCAAACCCUUAUGAAGACUUCUUGCAUUACAAUCACAUCCUAGCAAAAUUAUCUAUAAUAAAAAAGAUCUUAAAAAUGUGUUGAAUUUUGGUUCAAUUUUGACCCAAAAUCAUCCAUUCAAAUUAUUUUUCCUUCGUUUUUAGUUAAAUAAGUGACGUACACAUAUUUUCAACAUUCUUUCAUUUCUUUUGAUUUUCGUCUUAGUGCGGUAUUUAUUUGAUUCAGGUUGAAAGACUAAGUUUGAACAAGUGCAUAUUCAAUCCUUGACUUUGACUUCGUCAAUAUUGCAGAUCCGGAGACAUGCGUAUUCCAGAGACUUGAAUAUUUGUAAACAUAGAUACUCUGUCGUUUUAUGUUAUUAACAUGCAUGCAUGCAUGCGUGAGAUUGUUUAUAAAUUUAUCCUUUUUAUUUUUAGUAACUCUGAAUUUGUAUUAUAUUGAUGUACUUUAUCAAUUUAACUGAUCAUUUAUUUGUGUUGAAAAAAAACAAUUUUCUUUAUGUGGCCGCCAGAUUAGCUCCCAUAGUGAUUAGAAAGUAAACAAUAAAGAAAGUUACACGCAAUUUCAUGGUUGGUUGUAUAAAGUCUUGUCCAGCUAAGUUGUAACAUAAUUAAAAAAAAAAGACUAUUCAUUAUUCAAAUUUGAAAAAGAUAUAAUGAUAAAGACAUUUUAUCACCUUAUUAGUAUUAAAAAAGCACAGAUAAUCACCUAGACACUGUGGCUAAGUAAUAGUCUUAGUUGGAAAAAGAAAAGUAUUGCAUAUUCUUUUUUUUGGAGAGAAAAGUAUUGCCUAUUCUGUAAGUCAUUGUAUGAGUAAACCUAGCUAGCUACUUGCCGUACAUAUAACAUGAUUUAGAUUUACUGGCUCAAAAUAUGAGAAUGUUCCUUUAGUCAAAGAGAAAAAAGACCUAUUUGUUCUUUUUGCAAAUAGAAUUAAUUCUUACAUCAGUCUUAAAAUAUUUAUAUGUUACGGAUCGUUUUAAAUAUAGGGUCUUAUUAACUAGUACUUUUAAGAUAUUGAUUAAUAAAUCCAAUAACAGAAACUUUGUUUUCGGAAUAUAAAUUUUUACUUUUUACUAAUCAAUAAUCGCAUCACUUUUUUAACGUAAAUUUAUUAAUUUUAACACCAUAACCAAUGCCUCAAAGGCAUUUAUUAUUAUUCCCCUUAAAUAUAAUAUCUUCUUAAGUAAUUUUUUGUCUUUGUUUUAUGACUAUUUUGAUAAUUUUAUGUAAGCAAUAAGUAAAUUAAUAAUAAAUACUAUAACGAAUAAAACACUAGAAAAAGCAAAAUUAAGGAGGGAAAUUAGUGACGGAAAAAAUAAAAUCCCUUACAAAAUCUUUGGUCAUAAAAUUUAGUGACGGAAUUAGAGAAUGAUUUCAUAUUUUUGCUCUCUAAAUUUUCCUCACUAGUUUUUGCUUUUUAGUAGUGAAAGUUUUAUGUGGAGUGUUGCAAGAAAGCUAGCAGUUUGCAACAGGAGCACUAUAUGUUUACGACAACGAGUUGGAGUAUAUGGAGGAGUAGGAAUGCAUCGUUAUGGGAGGAUGUAUUUGCGAGAGUUGUUGAAGUAAUUUAUCGCGGUAAUGUUUUACUUAAGGAGUGGAGGGAGCACAUCAAGAAAAUGGAAAGUUUUGAUUCAAUUUCAACAUUUCUUCACCUUGACUCUAAAUUAGUGAUGAUGAAGAAGAACUCUCUCAGCGCAAAAUUGGGGCCCGAUUUUCGCACAUCAGGGGCCGAAUUUUUACAAGACAAAAGUCUCAAAACACCAUGUCACAAGCGGAGAAGACCGAGAUGGUGGACAAGGCUAGGAGUGACAUUGUCUUAUGCCUCGGGGAAAAAGUUUUGGGGGAUGUCGCUAAGGAACCAAACGCGACAUCGAUGUGGUCAAAGUUGGAGUCAUUGUAUAUGACAAAGUCUUUGGCUCAUUGGCAAUUCCUAAAGCAAGCACUCUACUCAUUCAAGAUGGUGGAGUCAAAGACCACCAUGGAGAAACUUACAGAGUUCAACAAGAUCCUUGAUGAUUUGGAGAACAUUGAGGUGCAUCUUGUGGAUGAAGAUAAAGAUAUACUCUUGUUCUGUGCGCUACCGAGAUUAUUGGAAUCUUUCGAGGAUACAAUGAUUUAUGGCAAAGAAGGCACUGUCACCUUAGAAGAUGUUCAAACGGCUUUGAGAACCAAGGAGUUGACCAAGUCCAAGGAUUUGAUAGCUGAUGAAAACGGUGAAGGUCUAAGUGUUUCAAGAGGGCAUGGUGGAGGUAGAGGUAAUCAGAGAAAGGGCGGUAAAAAGUCAAAAUUUAAGUGCUUUAACUGUCACAUGAUGGGUCACUUCAAGAAGGAUUGUCCGGAGAACAAUGAUAAUUAUCUCCGACGGUUAUGAGGAUUCGGGUGCUUUGGUGGUGUCUCAUUGGGGGUGAAAUGUUGAAAUUGAGUCAAAAUUUGAUGAAUGAAGAAGAUUGUUGCUAAAAAUAUAAAAUAUCGAUGCGUCUAUUUAUGAGCAUCAUAAUUACGUUGGAAUCUUGAUUUGCUUAGUGGACAAGUAUGAGAUGUUUUGGGACAAGUAUGAGAUGUUAAGGAGGGUGAGGUUUCAGCAUAUAUCGAUCGGAUGCAUGAAUUAGAGUUCAACAAAGUUAUCUUUACUUUAGAUUCAAAGAGUGUUGUGGACUCUUUAAACUUACUCACCAAUAAUAGAACCGAUGCAUAUUCCAGUUUAAGUAGAUGUUAUAGUAAUUUAAAUCAUCGUUUUGUAAAAACUCUUUUGCUGAUUGUUUUAGAAGAGAGAGUAAUAUGUUUGCUCCUAACUUUGCUAAGGUGACUAUAGGUCCGUUUGUUAUAGCUUUUUAUUAAAAAAAAUUUAACAAAGAAAUUUUCAAAGAAAACUUCAAAUGAAAAAUUCGUUUGAAUAACUUAUCUUAAAAUGUCAUUUUAAAUAGUUCAUCAUUUUGUUAUAUUCUUUUUUGGAUACUAAAAUUUGGAAAAAAUCUCUAAAAUAUAAACUAUUUCAAAUAGUUUUUUAUAAAAAUAUUUUUCAAAGAUAUCGUUUUGAAAAAAAUAUGAAAGAAUUAAAUUUAGAAGGUUCUCGUUAGUAUUCAUACAAUUUCAAACCUUUGAACUAUAGUACAAUAAUUAAUCCUCAAUAAGCAGAAGCUUCUUAAUAUUAACCAUAAUAUUUUCACUCAAAGGGAUCGUCAUGUUUUUUAAUAUCUUUUUCAUCAAGCAUGCAUUUUUAUGUUAGUACAAUCAAUCGAUAUUGUCUUUUAUUUUUUUAACUCACAGUCCACAUUAUCUAUCCACCUAUAUAUAUAUAUAUAUAUAUAUAUAUAUAUAUAUAUAUACACCCAUGAAGGUGUCUUUUAGCAACCCACACCUCAAGGUGUGAUUUUCACUUUUUAGUUAUAACUUUGCUAAAAGACACCUUCAUAAAAAUUAGUUGGUGUCUUCUAACAAAUGCUAAUAUAAUAACUUGCUAAAAGACACCUUCAUAAAAGGUGUCUUCGACUUCUAGCAAAACUCAUAUAUAUAUAUAUAUAUAUAUAUAUAUAUAUAUAUAUAUAUAUAUAUAUAUUUUGAAGAAUUCCACCUAUAUAUUUAAAAUGACCUUUAAAAUUAUAUAAAAGAGACCUUUCCUAGAAAAAUAUAUAGAAUAAAAAAGACCUUAAAAAUGUGUGGUAUUUUACAUGAUAUAUGGCGGCCAGAUUAGAUUAGUUCCCCUUGGUGAUUAGAUAGUUAACAAUAAAAAAAGUUACAUAAUAUCUUGUAUAAUAUAUUUUUAUUUUUUUUGAAGGAUGGUUGUAUAAUAUCUUGUCCAGCUAAGUUGUAACAUAAUUCAAAAAAAGACUAUUCAUUAUUCAAAUUUGAAAAUGAUGUAAUAAUGAUAAAGACAUUCUAUCAACCUUAUCAGUAUUAAAAAGGAAAAAGAAAAGUAUUGCAUAUUCUGUAAGUCAUUGUAUGAGUAAACCUAGCUAACUACUUGUCUUACAGCAGUCUUAAAAUAUUUAUUUGUUACAGUUCGUCUUUAAGUAUAAUAUCUUCUUAGUAAUUUUUUGUCUUUGUUAUAUGACUAUUUUUGAUAAUUUAAUUGUCUCUAUUAAUUAUUUUUUUCAAAAUUAAUACGUCUAAUUAUUGUAGAUACUUUUUUUUUUUUUUAUGUAAACAAUAAGUAAAAUAAUAAUAAGUACUACAAAAGAUAAAUUUAGGAAAAAAAAAUAGUAUAAUUAGGUAAAAAAAUUGUCUGUUUUAUUGUAAUUUUUAGGAAACAAUAAGUAAAUUUAACUAAAAAUUGUCUAAUGAGGUAAAUUACCUAAAAAUGGCAUAAUGAUAUAUAUCACCUAAACAUGUCUGUCUUAAUAACAAAUGAAGUAGUAAAAUUGAUUAAUGAGAUUUAUAUGAAAAAGUGGUUAGCAACAUAAGUUUCUCAUAUGACUGUAUUUGUGUCAAAUUUUUGUGGUCCAAUAUCAUUGCUCAUAUCUUUUUUGGUUACAAUCAUUGCUAUAUGAUUUUACUUUUUUAGGAGUGCUAAUAUGAUAUAUCUAUCAAGCAAACUAUUUUAUUAUUAUAUAUGACGUAAAUUUUCCAAUAAUUGAUACUCUCUUUUAGGUCACAUUUACAAGCAAUUUUGCUUUAUCAUUUAUUGAAUAACUGAUAUAUUUAGACUAUAAUAUAGUUCAGAUACAUCAGUUGUUUAUAUCUGAUAAAGUAAAAUUUGCUUAUAAAUAUAAGUGGAGGGAGUAUCAUAGUAGCAAUGGUACACUACUAGAAAAAGUAAAAUUAGCGAGGGAAAUUAGUGACGUAAAAAAUGAAAUUCCUCACAAAUUUUUUGAUCGAAAAUUUAGUGACGAAAUUAGAGAGGGAUUUUAUGUUUUCCCUCACUAAAUAUUCCUCACUAAUUUUUGUUUUUUUGGUAGUGGUAAACUAACCUGCUCCAUAUGAACAUAACCUUAGAUAUUGACCAGUUCCAUGCAUAUACUUUUCCACGUUAAUGACAAGACAAAUCAAAUUCCUAAUAGCAAUUUUUAAAUGUCUUUGUCAAAACAAAAAUGUCUUUGUCAUAAUAUAAUAAAUCGUUUUUAAAAUGCCUAUAUCAACGCGUGGAUCAAACAUACAAUAAUAAAAAAACUCAUGGAUCAGACACACUUCAUGAUUGAUGAUUGUGAACACUACCCCACAGUUAAAUUUUGAGAAUUUACUGCUCUAUAUAUUAUAUCUCAUCAUGAAUGUAUUGAGGAGAAAAUCACAUCAUGAUUUACUGACUUUAUGGCAGGAAAACCAUCGUAAGAAUAAUAAUGCUUGUCCAUAUGAUCCAGUUCCAUGCAUAUACUUUCCAAUAGUUGGAAUAACAGUUAAAGGAAAAUUUCAUUAAAAAAAAAUUGUUGAAGGAAGAGUGAUUUUUAUUUGUGUUUAAACACAAGACAAAAGUAGAAAACAGCGAGAGAGAAAGGAAGAGAGAACACAAAAUAAUUUGUUGAUUCAGUUCGGUCCAAAUUAACCUAGUUUAGGGAGAGAACAGCCAUCCAUUUUACUAUAUGAUGAGUAACCUUACAAAAGAGAUAUCAAUGGGUUACAAGAAUAAAUCUCCCACUUAAUUAUACCUAAAGUCUCAAUCUCUUCCCGUAACCAAUAGACUCGAUCUUAAUAGUGUUUCCCAACGUGAAACAACCCUCAAACCCUAGUGUUUGUUCCAGAGACAAACUCUAUACAAACCCUAGUUUUGUUGUUGCAUUUCUAAACCCUUGUUUCAGCCCCUUUAUCUCAAGGUUUACAAUGAUACAAUGUCUAUAUUUAAAGUAAAAGAAUCCUCAAUAAAACUGGAACAAAUCUAGGCCCGAAAAUAUGUUUCUGUUUUAUUUUCUGCUGUCAAAAUCAGUCACCAUGCUCACCAAAUUGGCCACCGAUUUUUGCCGAAUCUGAAGCUCAAAUAAAAUAGUAUUCCAAUUUCUUUAAUUUUGAGGCACUUUCACAACAGAUAACAUGUAAAGUUUUUCAAAGUUUGCUGCUGACAAAGCACAGAUUAAUUUGAUCAUAUACCUAAUAAAUACCGAUUUGAAUUACUUUGAAAUUGUCAAGAAAAGUUUUUUCUUGGUACAAGUAAAUAAAAAACAAAGUUUUUACUUACCUUGAAAUUAGCUGACAAACCCAAAUAAUAAAAUAAUGAUUAAUACAUCUAAACUUCUAUAUUUAUACAUAAAGGAUACAUGACUUUAUAUUGGUUCUUUAUCUUCUAAUUAUUCUAAUAUAUAUACUCUUUAAGAUUAAAAUAAAAUAAGUAUAUGAUUUAGCACAAUAGAAAACUAGGACGAACAUAUAGUACUUAUUAUUAUAAAAUUUUAUUUACCUUCGACCAUACUUCGAUUUAUGAAGAUUCAGAUUCUUAAAGUAUCGAAGGGUUAACACAAUAAUAACUAAAAAUAUAUAUAAAAAAGAUGGGUACAUAGAAUCCAUUUUAACACUAAUACUACUAAAAUAAAAAAAACAAAGGUAGUGUCAACAUUUUCCAGCUAAUAAGCUCACUUACUUUAAAUAAUUUCAUUCAUGAAUAGUUUGCUGUCUUUAUCAAAUACAUAUCCACGUUCCAUGAAUAAACAACUUGUGUCACAUUGGUCCAAAAAGCAUACUGAAUUAUUCAAAGGCAGGCCAUUAUUUGUAUCCUAUGUUUUAAAUUAAUAAUAACCUCAGAUUUGUAAAAAUAAUUUGUUAAAAAAGGAUUACAAGAAUUUUUAUUGUAUUUUUUUUAGAGAGGUUGAAAACUAGGUGAAUUUUAAUAUGUACCAAAUCAAAGUUCAGUAACCAAGAUGAAUAGUUAAGUUAAAGUGGUAAUGAAAAAACUAUAUAAAGGGUGAUGCUGCCUUCAUUACAUCAACAACGAAACCCACUUUGGGAAAAAGAUGGGGUCUCAAAUGGCCUCUAUUACUCUCACUAUUGCAUUGGCAAUAAUCUCUCUUACCUUGCCAUCCCAAACUUCAGCAAACAGCUACAUCUAUUCAUCUCCACCACCACCACCAAAGCCUUACUACUACCACUCUCCACCACCACCGGUGCACUCACCACCUCCUCCUUACCAUUACAGUUCCCCACCACCACCUCCAAAGAAGCCAUACAAAUACGCUUCUCCUCCACCUCCAGUUUACAAGUACAAAUCACCUCCUCCACCAGUGUAUAAGUAUAAGUCUCCUCCUCCACCACCGAAGAAGCCAUAUAAAUAUCCAUCUCCACCACCACCAGUUUACAAGUACAAGUCACCUCCUCCACCAGUUUACAAGUAUAAAUCUCCUCCACCACCAGUUUACAAGUACAAAUCACCUCCUCCACCGGUGUACAAGUAUAAAUCCCCUCCUCCACCAGUGUACAAGUACAAGUCUCCUCCACCACCACCUAAGAAGCCAUAUAAAUACCCAUCUCCACCACCGCCAGUUUACAAGUACAAAUCACCUCCACCACCGGUGUACAAGUACAAAUCUCCUCCACCACCAGUUUACAAGUAUAAAUCCCCUCCUCCACCAGUGUACAAGUACAAGUCUCCUCCACCACCACCAAAAAAGCCAUAUAAAUACCCAUCUCCCCCACCACCAGUUUACAAGUACAAAUCACCUCCUCCUCCAGUUUACAAGUAUAAAUCUCCUCCACCACCAGUUUACAAGUAUAAGUCACCUCCUCCCCCAGUUUACAAGUACAAAUCUCCACCACCACCACCCAAGAAACCAUACAAGUAUCCAUCACCACCACCACCAGUUUACAAGUAUAAGUCUCCCCCUCCACCUGUCUACUCACCACCACCAGUUUACAAGUAUAAGUCUCCUCCUCCACCUGUCUAUUCACCACCUCCACCAUAUAAGUACAAAUCUCCACCACCUCCUCCUUAUAAGUACCCAUCACCACCACCACCAGUUUACAAGUACAAGUCACCUCCUCCCCCAGUUUACAAGUACAAAUCUCCACCACCACCACCCAAGAAACCAUACAAGUAUCCAUCACCACCACCACCAGUUUACAAAUAUAAGUCCCCUCCUCCACCUGUAUACUCACCACCUCCACCAGUUUACAAGUAUAAGUCUCCUCCUCCACCCGUCAAUUCACCACCUCCACCAUAUAAGUACAAAUCUCCACCACCUCCUCCUUAUAAGUACCCAUCACCACCACCGCCAGUUUACAAGUACAAAUCACCUCCUCCUCCAGUUUACAAGUACAAAUCUCCACCACCACCACCCAAGAAACCAUACAAGUACCCAUCACCACCACCACCCGUUUACAAAUAUAAGUCCCCUCCUCCACCAGUUUACAAGUAUAAAUCUCCUCCUCCACCUGUUCACUCACCACCUCCACCACACUAUGUCUACUCUUCACCUCCUCCUCCGGUCUAUUCCCCUCCUCCACCACAUUACAUAUAUUCAUCACCUCCUCCUCCUUACCACUCUUAGAUAACGGUUUACCAUAGUAUCCCAUGGUAUGCUUCUUUUUUAGUACGACCAAUAUCUUUAUGAUUAAAAUGCUUCGAGAAAUACUAAUUUAUAUAUCAACAAAAUAUAUGUAUUUUAUCAACGAAACAAUUAAAUAAGAGAAUCAAAAUUAGUGAUUUGAAUAGUUUUACAUGCCAACACAUGCAAGUCGUUAUAUAGACCUCACAUUCAUUUUAUUCUUAUUAUUCUUAUAGUCUAAAUAGUACAAUUUUCUUGAAACGUCUAAAUUGACAUACAUCUUAUGGUACAGUUUACAAAAAUCAAUCUAAGCCUAUUUUAUUUCUAUUUAUAGUAUUAUAUGUAAAUAGAAAAAAUAUACAAACUAAAAGGAAAGUUGACAGUUAUGUUUCUUAUUAAUGCUUCUCACUCGUAUUGUUCUUUGAGUGCUUAAUUAAUGUGUUUAUGUGUUUGUAUAUACUUUUGUAGGGAUUAAGGAAUAUUGGAAAUAAAGAGAACAUAGUGCAAAGCAGGAAGAUGCAUUUAGCAAUAAGGGAGAAAAACAACGGAAGCAAAGUUUCCAUGCAUUUUGGUCUCAGAAAAAGUCACUUUGUUUUUCUUAUUUGUUUGUAUAUGAAUUAUUAUUCUCAUUAUUGAGUUUGGUUAUUGAAUUUAGACAGGUGUAAUACACUGUGUGUAAUAUCGUGAAUGCAUUUUGUUUUGGAACCUACUCUUUGCAAGGGGUUGGUUGGGAAAAUAAAAUUGAAUAUUUGUUCUACUAAUUCUUUGCAUAUUUAUUGUGAAAUUACAAUAUAAUCAAUGCUCAACUAAUUAUUUUUUUCAACAGAAAACUAAUGCAUUUCAUUAAAAAUUAAAGGACCAAUAUAAAGGAGAAUGUCAAAUUAUAAAGCUAAGAAUUUCUGAAAAAAAAAAUAAAGUUGAGAACUGACGCUGUAUAUGUUUAGCUUAGCAAAGGUGCAUUGUGCAUCCAUAUUAGUCUCUCUCCUACAAAACUCGACAUAAGAAUUAUUACAUAAUAACGAUAAAGUACUACAAUAUCUACUUAAAAUAGAAUCUACAUAUCAAUAGCUGUUAAUAAGUUUAAAGUCUCACCCUCACUCAAUAACUUAUUUAAGCAUUGAAUGUUCAAUCCAAUUGCUAUUAAUUUCGACAAGCCGGUCCUAAUUUACUCUCUCUCGGUUUUCUCUUCCAGUUUCUUCAUUGAGGAGUUAUUUUGGGUCAAUUAUUGACCUGAAAUCACUCCUCUUCAUCUUUUUAUGCCUAUUUCAAUCUAAAUAAGUGAUUUUCACAUAGAUUUAGGUUUUUUCUUUGUGGUUUUAUCAUCUAAGUGUGGUGGUUUGUUGUUCGUCGUCUUGUGCGGCGUUGUUCGAUUUCACGUUUCUUGCGGUGUUCAUUUAAUUCAUAUUGAAAGAUUGAUUAUUCAAUCGAAGAUUUGGGCGUCAACGUUGCAGAUCCGGAUGCUAUGGAUAUUCCGGUCACUUUAAUUUUAUCAUAUAUUUUUUGUUGUGAAAACCACACCAAUAAUAAACUUGAUGCGUGGAGCAAAUUAAUACCAAGUAAUCAAAUCAAGCGGGUAGCAAAUAAUUCAAACAAAAGUAAACGACAAGAGAUAAAAGGAAAGAAGGAGAACACAAGAAUUUGUUUACCCAGUUCGGUCUAAUGAUGACCUAGUCUAGGGGAGAUAGCAGCUCUCUGCUUCACUAUAAUGAUAUGAGUUUCUUUACAAAGAGAUAUUGAAUUACAAGAAUCAGUCUUCAAACCUAAUUCUACCCAAGUCCCAGCCUCUUCCCGUGACCAAGAGACUCAAUCCUAAUGGUGCUUUGUUCAACGUGAAUCAAAACAAUCCCAACCCUAGUGUUUGUUGCCAAGAGAAAUUCUCUAUAAACCCUAUUUUCUACACAGUGUUUUGUUUCUACACACUCUCAGUCUCUCAAAUAUUCAUAUGAUACAAAGCUUAUAUUUAUAGUGGAAAGCAUUCCUCAAAAAUUGGAAACAGGCCCACAAGCUGUUUUAUUUUUCUCAUCUUGCGAGAAAUCGGCCAUCAAGUUUGGAAAAUCGGCCACCGAUUUUUCACGAGACAAAAGUCUCCAAAACCAGGUCAAAAUCGACCACCGUGUGGUGUAACACCCCAUUCCCAAAUAUAAUUUAUUUAAAUGAAAUAAACACACAUCAGAGUAAUAAAUCCAAAUGGGCAUGUCACACUACAUUUUCAAAUUUCUGAAAUAGAAUAUAAAAAAUCUAUUUAUUAAACAUCCAAUGAAAUCAUCAUUUAAUAUGCAGCGGAAUAUUAUCAACGAAACGUCAACAACUGUUUAAACCUCCAAAAUAAUAUCUCAGCAUAAAAAGCCUCAACCAGAAUAAUUCAUCAACCAUAGGGCUACAACAACAUUAACCAAAAUUUGAUACAUAGAAUGAAAGAAAACAAUAAAAUCCCAUCCCACGUAUCAGAGCCCUAGACACUUUGAGCCACCACCUACUACUCAGGAUCACCUGCAAGUUACCCAUAGGAAGGGCAACAUUUCCAAGCAGAAGGGGUGAGAUUCUCAAUCAAUAAAAAUAAAAUAUAAUAACAUCAAUUGAAAAUCUAGCACCUUACAACAUCAAUGAUUAUUCAAUAAGCAUAGGUAUUUCAUAAUCGACAACAAUCAUUCAAAUAUAGAAUUCAAUCAACAAUGCAACUCAUGAUAUGACAUGACACCCCCCUUUAAUACUCCUCAAUAAAUGCAACUAUGCAUGUGGUACCAUAAUUCAGGGCCAUGACCCACACCACUGUCGAAUGGUUAAAGCAUUCUCAGCAGGACCUAAGUCCUCACCGCUCCACACCGCUUUGAACAACUAGUGUUCCACCGCUUUGAACGACAAGGCGUUCCAGAGCCGAAGCUCUCCCACUUUGAUGUUUAUGCAACUACCCCACCUGUGUAUAUCUACAUACAACUCGACCACUACAUAUGUAUCAUAUGACUUACUACUCCACAACUCAAACAAUCCAGACUUACACAAUUAUUUAUAAUUAUGCACAUACAUCAAUCAUCUCCGACAUUCACUAACACCAAUCAAUCCAAUCACUGGCUAGUUUAAAUAGGAUUUGGUCACCUACACCAGGGUUAUAUUAGUUAAAGAGGAAGUUAAAGAACGCUCAAGAAGUCCCCUCAUGCACUAAGCAACAGUUCAGAAAAGGCUGAUUAAGGUUCACUUCGCUUAAGCGACGGCUAGUUCGCUUAAGCGACCAGCUUACAGUAGGUUCUGGGUUCAGUUCGCUUACGGGUCGCUCACGGUUCGCUUGAGCGAACUUUGGACAGAAUGAAAAUGGUUUUUCGCUCACAGGGUCGCUUACCAUUCGCUUAAGCGAAAUCUUGGCAGAACCAAACUUAAUUUUCGCUUACCAGUUCGCUCACGGUUCGCUUAAGCGAACGGGUAAAAUCGCAUUCUGGGCAGCUUGCUUGAAUGCUCGCUUAAGCGACGGAUGCUUCGCUUAAGCGACCACUCAUCUGGGCAGUGCAAAACCUACGGUUUCAGACCUCUUCUCACUCCAAAAACCCCAUUUUAAUCCCCUGAUCACCCAAAAUGUUUUCCAACAGAUGUUUACAGGUCCUAUAUACAACUAGGCAUUACAAAGAAACACAAUUCAGCCAUCAACAACAACAAUUAUAGAAUCAUUCCACCAUCACACAAUAUUUCAUCAAUUCAUACAAUUCAUCCAAAAUUCAAUCAAUUCAUGGAUUACAGCAACAACAUGGAUUAAGAUUUCGUUCUUAACAUUAAAUUCCAAGAAACUAACAUCAUCUUUACUCAUUCCAUCAGAAUCAUCAUCAAACCCUAACUUUCAUCUUAUUUUCCAAAACUAUUCAAUUAGGUCAAUUUCAGAAAUUAUAGAUUAUGAUUAUUGAGAGAUAGUCUCACCCUUACCUUAGUUUUGCAGAAAAUUAGACAGCAAGGAUCGAUUUCUAGGCUCUCCUCUCUAGCUCUUGCUCUUCUUCUCCCUUUUCCCAAAACUUGUCUGUUGUACGUGAAACUGUUUUCUGACUAUUCCUUUUCCUAACUCCCCAAAACUAUAACUCCCCCUAUUACAUUAAACUCCAUUAAUUUUUAUUAAAUUCUAAUUAACUCCCUAAUUUCUAAAAUAAUAUUAAUUUCCAGUUAUUUUAAUUAUUAUUAUAUUAAACUAUAUAAUAAAAUGCACACACCACAUAAAUCACCAAAAAUCAUAUAAAAUCACAUUUGAGACUCCACAUAAUUCAAAAUAAAAUAAAAUAAUACUAGGGCGUUACAUGUGGUACAAAUUGGACACCGAAUUUGACAGACAGGAUGCACAUUUUUGAGUCACUUUUCAACAUUUUUGUAGGCAUUAUGUCGUUAUAUGCUAUUAAUUAACUUUGAUGUUGUGAGUUUAUUAGCAGAUUCAUCCUUUAAGUUUUUAGCGGUGUUGAAUGAUGUAAUCUCGAUUUGAAUGAAUGAAUAUCAUUUUAUUUUUGUAAAAAAAAAAAAAAAAAAAACUAUAUACAUCAUUACUGUAAUUUUUUUUACAACAUGUAUCAAUCAUUUUGUUACAUUUUGUAUUAGUUACUAAAGUAUAUCUACAAAUAGUCUAUGUCGUUAAUUGUGAUCGAAUGCACACAGAUUUUUACAUUAAAAUUUUGCAAACCAUCAAAGUUAAAAAAACAUGCAUAGAACAAACCUUGGGAUAUGUAUUCGAGAUGACGAAAACACUUUUUGUGUUGGAUAAAACUUUGUCCAUCACUGCAAUGUAUAAGCAUACGGGAGAAGUUUUGGGUUUUUUCCAAUCGUUACACUAAUUAAGUGAUAUGUAAUUUGACAAUGUUGACUUUACAUUGUACUCAAAGAUUAUUACAAAUGGUUUCCAUCAUCAUCGUGUUCAUGUUACAUAAUUUGGUCAAGUGAUUUCAGCUUACAGGGGCCUCUUUAAUACUUAUUUCACAAACUCUUAGGACGAGUUUAACAGACGACAAACCAAUGAGGUAGUUCACAUCCUUGUUGGGUUGUCAAAUUAUCAACUAAUCUCACUAUUUAUUCGCAUGUAAUUCGUUGUAUAAGCACUCUUAUUAUUAAUUAAACUAGCGAGUUAACCCGUGCAAUGUAUGAGCGACAUAUGCUACUAUUUUUUAAUCUCCAAAAUUAUAUUCUUUUUUUUGUUUUUUUAUAUAUCACUAGCGAAAAGACAAGCACUCUCGUGCCCGUCUUUCCGCUCUUUUUAUUGCGUUAAUGUUUGAAAAUUAUGAACAAUAUUUUUUUAUGAAAUUUUGAUUUUGAUUAAAACUAUAUAUAUAUAUAUAUAUAUAUAUGUUUGUUGCUUUAAAAUUAUAACAAAUCAAACUAAUCAUGAUUAUCUAUUUCAUUGAAACCAACAAUAUAACAAAAAAAAUAUAAUCUAAACUCUUAUUUUUUUAAUGACACCAACAACGAUCUUUAUUAUAGAAAAAGUUAUUUGAGGGUAUAAUUGAAAUAGUAAAAAAGUAAGUAUAUAAAAAUACUCAUCUAGUUUGUUAGACAUUUUAAAAGAUAAAAGAAAAAAAUUAGACAUAUAUAUAUAUAUAUAUAUAUAUAUAUAUAUAUAUAUAUAUAUAUCGUGUUUCUUACACUUUUAUUUUAAUACAUGAAUUUGCUUUAAUCUAUUUGUUUUGUGUUAUUUGUAUUGAAAGUUAAGGGUAAUUUUGGAAAGAGAAAAAUUCAGCCUAAAAGAGUCUAAAUAUGCUAUUUUCUUUAUAUAUAGUAUAAAUUAACUAACAUUUUAUAAGUUAUAGCCGGCCCUAGUUUUCUAGUGAGAGAAACUCCAACUUCUCUCUAGACUUUCUUUCUCCUUCGUUCAUCGAGGAGGGGUGGUUUUAGGUCAUUUUUUGACCUAGAAUCACCCCUCUACAUCUUUUUUCCCCUUUUCUUUCAAUCUAAAUAAGUGGUUUUCACAUCUAUCAAGUUUUUCGUUUUGUGUUUUUUGUGAUUUCGUCGUCUAAGUGCGGCGUUUGAUUUCGCGUCUUGUCGCGGUGUUUGUUCAGUUCCUAUUGAAAGAUCUACAUCAAUCAAUUACAAAUUCAAGCAAUGAUUUGGAUGUCAACGUUGCAGAUCCGGAAGCAUGGGUAUUUCGGUGAUUUAGGUUUGAUCAUAUUAUUUGUAGGCAUUUUGCUGUUGUAUGCUAUUAACUUGGGUGCUGUGAGUUUGCUCGCAUAUUCACCCUUUACAUUUUUAGCGAUGUUUGUAUCUGAUGUACUCUAUCGAUUUGAAUGAAUGAAUAUCGUUUUGUUUUUGUAAAAUAAAAAGUGUUUUUUUUUUUUUUUUAUAUUUUUUAUUAGUGACAAAUAUUUGACCCAUACAUUUUUUAUGUAUUAAUGAUAAAUAUUUGUUCUAGUUUUCUAAAUUUAUAAUGACAAAUAUAUCUUAUGUGUUUAUCAUUGACAAAUAUUUGACACAUUUUUUUAUAUAUUUAUCAGUGGUAAAAACCUCAUAAAGAACCUAUGUUAAAUACUUGUUCCGUACUUUUUUAAUUGAUCAAUUACAAAUAUUAGUCCCAUGCUUUUUAAUAUUUUUUGUUCAAUUUUUUAAAAUAUUUAUCAAUUAAUUUAGGGUUAACAGGCCUUUACCCCCUACAAUGAUAGGCGAAUACUUGACCCUAGAGCUCUAAAAUGUGUUUUUGUUGGCUAUUCCUCCACUUAAAAAGGAUAGAAAUGUUACCAUCCUUCGUACAAACAAUUCUGUGUCUAGAGAUGUUACAUUUCAUGAAGAGGAAGCUUUUUUCAAACAACCUUAUCUUCAGGGAGAGAAUUUAAGAGAAGAUAAGGAAAUAAAUCAUGAAAUCCUUGCUCUUCCUAUCCUUGAGUUUGCUUGUAUCCUAAGGUUGACAUAACCUUAGAGAACCUUUCAAACCAUGCUCAGGGUGAUUGUUUCAAUCCAUAUAAUGCCUUUUUCAACCUGCAUAUAGAAUUGGCAGCAAGAUUUUUACAAUAUUCUGGCGGUACCUCCAUAUAGAUUUCCUCCUCUAGUUCCCCAUGCAGGAAAGCAUUUUUCACAUCAAAUUGCUGCAAUUCCCAACCAUAAAAGGAAUGGAAAUGCAAUAAUUGAAGCUUAUACUGAUGAUGACCAUGCGGGGUCAAUUACAGACAAGAGGUCCACUACUUGAUAUUGUACCUUUGUUGGAGGAAAUUUAGUAACUUGGAGGAGCAAAAAACCGAAAGUGGUGGCUUGCUCUAGUGUUGAAGCUGAGUUUUGAGUAUAACAUAAGGUAUUUGUGAACUACUUUGGCUGCAAAUUAUUUUAGAAGAUUUGAAGAUAAAAUUGGAUGGACCUAUGAAGUUCUAUUGUGAUAAUAAGUCAGCAAUCAACAUAGCUCAUAAUCCCGUUCAACAUGAUCGAACAAAACACGUUGAGGUGGAUAGGAAUUUUAUCAAAUAUUUUUAUAUUUAUUAGUGACAAAUAUUUAUUUCACGUUUUCGGAUAUAUUAGUGACAAACAUUUGUCCUAUGUUUGUUAUGUAUCAGUUAUUAAUAAAUGUCUUGUGUAUAUUUAUCAUUGAUAAGUAUGUGUCCCGUGUUUUUAUUUUAUUUUAUUUUUUAUAUUCUUCGAUCUUAAAGCAACGAUGAUAGAUCAAGACCUAGAGUGAUAAUUGGUGCCAUUUAACAAAGAGUUUGCAAGAACAUUCCCAAGAUUUUUAUUUGGAUGCAUGAAAUAUGGAUUUAAGGUAUCAUUCUGGUAACCUUUGUGAUGAUGAGAAUCGUGUCCUCCAUUGACACUUCCAGCAAUACUAUCCAUAGACAUGAUGAAUCAACGAAAGGGAUUCACAGAGAAAAGAAAGAAGAGAUAUUUUUACAUUCUUAUGACAUAACUAACUACACACUAACUAUGAUUAAGACUAGAGAUGACUAUAGUUAGGAUGUUACAACUAACUGUUAACUGCCUCAAUAACUUGCAGAGCAACUUACUUAGUGUUCACUAUGUUUUGUUGUUGACAAAAUUCUUAUUUGAUGUUUUAAAAAUUACAAACAUAUUAAAUUUAUUUCAUCUUGUUAUCUACUAACUUGUUCUGUGAUAAUUAUUUCAUGAGAAUGAUCACGACAACAUUCUGGUAUCAUAAGACAAACAAAGCAGUUACGUCAAAAGACAAAUCAGCAAAAAGGCAAAAUUUAGCUUUACAAGAAUAUUUAACUUUUGAAUUAUUAAUAUCAAGAUCAAGACAUUUAUAUGCCUUAUUAAAGGAAGACAUAUAAUGUUCUGUCGAAAAGAAAAAAAAAAGAUAUUUAAUCAUUGUUGAUUGGCAAAAUGAAGAAAGAAAUGUUUUGGGCCUUAAAGAAGAUUUUUUAUCCAUUAAGGAAAAGAAACAAGUCCAUUAAAGAAAAAUAUCUCAUAAAGGCUUUAAGCACAUGUGAAUUAAAUGUGACAUCAUCAAAAGGACAAAAGAAUGACAUAAGCAUGUCACUUCUGACAACUAUCAACAACUCAUUAUAGCCGGAUAACUCUCACGUGGAAGCAUAAAGUAAGCUGGACAUCCAUAACCUUCUGGAUGUGUAAAUUAACAUUCUAGUCGUGUUGAAGAAGAAAAGUGAAAUCAAUUGAAACUUUGGAUAUCUAUAAAAAUGUGCCCAACAACUCUAUUUUCAUAGUUUAUCACCAACACACUCCACAUCUAUAAAUACAUGAAGACAUGAAGAAUCAAAACAAGUGUUUUGAAAGCAAGCAUUCUCUCGAGUGAAAAUCAUCACUAUAUACAAACUCUUCACAAACAAACAAAUUCUAAGUUCUCUCAAUAUAUCAUUUGGAUGAUACUCAUUCAAAUUUGUUUAUUUAAAUCUCAAACAUGUGUUGAGAAUUUCAUUUGAUCCAAACCCACCUCAUCAUACAAAGUGUAUUGUGUUCUCAAGUCUAUUGCUAACAAUAUUUUGAGAAGAAUUGACAACCUUUCUUGUCCAGAAUUAAAAAAUUGUAGAAGCCUACUAAGGUUUAUUUUACAGGAUUUAACGAACUGAUCUGGUGUGAUCAAGAAUUUAUGGUGCUAGUCAUAAGUUUCUGUUAGCAUGAUACUAUAGUGGAUAAUCUUACACAAGGUGUGGGGACUGAAAGUAGCCGAGUUUGGUGAACUAUGAUAAAUCUCAGGUGUUAUUCUUCUUCCCUUUCUCUCUUUAAUACUUAAUAAUCUCUCCAAAAUAUUGUGGUCCUAAUUAAUCACAAUCAAAUUAAUCCAAUGUUUUCUGGUCCUAAAUUGUUUCAUUUAAUAUUAAUUAUACAGAUGCAUUCAGAACAUUCUGAUGCAAGAUAAAACAAUUACAUAAAUAACUAAAGACAAACUCACGUUUAAAAUCAAAUUAUAAUAUUAUUUUAUCAUUCUGUUUUAUUCUCCAGAACAUUCUGGUCCUUGUUAAAAUAGUUUUACAUUUCAGCUUAAUAUCAUUUUUCUCAUUCUUCUUAUAUAUUAAAUAUAUAAUCAUUUAAUCAAAAACAUUAUGGUCCUAGAUAAAAAAGAAUUGUUAUAUAUCAAACACUCUAAUCUAAUUAGACUAACAUUUACCAAGAACCUUCUCUACUAAACAAACUUAUUUAAGUUUCAGGAAUAAUUUUAAAAGGGUCACAAUUCACCUCCUCCUCUUGCGACGUUUCUUGCUACUUCAUGUUCAACAUAGGAUUUUAUAUCACAACCAAGCGACUUUUUCACACCCACACACCCAUUAGUUAUCUAGCUGUAAUAAAAGCAUGUAAUUGAAUGAAUUAAAUGAAAAAGGAGUUAGGGUUUCAAAUAACAACCAUAUAGAUUUAGGGGUGGCCCUGAGGGCAGGCAGGAGGGGCAGUAACCUAGGGCACCAUUUUUUAAGAGGCACCAAAAUUAUUAUUUUUACUUAGUAGUUAGUACUAUAUAGAUAUAUUUCUUUUUAAUUCGUUUUGAUUAAUUAUAUUAAAAAUAUAUUUUUAGAGAACUUUAAUUGUAAAUGAAUCUUUUGUAACAAAAACUGCAAGAAGGAAAAUAUUGAAAUAAAUAAAACAACACAAUUUUAUUGUUUCGUCCAUGACACCAAAAAUCUCAGAACCAGCCCUGAGAAAGACUAUAAUGUUGUGGGGCCGCAUCUUUUCUUUUCUUAACAUGAAUGUGAAGAAAGACGAGAGAUUAUAAAAUUUAGAUAUUUUCUACGCUGCCCUUCUCUCUCUUCAUGUUUGUCUUUUGCAAAAUAACAUCAUUGUAAAAAUUAAAUUUAGUAUCUUAUACUCCCUCCAUUCCUUUUCUUUUAAUGUUUUAGAACUUUAAAUAUAUUCCAAAACUUUUGAUGUUUUAGUGAAUUUAUUAUUGUUUUCUCAAGUUUACCCUUUUCUUCCGAAGCAUAAAGAAUAACCUUCAACCAAGACAUAAACUCAAAAAGAAAAUGUUUAAAUUAAUAAUAAUAUUGAUUUUUAUGUUUGUUUUUUAUUGAACACGUAGAAAAUUGGUUUUCAAACAAACAUAACGUUUGGGAGAGUAUGUAACACUUGAGUUCGAUUCUAGAAUUGUCUAUUUGGAAGGCAGCUCAAUCUUGUAUAAAAAUAUGUCUCACAUUCAACUUGAAAUUAAAUGUCAUAGCUUGGUUAAACUAGAGCCAUGGACAGAUAAAGAGACUAUGUGAUCAAAUGUGGCUAUUUUGAUACAAGUCAUUUUGCCUUUUAAAAAAGAAAAAAUGAAUAGAUUUAAAGCAAUUGGUUAACAAAUCCAAGUCACACCUCAUCAAGGAAGGAAAAGUCAGCAUUUACUUAGCAUUCACAUAUCAAGACUUUUUGUUUAUGUUAGGCAAUUGUCCUACCUCAGGAACAAAGAGAAGAGGCCAAAAAAUAAGGUUAAAUAAUGCAAAGUCUCUGAUUCGAAGUACUUUGACUCUUUUUGUGGAUUUUAGGGAUGUUUGGUGGGUAACCUACACCAUUCAAUCAUUCCCAUCAUAUAAUUAAAUGAAUCUCACUUAAUAAAAUCAAGAAUCAUAUCCUGUUCUUCAUCAAAAUCAUAUUCCAAACCAAAUGAGUGUAUGACAUACGCUACAUAAAUUAUAAUAGAGUCUUGUUAACCAUUGUUCGGACAAUGGUUAAGGAACUUAAAAGUAGUAUGUUUGCAUUGGUUUUAAUAACUUUUAACUUUUAAAAAGUUAAAUUUAUCAGUUUUUAUCAUUUUUCAAUACUAUAUUUAUAUUUUUAUCCUCCAAUACCUCAAGAGCAAUGAUUAGCAUUCUCAUCCGUAAUAAUAUGAUUUACAUUUAAGAAAUUCAAGCCACCUUAGUCAUUAUUAAUCAUAUCCUCGAUUUUGACUUGUAAUAGGAGCUAGAACAGCUAGCGCAACAAUAAAUUUUUUGACAAAUACAUGUCCAUCAACAAGGACAGACAAAAUAUUUAAUUUUGUAAGAAAAAAAACUCAUUCAUAAAAUUAUAAUCAUGUUAAUAUAUGCUCUACGAACACAUGUUAAGAAUUCAAUAAAUAAUAACCAUUUAGACACAUGCUCGGAAACCACAUCAAACCAUAAGACGAGGCAAUGAUAUGCAAAUCACAUUUGGAAUCCUUCAACAACCAUAUAGGUUUUUCACACAUUCGAAGACCGUUAACUCACCUCACAUAAAUACAGGUAAAUCACACUUAAAGGUUAGAGUGUUUACAGGUAGAUCAUCCUCCUCUGCGACUCAUCAAUUGUGUCAUCGAUUUGGUUUACCCUCAGCUUCUUUUUUAUUGAUUGAUUAUAACUUUUUAAUAUAUCAACGACUAUAAUUAUUUACAUUAUAUAUAUAUAUAUAUAUAUAUAUAUAUAUAUAUAUAUAUAUAUAUUUCAAAGUCUAAAUUAGUAAAUGUGCACUUUUUUAUUUGGACAAAAAAGUCAUUCACCUUUAUUAUUUAAAACUAUUACAUUGAGGGUUACUUUUGUAACUUUAUUAUAAAAUAAUGGCUAAAAUAUGGUUUUAGCCCAUGUAAAUAUGUCUCGUUUUAGUUUUAGUCCAUGUAAAAAAAAAUUGUUUUUGGUCCCUGCAAAAUUUUUUGUUUUUGAAAAUAGUUCCUCAGGGACUAUUUUCAAAAACAAAACAUUUUGCAGGGACCUUUUUAAAAAACAAAAAAUUUUGCAGGGACCAAAAACAAAAUUUUCUUUUUACAGGGACUAAAACCAAAACGAGACAUAUUUGCAGGGACUAAAACCAUAUUUUAACCUAAAAUAAUUGUUAACUUGCAUCACUUAGCUAAUUACUUAGAUCCACUUUUGUUAUGAACACAACAAUUACAAACAUUAAACAACUAAAAAAAAGACAAAAUAUUUGUGUUUUUAGUAAAGACAAAAUAUAGUUAACUUGCACCACUUAGCUAACUUAGACUCACUUUUAAUUUUUUUUUUAUUAAUUAAAUGCAAUUGAAAAAAAUAACCUUCUAUGAAAAACAAUUGGAAUAUGGGUAAUUGAAUUUUAUUUUUUUUUCAAAUAAAAAUGUGAGCACUACUAGAAAAAGCUAAGAUACCGACGAAAUUUAGAGACGGAAUUAGAGACGGAAAAAAUCAAUGAGAGAAGAAAAUAAGGUGUUUAAAAUUCAUUAUCUGGUAGAACAGGUCUCGUGCGGUUGUUUCAGCGGGGUUGAUUUAGUCCUCAAUCCGAAGCUUCAUUACACUUGAAGCUUCUUAGUCGUGUUGUGUAGAAAUUAAACCUUAAUAUUUUGACUCAAAGCUCGUCAUGUGUUACUAAUAUCUAUUUCUAUUAAGUAUAUAUUUGUAUAACUGUGCUACAAUCUAUCAAUGGAUAUAAUCUAUCCACCUGUUUAUUUUAUAAAGAUUAAUUAUAUGAUUGUUUUAAUACAAAUAAAGACCUUAAAAGUUAAAAAAGUUAUACUCCAUAUUUCAAUACUCAAAUUUCAUGGUUGUCCAAGUAAGUUGUAACAUAUACUCAAAUUUCAAAAUAACAAUUCGUUAUUCAACAAAUUUGAAAAUGAUGCAAUGAUAAUGACAUAUAAUCAUCUUAACAUCAAAAAUAUAGCACAUGUAGUUGGAAAAAAAAAAAAAAAAAAAACGCAUGUCAAAAGUGUGUACAUUUAAGAUCGAUAAGUCAUUGUAGGAGUAAACCUAGCCACUUGUUGUACAUACAAUAUGAUAUAGAUUUUGAGAAAUGUUAUUUGUACAACUAUUUUGUGACAACUUUCUCUUUCAUACUCACAUUAUAUUCUUACUCUUUCUCAUCCUUUUUCUCUCUCCAUUAUUUUUGACCAAUACCAAAAGAGAAAAAGAAGGUUGUCAUGAAAGUUGUAUCAAAUGGUUAGCUCGAAAGAUUUGUAUGUUACUUUACCACAUGAUUUUUUUUUCGAACAAGUCAAAAUGGAAUAUUAUAUCAUCAAAGAUGGUUCAUCUCGCAUAAGGUAUGCAAAAGAGAAACACCCACCAAAAAAUACAGCUAGAUGUCUGGUGCCAUAAAAGAGCACUCCUGAAGAAAAACAGAAUAAAACAAGGCUACAAUAAAACACCCAUACAAUGUAAAGGGUGCCGCCAACAGUCAUGGUAACUAAAAGCAUAAGUAGACUUGUUUGCCUUUAACCAAGAAAAAGACAUCAAUUUAAUAUUUUCCCAAUAAUUAAUUAUUACACCUCUCUUUAAAUAUAAUAUAUUCUUAAGUAGUUUUUUUGUCUUUGUUAUAUGACCAUUAAUUUGUAUAAUUUUAUCCCAAUUAAUUUAUAUUUUUAAUUAAAUUAAAGAUGCAUCUAGUAUAACUUCUGAAAAAUGGUUAAAGAGUUGAACAUCACGUCCUUAAGGAGCAUGAACAAACUUCUUAAAAAUGGUUAAAGAGUAUGAAUGUCAACAUGUAUCUAUCAACCAAUUUUUUAAUCAAACUAACCUGUUCCAUAUGAACAUAACCUCAGAUAUGGACCAGCUCCAUGCAUGAGUGUGAGUUAGCUUAAAACUUAUGUUAUAUCUAUCAUUCUUUCUAAUAAUUUUAUUGAAUGAAUUCUAUUUUGCCCGUGCAAAAAAAGAAGUAAAAAUGAACCUUCUAGGAGAGCAAGGAAAAAAUUACUGGUUAAUGGUGAUUUUGACUGGUUUCUUAACUAUGAAGUUAUGACCUUGCACCAACGUUAAGGACUAAGUAUUUGAUCUAUUAAAUUAGGGUUACGAAAGCUCUAGUUUUGCUAAAUUAUGAAAAUACUAGUUUUGUUUAUAAUAGUGAUCAGAGGUAUAUAUCAAGACAUGUAUAUUGAUUUUGCUAAAUACUACUAAAUUGGUGAAAUUGGAAUUCCUAAAGUUUAAUAUCCCUAUAUUAGACGAUCAUAUAUCAAGACAUGUAUAUUGAAUUUGCUAACUUUGAAAACAGCAUACAAACCAAUAUAUUAAAAUAAGAGCAGUGUCAACAUUUUCUGGCAAAUAAGCUAACUUAUUCUUUUGUUUACAUUUCAUUUCAAAUUCAUACCCAACUUGGGACGCAUUGGUCCAAAAAGCAUACUCACUAAUUCAAAGGCAAUCCAUUUUUUUAAUAAUAGCUGCAUGUAUCAUAAUACUUUUCACAUUUGUAAACUUAAUUUUCAAAGGCAACCAAGAUGAAUAGUUGAGGUAAAUUGGACAAAGAAAAAACCAUAUACAAAUACGUCUAUUCCUCUCCACCACCACCACCACCACCACCAUCUAAGCCAUACAAAUACGCUUCUCCACCACCACCAGUUUACAAAUACAAGUCCCCACCUCCACCCGUCUACUCACCACCACCACCACCAGUUUACAAGUACAAGUCCCCACCUCCACCACCAGUUUACAAGUACAAGUCCCCACCUCCACCCGUGUACUCACCACCACCACCACCAGUUUACAAGUACAAGUCCCCACGUCCACCCGUUUACUCACCACCUCCACCAGUUUACAACUACAAGUCCCCACCUCCACCCGUCUACUCACCACCUCCCCCGGUUUACACGUACAAGUCACCACCUCCUCCCGUCUAUUCACCACCUCCACCAGUUUACAAGUAUAAGUCUCCUCCUCCUCCUGCUUACUCACCACCUCCACCACAUUAUAUCUACUCUUCACCACCUCCUCCUCCUCCUCCUUACCACCACUAAAUGGUGGUUUACGAUAGUAUCCCACCGUAUACUUCUUCCUAUGUACAACCCACACAAAAUACAUAAUAUUUAAAAUAUUUUUAUAUAAUUCAAUUACAGUGCUUAUAAUAUUAAUCCGAUAAAUAUCUAGUUGGGCAUAGCUUCAAAUAAAAAAAUUUGGUAACACACAUAAAUGAUAAAAUUUACCAGAUAAAAAUUUAGUGACAUCAUAUCCUUUCUUUUUUAAAUUUUAUCAUUGAUGUGUGUGCGUUUAAAUAAAGUGUUGUUGCUUUUGGAAAUAGGUUUAAAUGCGAAACUACAUAUACCUUUUAAAGUUUUAAUUUAAAAAAUUGGAUUGUUAAAAUAUUAUCAUUGGCAAUUUGUAACAAAAAAAAUGAGACCUGAUGCAGAAGGUGAGUCAUGAGGUCAUCCACUAUACAAUAUGAUCACAUUAUGAUCUUAUUAAUUUUGUUUGAUUUAAAAUUUCAAGCGAUUAAUAAUCCUAAUAAACAGUUUUAGCUAGAUUAUAUAAUGUUUAAGGCAAAACCAUUUUCUUAAUGAAAGAUAUUGAUAUAUUUAUGUGUACAUAUACUUUGCAGGGUUUGAGGAAUAUAAUGGAAAUAAUAAAGAGAAGACAGUGCAAAGCAGGAAAGAUGCAUCAAUUCACAAUUAUAUAGCACAAUAAAAACAACAACCUAAGCAGUUUCCACGCACUCUGAUUCAGAAAAUGUCACUCCUUUUUUCUUCAUUUUAUUUAUGAGAUUAUUAUUCUCAUUAUUGUGCUUUGAUGUUUGAAUUUAUACUGUUGUAAAGCACUGUGUGUAAUAUUAUUCAAAUAAAUAGAGAACGAUUCUGAAAUUUGUCAUAUUGUAAAGAAUUGAAUAUAUACGGUGGCAGAGCCAAUAAUUUUAUCGAGUUUGAAUAAAAAAUUUACCGCAGAUUCACAUGCGACAUAAUAUAUAAAUAGUCAUAAAUCGAAAUAAAAUAGGCUCAUCAUUUUAUCGAUAAAAAUUACAAUUUAUUUGAAAUAAGAAAGAUGAAACAUAACCUGUCAAUAAUGUGCUAAAUAAAAUUAGAAGGUAAAUGCCCUUCCCGAGACCUCUUUGCGGUGAAUGUUCGAAUAAUAUCAACAACAUCAAGUGACUUGAAUUUCUCCCACUCGGUGUAACAUAUCAUCAAGUCAUUGAACCACACAAUGUUGAUCUUGUUGGUAACAAUUUUUUCUCACGGGCUUAUAAGAUUAUUUUACCAGCUUAUUGACAGGGCUUGAUAACUGAUGGACUUUCAACUUUUGUUGAUGUUUGUAAUAACUUUGGCGCACCCGCUAUUGUUGAAGAUCCACAAAUUAGAAGUUAAAAUCUGAUUCAUUAUGCUUUGAUGUAGAAAUGAUUGUAAGUUUUUUUGGGUAUGAAGUGAUUGUAUGUCUUUUUUUUUUGUCUAAUAAGCUAUUAUAAAUAGUGAUUCAAAUUUUGUUACCAUAAAUUAAAUGAGCAAUGGAGUAUAUGUAAAUUUUGAUUUAUGCGAGUAUUGAGUAUUUCCGUGAGUAUUGGUUUGGAUGAAUGGUAUAAUAGUUCAUAGUUAGGGAGAAUUAUUCUAAUUAAGCCACUUCAAGAAUUUAUUCUAAAAAUUGAUUAUUGUAAUCAAUUUUAAAUUCCAAUAAUAUUGAUUAUAAUAUUUUAUUAUAUUUAUUAAACUAAUUUUAGUAGUAAUUUUAUGAAUUAUUCCUUUUUAGAAUUUAUAGUAGAAUAGAAAAUAUAAAAUAAAAUAAAACAAUGAUAAGAUUUAGUGACAGCCGCAACCGCAGGUAUAGGUCCGUAAUGUUUUUAAAAUGGUCUACUUGGAAUUACAUACGUUUUGUCCGUAGGUAAAGGUGGAAAAUAUGCAGCGACAUCCAUUUGACAAUGACAGACGGAUUUAGCUACGGAAAUUUAUCCUAGAGUGACGGAUUUUUGUUGUCACUACAAGUUAAAUUUCUUGUAGCGAUACAAAGAAAGUAUCGGUUAAGCCCGGGCAUGUACCCAGACUAGAUGGGUUGUAAAACCGCUCCUGAAAAUAUACAGAAUACAUGCAUGAUUCAAAAACUAUCUAAUUUUUCUGGAAAAAAGGCUAAACUGCAGUUUUGACCUCCUAACUUUGUAAAUGUUGGGAUUUUGGCCCCCUUUUAAAAAAAUGAAAAUUUUCCUCCCCUAUGUUUUAGCCCCUUUGCAAAAGUGACCAUUUGGUCAAUUUUGACCGGGUCAACACGGAGGUGGCACUUCAUUAAUGGUGCGGGCACGCUACAUGUGUAUUUCGCAAAUUUUUUAAAUCAAAAUGCCACUUGUGUAUUUACUUGAAUUAAGAAAAAAAAAACUAUAUAAAGGUCUUGCACGUGUGAAGUCUUUCAGAUUCUAGGGUUAAAAAAUUUCCCAAAUAUUAACAUCAAUGAAAAACCACAAACCCCUAAGUUUCCAAAUCAAAUCUUCAUCCAUAAUCUCCUUCCCAAAUUGUUUCUGAAUUCGAAUAUCCUUCAUAAAUCGAUUGUCAGGUUUUUCUUCAUCUUUGUUUGUUGCGAAAAUGAAAUGGGUUGAAGAUGGAAAGGCGGCGACGAGUACAGGUUCGAAGAAGAAGAAGAAUAAAGAUGCGACAGGGAGUACAGGAACAAAGAAGAAGAAGAAGGAUGCGACAACGACUAAAGGUUCAGAGAAGACGAGAGAUUUGAAUAUGGAAGUUCAAUCAACUCAAGGAAACAUGUUCAAUGGAAAGAUUCCCGACAUGGAUGCUUCAUAGUAAGCGUUUUUUUGUUUUCAUAUGUCUAUUAACUAUAAAGUAAAGCUCAUGUUACAUUAUUUCUGAAUAAAAAAGGGUUGUUGGACCCAGAAACAGUUGAAGAUGAAUGGUUACAUGCCAUUUUUCGUUUUCCGAUCUGCAAACACACAAAACAAAUCGACCUGGAAGAAAGGAUGUAGAGGAAGAAUCGAUUUCAGAUAGGUAAUGUGAAGGAUGGUUGAAGAAGAUGAAGUUUCGAUUAUGGAGAAGAAUGGAUGAAGAAGAGCGAAUGAAGAAGAAAGGUUGAAGAAUUGGGGGUUUUUAAGGUUGGAGAUUUUUACCGUUGGAACUCUCACGUGCCAAUCCUUUAUCUAUUAUUUUUUUUAAUUCAAGUAAUACAUAGGUGGCAUUUUUAUUUUAAAAAAAAUGGCAAAAUACACAUGUGGCGUGCCAACACCAUUAAUGAAGUGCCACCUCCGUGUUGAUCUGGUCAAAAUUGACCAAAAUGUCACUUUUUCAAAGGGGCUAAAACACGGGGGGAGGGGGGGCAAAAUUUUGAUUUUUUUUUUAAUAGGGGGACAAAAUCGCAACAUUGACAAUGUUAGGGGGGACAAAAUCUGCUCCUUUCCGUCCCUUUGGUUUCGAUAAGAGUGGUUAAGUACCAUAUUGAGUGGUUUUAAUCGAGCGAUUAAGCCAUAUCUUUUAGGUGUAUAUACUCGAACAAUUACAUAUUGUGCAAUACGUGAUUGAAUAGUGAUAUGAGCUGUUUUAUUCUGGAGGCGACGCGGUUGUUAGUCUACAUUGCACAAACUUGGGUAGUGCCGCGAAACGUCUUAAAGAGAGCGACCUGGUCGUGACUCAACCUGAUAAUUUAUUCGGUACUAGUUUCUGAUUUGUAAUCUCAACAAAUAUCUCAUGAGCUAUAUUCUUCGGUAGUAGGCUUCAGUUUAUGUCCAACAAUAUAAAUAGGGGGAUUCGAAGAAUCCUAACCGUUGCUUACUUUUCUGUAACCAAAACAGGUAACUUGCUAUGUUGCAAACAGAUAAACAUUGCAAUCUCUAACCUUUAAACUCUUUUAUUUUAUAUCGUCACCUUAAAAUAAGUAACGUGAAUUGUUAGGACGAAAUGACAAUCCAUGUGGAUACGAUACUGUACUUAUCACUUUAUUACUUGGUAAACGAUUUGGUACACUUGCAUAAUCCGCACAUCAAUAAUCUUUGUUUGUUAGAAGUUUCUUGCUUGUAUGCUUGAGCAUUGAAAGUCUCUUGCUUGUGUGGCUGAGCAAUUGUAAUCUUGUAUGAUUAUAGUAAAAAAUCUCUUGUAAGUGACAAGGGUAUUAAACUACUUCGGGAUUGAUACCUUGAAACGCUUACCAGAAGGCCAUCGACAUAUAAAUAGACUUUACACAUCUUGUGCUCCAAUGUGUACCUUUAAUAUAAGUCAUUUUGCCUAUUAAAAAAGCAAAGAUGAAUUGAUUUAAAAGUUAACAAACCCAAGUCACACCUCAUCAAGGAACAAAAAGUCAGCAUUUACUUAGCAUUCAUAUAUCAAGACUUUUGGGUUAGGUUAGGCAAUUGUACCACAUCAGGAACAUUUAGAAGAGGCCAAAAAAUAAGGUUAAUUAAAUAAUGCAAAGGCUCUAAUUCGAACUACUUUGACUCUUUGUGUGGAUUUUAGGUAUGUUUGGUGGGUAACCUAUAUCAUUCAAUCAUUCCCAUCAUAUCAUAUAAUUAAAUAAAUCCCACUUAAUAAAAUUGAGAAUCAUGUUCAUGAUCAAGUUGGUGUAUGCUUAGAACAGUCUCAUGGUAUAAUUAAUUUGUCCCUACUGAACAAAAUCAUAAUUUAGAAACAUUCAUAAAUUAUAAAUAAUAAUACAAUCUUAGUCAUUUAUUAAUCAUAUCCUCAAUUUUGACCUGCAAUAGGAGCUAGCACACAGCUAGCGCAGAAAUAUAUUUUUUCCAAAUUCAUGUCUGUUACUUAUAGUUGUCAAAAAAAAAAAAAAUGUCUAUUACUUAUAGAGACAGAUCAAUUAUUUAUUUUUUACAAGGACAAAAUUCAUACUUAAAAUUAUAAGACUAAAAGUAUAUAAAAUACUUUAAUUAGAGUCUAUCAUUGACUAAGGUAAAGGUUAGAGUUUUUACAGGUAGAACAUUCCAUCAACUGUGGUUUACCCUCGACUUCUUUUUUAUUUAUUUAUUGAUUAUAACUUUUUAAUAUAAAAACAACCAUAUUUUUUAAAUACAAAUAACUAUAAUCAGUUUUCUUAUUUAUUUGCAGCUUAAUUCAGUUGGUUUGAAUAAUGCAUAAUAUAUGCAAGGUCCGUGGUUCAAAUCCCGGCCACCACAAAAAAAAAUGUAUUGUAAAAAAAAUGUAUAAUAUAUAUAUAUAGACACACACUAUAUCUUUUUCAACUUUUUUGGGCUGACUUUUUCUAUUUCUAAAAAUGUCUUCAAUUUUCAAUACAAAAACACAUGUAACAAAUAGAUAAGAACAAACGUAAAUAUUAAAAAAAUGUAACAAACUCGAUAUGAAUAUAUAUAUAUGUGUGUGUGUGUGUGUCUGGUUUUUUCCUUUAUCAUUUAAAAAGUGUAACAAAUAGAUGAGUAUAUUUAUACUUACUUUUUCAUUAUCUCAAUUAUAUCUUUAAACAAUUUUUUUUUCUAUAAUAAAGAUUGUUGUUUUUAUCAUUAAAAAAAAAUUAGAUUAUAUUUUUUUUGUUAUAUUGUUGGUGUCAUUGAAAUAGAUAAUCAUUGUUAGUUUGAUUUGUUAUAACUUAAAGCAACAAACAUUUAUGUUUUGUUAGAAUAAAAAUCAAAAUUUAUUAAAAAAAACAUGCGUUCAUAAAUUGCAAUAAAAAGAAGGGAAAUAGAUGAGUUUGAACAGACUUUUUCAUUACUUGUUUUAACCUUCAUUUAAAAUAUUUUAUUUACAAUUUUAUCAUUUAAUAAUAUUAUUUUAAAUUUUAAUCAAAAAAUUGAAUCCUAUUAAAAUAGGAAAUAUGCCACUACAAUAGAAACAAUAUUAUCAAUAUUAUAUAAGAAGAGGAUAGAUAUUUUGAGCUGAAUUUUUAUAAUUCCAAUUAUAUUCUUAAACAAAUUUUCUUAUAUUAAUGUUAUAUUGUUGGUGGUAUUAAAAAAUAGUAUUUAUGUUAUAUUUGUUAAAUUAUUAUUAUUAUUGAAAAAGAUAACAUGUUUUUCUGAGUUUAUACUUAUAAUUUUGUUACAUACUCUCGUUUCUUGUUUUUUUUUAUUAAAUAUAUAUAAACAACGGAAGUGACCCUUCCCGUAUAAGAUGUGUUAAGGAAGGUCAACUAGAGUUUGUACAAAGACAGCAAAGCCAAAAACAUAGGAGAACUGCCGCAAAACACGAAAGAUAUAAUAAAUAAGGGUUGUUUUUUCUUUCUUUAAAAAAAAAACAAAAAGAAAUAAGGGUAGUGUUAACUUGUGCUUUUAAGACACAAGUUAAGAAUUUAAAAAUGGAAUUAAAUCAUAAAUUAUGUCUUGAAAAGAUAAGAUUUUGAAUUUCUAGAAUAUUGAAUGCACAAUUUUCAACAAAAUAUUUCUAUUUUUAGUUUCUUAACUUGUGCCUUGAGUACAAAAAUUAACAUUUCCUUGCAAAUAAAUGCCCAAACAAAAUAAAUGUAAGUAUACUCUCGUUUCUAGUUUGUUUAAUAUCUAUUUCUAUCAAGUAUAUAUUUGUAUACUUUAUGCUACAAUCCAUCAAUGGAUAUCAUAUAUACAUUCACCUGUUUAUUUUAUAAAGAUUAUGGAACAAUUAUAAACACAAGGAAAAAGUAGAAAACAGCGAGAGAAAGAAAGAGAGAACACAAAAUAAUUUGUUUACCCAGUUCGGUUCAAAUUGACCUAGUCCGAGGCAGAGAGCAGCCCUCCGUUCCACUAUAAUGAUGAGUAACUUUACAAAAGAGAUAUCAAUGAGUUACAAGAAUAAGUCUCCAAACCUAAUUGUACCCAAAGUCUCAAUCUCUUCCCGUGAACAAGAGACUCAAUCCUAAUAGUGUUUCCCAAGGUGAAUCAACAACAACCCUAGUUUCUCCCGCUUAGAGAAAUCUCUCUAAAACCUUGGUUUGUUGUCUGUUUCUAAACCCUUGUUUUCAGCCCCUUCUAUCUCAAGGUUUACAUGUGAUACAAGGUUUAUAUUUAUAGUAAAAGUAAUCGCUAAAAAAUUGGAACAAAUCUCACGCUGAAAAGUACAUUUUAUUUUUAUGCAUCAGUGUAAAAUCGUACUACGAUUUUCCAAAUCGUAUUUCGAUUUUUCCAAAAUGGAAGUGCCAAAUCUGAUCCAAAAAUCGUACUACGAUUUUCCAAAUCAUGCUACAAAUUUGACAGCUUCCAGAUUUUAAUUUUGAGUCACUUUUACAACAAAGACCUUAAAGUUUGUGGUAUUAUAUACUUAAUAUAAUACUCCCAUGGCAACCUGAUUAGCUCCCUUGUUAUUAGAAAGUUACACGCAAUUUCAGGGUUUGGUUGUAUUAUAUCCUGUCCAGCUAAGUUGUAACAUACUCAAAUUUCCAAAUAAAAAUUCGUUAUUCAACAAAUUUGAAAAUGAUGCAGUGAUAAUGACAUAUAAUCAUCUAACACAUGUAAUCAUAUAACCAGUUUGGCUAGGUGAUACUUAUGGUAGUUGGACAAAAAAAAUAUCACAUGUCAAAUGUGUGUACAUUUAAGAUUGAUAAGUCAUUGAAUGAGAAACUUAGCCACUUGUUGUACAUACAAAUAUUUGUACAACUUUUAGAUAAUUUUCUAUUUUAUAUUCACAUUAUAUUUUUACUCUUUUUUUUUCUUUUUUUUCUUUAUUGUUUUUUAUCAAUAAAAAUAGAGAAAAUGAAAAUUAUCAAAAAUAUUGUAUCAAAUGGUUGUUCAAAUAUUAUUGCUCAAAAUAUACAAUAUGAUAUAAUUUUCCAGGAUCGAAAGAUCUAAAUAUGUUCCUUUCCCACAUAAUUAAUUAUUACACCUGUCUUUAAAUAUAAUAUCUUUUUUUUUUUUAAUUUUUAGUAGUUCUCAUGUCUUUGUUAUACGACCGUUAAUUUGUAUAAUUUUAUUUCCAUUAAUUUAUAUUUUUUUUAAUUAAAUCAAAGGUGCAUCUAAUAUACUUUUUUUUUAAGAGGCUAAAAUGAAAUACAUUACCAAAACAAGAUAUUUUUCCUAGCACAAGAUGUACAAAGGAAGAACAAUAGAGUCAAUAGAAUAUGUACAAUCAAGCAGAAAGAAAGCACCAGAGACCUAUAAGCAUGAAACAGAACUAAGUAGUGCCCAAAAUAACUAAUGGACUAAGCAACAAACCAUGAAAAUUAAACGAAAGAGAGACAAGUUUCGCCUUCAACCACGUAAAGGAAAGAACCUUAAUCUAAUAUAACUUCUUAAAAAUAGUUAAAGAGUUGAACAUUACCACCUUAAAGAGUAUGAACAAACUUUUUAAAUAUGGUUAAACAGGAUGAAUGUCACGUAUUUACAGUACAUAUAUCUUUGGUUUUUAUAUGUGUUUAGUCUCUGUAUAUGGGGUCAUUUAAAAAAUUAAUCAUUUAAAAUGGUCUCUACAUUCCUUCAUUAUGACAUUUUGCCCUCCCAAAAAUUAAUCAUUAAAAAUUUGGUCCCCCCUACUCAAUCACUGUCACGUCACUGGAUUAGCUGACGUGGUACAUUGACUCAGCAAAGUUUGAUGUGAAGUGACAAAAAUAGCCCUAACACUCUGUUUGGUAUGAGAGAAUUACAGCAGAGAGAGAUAUUGAAGAGAGAAAGAGAAGAGAAAUAUGGUAUUUCUCUUGUUUGGCAAAGGCAAGAAAGAGGGAGGAGAGAUAAGUUUUGCGUGGGAUCCACGUGUUUUUUGUUCGCCCCUAUAAACGAAGAAAGAAGAAAGAGGAGAGAAAUAUACAUUUACUCCCUUUGCCUUUUAUACCCUUCAAUUUAAGACACAACACACCUUUUUUUUUUCUCAUUACUUUGUUUUUAUUCUUAAUAGGCUUAUCUAAAAAUUAUUUCAAGGACAUUUGUACUUUAAAAAAAAAAAAAUUGAAGAAGCUAAACUAACCCCCUCAAAUUGGCACUAGAGAGAAUCGAACUUGAAACCUUGAGGAGGAGCACACUCCCAGGUCCCAAGCCAAUACCACUAGGCCAACCCAAGUGGGUUUGUACUUUUAAAAAUUAAUCACACUUCUCUCUCUUCUAUUUCUCUUAAUUUUAACCAAACAAUACCUUAAAUCUAUUCUAUUUUUCAUUUUUUUCUCUCUUCUCAUACUCUCUCUCACCUAUUUCUCUCUUCUCAAUUUCUUCUUUCAACCAAACACACCCUAAGUAAUUUCGCUGCCCUCUUAUGGAAGGAGGGGCAUUUACUUUACAAGUAAAUAAAGUAUCUUUUUUAAUUUAAAAUUUCCUCUUUAUGGUUUUCUUAACUAAUGUCCUGGGUAGGGCUAGACAAGGACCCGCGACCCGGCCCAACCCGAAAAAACCGAAGAAAAAAAACCGAGCUGAGUGGGUUAAAGCAGGUCCGCGGGUCAAACGUGUCAUAAAUGCGGGUUCACAAGGGUAUACAUGGGCAGAGGCGGGUAACGGACCUUCACCUGCGGGUACCCGAACCCGCCAGUAUUGGAUAAGUAAAAACGACGUCGUUUUGAAGAGUGGGGAGACCACUAACCCUAGAUCUAACCCAUUCAUUUCAUUUCUUCUAAAAAAUUCUCUCAUUCACCUCACACUCUUUCACCUUCCUCUUCAAACCCUAGUGCCGCCGCCGCAUCUAACCACCACCACCACACCAUCAAAUCCUCCUACCAACAUGAAUCACCACUUUCCAACUUGAUUCCCUUUGUUUUACGCCGUUCUCUGUCAAUCCACGCAGAAAAAUGGAGGCAGAUCCUGAAACUCUCUCUCACUCUCAGUAGCUAACACCACUGUAGAACCGUAAAUCGCCGUCGUUUUUGUUUCAUGAAUCACGUCUCUGCUCUGCAUAUGCUUCAGAUCUAAAGGUUAGAUAUUUUGUUUUUAAUCUUUGUAAUUUUUUAUUUUUAUUUAGGGUUUAUGAGUGUCUCACCACAUGCUUUUGUUUUUGUUUGAUGAUUCACAUCCAUGCUCCGCGUAUGCUUCAAAUCUGAAGGUUGGUUUUUGUUACAUUUUUCAUAUUUUGUGCUUUGAUUUUUUCAAUUCUUGCUUCUAACAUUUUUUUUUUGUUUCAAUCUCAUCUCUGCUGCUUAUGCAUUUGCUGAAGAUUUUUUUUUUGUUUCAAUCUCAUUUUCUCAGACCGGCUUAGGAAACUUCCAUAUCACUGAAUAUUUUUCCAGAUCCGAGAGGUAAUCUUCCUUCUUGACAUCUAGAUCUGAGAGGUAAUGAUUUAUCUUAAUAUAUUUAGUUUUGUAUUUGUUGAGUUUAUCUAUGUCUUUGAUGUAUAUUUUGUUGAGUUUAUGCAUGAUUAUUAAUGUCUAUAGCUUCUGACUUGAUUAUGUUUAUGCAUACUUUGUUGAUUCUUAUACUUCUUCCUUGGAGUUCAUUUUUUCUUUGUUUCUUUCUUAUCCUAAUGGUUUGUUGUUUAUCUAUUUAUUUUGUUUGUAGUAUUCUAAUGGUCCAUUAAUUAUCUUGUUUGUAUAGACACAUGAAAACUGAUACUGCUAGUGUGAAUCCUUUGGCUCAAAUUCCAAUUCUAGUGCAAGGCCAAGGACCUGAACAUGCUAAGGUAGUGCUAAAACUAAAGAAAAGAAAACCUGCUAGACCUCCUUCAAUGGUUUGGAGACAUUUUAUGAAGAAAAAAGACACUGCCUUUUGUAACUAUUGCUUCACUUCUUUUGUUUCAAAUGCUUCCAACCAUCGAACUAACAACAUGCUUAAACACAUGAUGAUUUGUCCAAAAACAUGAAGGUAGUUUUUUUAUUACUCUGAGUUAUGUUGAUUUAGUAAUUUUAUUGUAACUUUGUAUUUGAUUUAGUCUAUUUUAACUCUAUUUUGGUAGAUGUCUUUGAUGUUAGUUUGCUAGUGUUAUAUUUUGUGGCUUUGAUUUAUUAGUACUAAUGUAUAUUUUUUAUAUUGUUUUUCACAGGUUAACAAUAUUCUUACUUGCUAUGAUGGUAUCUCUUGAUCUAUUGUGAAUCAAGAUAUACCAAGGAGGUGUUAUUUUUUGUUAUUCAGAUCCAGUUUUAGUAUUAUUAUAUUCAAGACCACUAUAUUUAGUUUUUUAUUUAUUAAGGAUAUGUAAAUUGUUAAACUUAUUUUUAUUGGUUGUGUAAGUUAAAUUAAGGCUCGAUAUCAAAUGGGAAAAUGAGACAUCAUCAUCCCCCUUUAACAAGCUUCUUAAAGGAAAAAAUUUAACAAAAUUAUGACAAUAUGAUCUAAGUUAAAUAAACAUACAAAAUGGUUUAAUACAAGAGAAAAUGAAACACUACAAAAUUUGUUGGGGCAGAAAUUCUAAAUGGCACAUUAAAAAUGAACAUAAAAAAUGGUCCAUUACAGUGAAAUUAAAAAUAAAUCGCAACAAAAUUAAUUGGGCCAGAAAUGGUUGAAUGACCCAUUAAUUGGUCCAACCCGUUUGAACCCAACCGUUUAACCCGUAACCCGAUUCACCCGAACCCAACCAAUCCGACUCCAUUAUUUGGGUAGAAAUGGGUGUGUAUUCUACACCCGCAGGUUGGGCUGGAGUAGAGGUUUGGACCCGAACCCGCCCGAUGUCCACCCCUAGUCCCGGGGCACUGGUUAACAUAAACCUAAAACAAAAAUAGAAAAUAAUGACCUAAGUUUUCUAAUAAUUGAUAUUUUAUUAGCUUAAAACUUUUGUUAUAUCGAUCAUUCCUUUCCACUCUUUGUUCUUGGUUGUGUUUUAAUGAAAAAAAAGAAGUAAAAAUGAACCUUCUAUGAGAGCAAGGAAAAAAUUACUGGUUAAGCCUUAUGACCUUGCACCAACUCUAAGGACAUUAAUUAUGUUAUAUAGCAAGAUAUCCUCUCAUAAAUUGGUGAAAUUGGAAUUCCUAAAGUUUAGUUUCCCUAUAUUAGACGAUCAUAUAUCAAGACAUGGAUAUUAUUUUGCUAACUUUGAAAACAGCAUACAAACCAAAAUAGUACGUAUUAAAAUAAGAGCACCGUCAACAUUUUCUAGCUAAUAAGCUAACUUACUUUAUUCUUUUGUUUACAUUUCAUUUCAAAUUCAUGCCCAACUUGGGACGCAUUGGUCCAAAAAGCAUACUCAUUUAUUCAAUGGGAAAAACUUUUUUUAAUGGGUCUUGCUGACCAUUGCUCGAUGGCAAUGGUUAAGGAAGGCAAAAGUAGCAUGUUUGUAUUGAUUUCAACAACAUUUUGACUUUUAAAAAAUUAAAUUUAUCACUUUUCACCAUUUACCAAUGCUAUAUUUCUAUUUUUAUCCACUUAUCCAAUGCGCCAAACGCAAUGAUUAGCGUUCUCAUUUUUUAAUAAUAGCUGCAAUGUUACAUAAUCGUUUUCACAUCUGUAUACUUAGUUUGUCUUAAAAAGACAGUCACAUUGAAUAUUUAAUUAAAAUUUUAUUUUUAUUCAAUUAUACACUAUAAUUGAUAUUAAGCGCCAUUAAAAAAAUUAUUAAGUGGAUAACAAAUUAUUAUUCACUAUAAUUUUACUAUAAUUAUUAUUCUUCACUUUGAAUUACCAAGGUAAUUUAAUAAAAUUAAUAUUCUAUGUGACGUAUUUGUAAUUACUUCCUAAUUCACGUGAAAUGAUUUACUUUGCUAGUUAUUAGAAUUUUAAUUUAUUAUAAUAUUUUUCUUUUUGCUGUUGGAUAAUAGGUGAAUUAUAAAAUGUGUCAAAUCAUAGUACACCAACCAAGAUGAAUUGUUGAGGUAAAAUGGAUAAAGAAAAAACUAUAUAAAGGGUACUACUAUCUUUCAUAAGAGCAACAACAAAACACACUUUAGGAAAAUAUGAGGUUCCAAAUGGCCUCCAUUACUCUUACUAUUGCAUUCACGAUAAUCUCUCUUAGCCUGCCAUCCCAAAUUUCAGCAAACAAUUACGUCUAUUCAUCUCCACCACCACCAUCUAAGCCAUACAAAUACGCUUCCCCACCACCACCAGUUUACAAGUAUAAAUCACCACCCCCACCUGUCUACUCACCACCUCCACCUGUCUACUCACCACCACCACCAGUUUACAAGUACAAGUCACCCCCUCCACCUGUCUACUCACCACCUCCACCAGUUUACAAGUACAAGUCCCCACCUCCACCCGUCUACUCACCACCUCCCCCGGUUUAUAAGUACAAGUCACCACCUCCUCCCGUCUAUUCACCACCUCCACCAGUUUACAAGUAUAAGUCUCCUCCUCCUCCUGCAUACUCACCACCUCCACCACAUUAUAUCUACUCUUCACCACCUCCUCCUUACCACCACUAAAUGGUGGUUUACGAUAGUAUCCCACGGUAUACUUCUUAUUACAUACAACCCACACAAAAUACUUUUAUAUAAUUCAAUUACAGUGGUUAUAAUAUUAAUCUGAUAAAUAUCUAGUUAGACAUAGCUUCAAAUAAAAAAAUAUUUGGUAACACAUAUAAAUGAUAAAAUUUAGCAGAUAAAAAUUUAAUGAUAUCAUUUAAUAUCUUUUCUUCUUAAAAUUUUAUCAUUUAUGUGUGCACGCCCAAAUAAAGUGUCGUGGCUUUUGAAAAGUUUCUUAUAAACCUUGUGGAAAUAGGUUUAAAUGUGAAAUUACAUAUACUUUUUAAAGUUUUAAUUUAAAAAAUUCGAUUGUUCAAUCUUUUAAAAUAUUAUUAUUGGCAAUUUGAAACAAUAAAGUUGAGACCUGAUGCAGAAGGUGAGUGCAUGAGGUCAACCACUAUAGAUUAUGAUCAUAUUAUAGAACUUAGCUAGAAAAGAAAAAAUAUAGUUAUAUGCUUCUUAUUAAUUUUGUUUGAUUUAAAAUUUCAAGCGAUUAAUAAUCCUAAUAAACAGUUUUAGCUAGAUUGAAUAAUGUUUAAGGCAAAACCAUUUUCUUAAUGAAAGAUAUUGAUAUAUUUAUGUGUGCAUAUACUUUGCAGGGUUUGAGGAAUAUAAUUGAAAUAAAGAGAAGACAGUGCAAAGCAGGAAAGAUGUCACUCUGAUUCAGAAAAUGUCACUCUAUUAUUUUUCAUUUGUUUGUUUUAUGAGAUUAUAUUCUCAUUAUUGUGCUUGAUGUUUGAAUUUAUACUGUUGUAAAGCACUCUGUGUAAUAUUAUUCAAAUAAAUAGAGAACGAUUCUGAAAUUUGUCAUAUUGUAAAGAAUUGGAUAUACCUAAUAUUUGAAUGCAUUUUCGAUCCCUUAACUUUUAAAAAAUUGUGAUUUAUAGAAAUAUAGUCUUUUAACCCUUUAUUUUUAGUAAAAUAUGUUCUUUUGUCCCUCUAUCUUUAGGGAAAUAUGCUAUUUUGAUUUCUUAUUUUUACAAAAAGUAGUAAUUUUGCUUGCUGUUUUAGAACACGUGGUAUCUUCUCAACAGUUUUGCUGCAUUUUGUAAAUUAAAGGUAAAAUAAUUUUUUUUUUUAUUAGAGGAUCAAAAUCGCAACUUUUUAAAAGUUAAAUCAUCAAAAAUACAUUUAAGCCUAUACAUAAUACAUUAUAUGCAAACUUCAAAAACUAUCUAAUUUGAUGGCGGUAUAUGUCAAUCACUUUAUAUCCUAAUCAUCCUCUAUUUCAUGUUGGAUCUGUCUAACUUUUUGAUGAUAUGGAUAGUGGGUCCAAUCAAGGUGAUUCAAUAUCCAACGGAAACGUCUAAACACGUUUUGACUUCCAACAUAAGGCAUUGCCCCUAACUUCGGUUAACAAUAUUGGGUUUCAGUAAUAACAAAGAGACGGCUAGAGUUGUUUAAUAAUAUUUUAAUAGCAUUACGUUACAAAAGGUUAUUGGAGAAUGUAUAUAUAAAAUCUAAUAAACAACUAAAUUAGUAAUAUAAAUAUCCAAUAGUUUAAACUCAAUCCUUUAUUAUCUAAUUUCUUUUCUCAAAUUCACGACUCAUCAACAAGAAGAAUUAUGAGUUUGUCAAAUCAAAUAGGAGGACGAACGAAGCGGAAGCUGGUGGGCAUGUAACGUCUGAGGCUAACGAGGAUUGAGAGUGGUCGCUGGUGCACAAGUUAAGAGGAUGAGCUGCUCCUGACAUCUUCUAGUCAAACCGAAUCACAUUGGAAUGAGAGGAAUCCUGAGACCGUGCAGAUAUGAACUGCAUGAUUGAAGAAAGACUUAUAAAUUUUUUUGGCACUAUCUAUAUCAACAAGAUGCAUCUUCUUUUUUAUAAUUCAUUCCAUAAGAACUCCACAGUUAAGCAUGUUUGACAUGGAGCAAUUUUAGGAUGGAUGACCUUUUAGAAAGUUUUCCAGAAAACGUGUGAGUUUGGACAAAACACACUGAAAAGACUCAUGUUGGUUUUGGGGUCAGUCGGUCAGCAAUACUUAAAAUCGCCUCAAUAUUAUAAGAAACAUAAUAAAUAAUAUAAAGUUCUAACACUGCCCCUCAAAUGAAAGAUGGAAUGAUAUUGAAGUGAAAACUCGCGCUAUAUUGAGUGAAAUUUUAUAAACUUUCAGUCUUUAUUUCUGUCAAUGUUAGUUUUUUUGGUCAUCUAACUCAAAUUUGAAAAUUUUCCUGUUAUCUUGAACAGUUUCUAGUUCACUUUGUUAAGUUACUACAACUAAUAAAAAUACACUGAAUUUUCAAUCUAGAGACAUAAUUCAGUUUAUUUUGAUGAGUAGCAAAUUUUUAUUCUUUUUGAAAUCAUAAAAUCCUGAUCCUUCACUUUUACUCAAAUUAUAUAUGUCCGUUGUCUUAAGAUAGAUGGACAUUUAUAUGAAAGUCUUGGUUUGAUUCAAGUUGAGUAAAAUAUGGUCAAAUUUGGGGAUUAAAAAUACAUAGUAUUUAUAUUUUGCUUAUGUCAUAUAAGCUGCUAUGAUCUAUUUCCUCUCACUUUUAUAGGUCUUGGUGUUGAAUAAGAAACUAAGAUUUUAAAUUGUAGUUGAUUCGCGGAAUGAGCAAAGUGAUCCUAGUGAGCUAGUUUCAAAGGGUUGUGAACUACAAAGUUUGAUGGGCGAACCAGAGGUGAGGUCAAAGAAAGGAAUUGAAGAGGGUUUCAUGGAAGAAGCAAGUGAACAUUCGAUAGGCAAACAACAUUUCUCCUAGCCAAGUAAGGCGGUGUUAGUGACCCUUUGUGUUGUGAAUUCGAUGAAAAAUCACACCAAUAACAACUUGAUGUGUGGAGCAAGGGAUAAUUAAGCAACCAAAAUCAAAGCGUAUGAAAGUUAUAAAUACAAGCCAAAAGUAGAAAACAACGGCGAGAAGAACACAAAGAAGAAGAAGAACACAAAGAAACUUGUUGACCCAGUUCGGUCCAAUCUGACCUAGUCUGGGGGAGAGAGCAGCCCUCCAAUCCACUAUAUGAUGAGUUUCGUUACAAAGAGAAAUCAAUGGGUUACAAGAAUAAGUCUCCCGAUUAAUUCUACUCAAAGUCCCAAUCUCUUCCCGUAACCAAGAGACUCCAAUCCUAAUAGUGUUUCCCAAGGUGAAUCAACCCACAAACCCUAGUGUUUGCUCCUAAGAGACAAACUCUAUACAAACCCUAGUUUUGUUGUUGCUUUUCUAAACCCUUGUUUCAGCCCCCUCUAUCUCAAAGUUUGCUUUGAUACAAGGUCUAUAUUUAUAGUAAAAGUAUAACUCAUAAAUUUGGAACAAAUACCACACUGAAGAUUCGUUUUUUUUUUCUCCUUCAGUGAAAGAAUAUUUGCAUCAAAAAUAUAAUAUUCCCUUUCAAAAUAUAUUUGCAUCAAAUCGUUCUUCAUACGAUACAAAAAUAUAUUUAUUGUCCAUAAAUAUAUUUUCAGCACAAUAUAUAUUUGAAACAAAUCUUUUAUAUUUUUAGCAACAAUAUUCUCCAUCCAUCAAUUUUUGAGUCAUACUACAACACUUUGGAUGAGCUCGCUUUUCCCUCCACCUGAAGAAACUUAAGAUCGCUAGACGAGCAAAUUUUUCUAGGAAAAUAUGCACUUUUUUUACUUAUAUAUAAAUAGAUGUAAUACACAAUUCAGAGAUAUCUUACGCAUCUUAAACUUGUUGUUAGAGAGAACGGAGAGGAGAACAUAGAUUCAUCAUUGCAGAAUUUAUCAAUUCUUUUAUUUCAGGCUCUAGGUGCUUGUUUCAAACCAUAUAAGGCUUUGCUCAAUCUGAACACUCUAUCUUUCGUCCCUUUGAUUGUGAAACUAGGUGGUUGAGUGACAUACACAGUCUCUUCUAAUGUACCAUUCAGAAAUGCAAACUUUACUAGUUGCUAAUACUAUAACCAAUCUGAUAGUUUCAUGUCUUGCAUCUGGUGAGAAAACUUUAGUGUAAUCAAAACCUUCCUUCUAAAUAAACCUCUAGCCAAAAGCCUUGCUUCGUGAUUCACAAUCUUCCCUUCUUGAUUAAAUUUUAACUUGAAAACCAAUUUUAUAUCUAUUGCCUUUUUUCCAUCUCGAAGCUUUAUCAGUUCACAAGUCUGACUCUUCUCAAUAGAUUUUAGUUCACCUAUCAUAGCUUCCUUUAAUGCCUUAUCACAUAGUGCAGCUAUGUAAUCUAAUGGCUCGAUGUCUGCUAGCAUUGCAAAAUGCACCAAUUAACCAUCACUAGUUCAUCAUCACCAGUUACCUGACAGUCUUCUGAACUUCUUGGAAUUUGUCUGUUUCUUUGUGGUCUGGCUAUAGUGGUUGACUCUUCAUCUAUGAUUUCUUCAUCAUUAGCAACUUCAUUUAUGGUGAGCUCAUCAGAUUCUCUAUUAUCUUCAAUGAUAACCUCCUUCUCAGAGACACUGCACUUAUUUGCAGUACAAUCCCAAUAUUCAUCUAUUUAAGAUGAAUAUUGGGAUUACACUAAAGUUUUCAGGGAUAUGCUUAUAGCAUAUUGAGCCAAAUACCUUCAAAUGACUGACAUAUGGUUUUCUACCUGACCAAACCUCUUCAGGCACUUGAUUCUUCAAUUUCUUAGUGGGACAUCUAUUUAAGAUGUAAGCUGCAAUAUUCCCUACUUUACCCCAAAAUUCAUGAGGUAGCUUCUUCUCUAUCAGCAUAAUCCUAGCCAUAUCAAGUAAACUCUUAUUCCUCCUUUCAGCAAUACCAUUGCGUUGAGGAGUGUAAGGAGUUGUCACUUCAUGAACUAUACCCUGACUUGUGCAGUAAGAUUCAAAAUAUCUAGAAGUAUAUUCACCACCUCCAUCUGUUCUGAGAAUAUUCACCACCUUCAAAUCUUACAAAGAAUAUGAGAUGGUAGAAUUAUGAGAAUUUUCUCCAUGAUUGCUUUAUCAGAAAGAGUCUCACAACAUAGCUUCAUCUGAUUUGUGAUUGUUUGAAUUGAUUAGAAAUAUUCCUCUAUGUUCUUUUCUUUCUUCAUCUUCAGCAAUUCAUAUUGUCUUCUCAAUGAUUGCAAUCUUAUCUUCUUCACCUUAUCAUCCCCACUGAAGUAUUUCACAAGUGUAUCCCAAGCUUCCUUAAAGCUUUUUGCAUAUGCAAUCUUUUCAAAUACCUUGUUAUCCACGCAUUGAUGAAUAUAAAAGAGAGUCUUGAAAUCUUUCUUGUUCUUGGCUUCUUUAUGCGCAUUCCUUUGAAUUUAUGUGGGAUUUGCAGGAAGUGCUUCAACUUCAUUGUUGACAAUCUCAAGAACAUCUUGAAACCCAAAGAUCACCUUCAUCUGUUUCACCCAUCUUUGCCAAUUCUUCCCAUCAAGAACUGGUAAAUGUGCAGAGAUGUUUCCAUUGGAAUUCAUGGUUAACUCUCUUCUUCUUGGAUCAAAAAAUGAUUAUGCUCUGGAUACCAAUUUGUUGGUGAACAAAUUGAUCUAGGGUUUAUGUGUUUUGUGUGAUUGAAGGAUAAGAAACAGUUUUAGAGAAUGAAAAAGAGAGAAAGAGAUUGGAGAAUUAAAACUGAAUGCAUUGGCUUUAUUAAAUGAGGAACCAAGUAUAUAUACAACAUGUUCUAGCUAUAGCUUGCAUUACAAGUAAAUGCUAAUUGUCUAACUAACUUUCUAAAAACAAGGUAAAGUAGUUACUUAGGUAGCAAGGUAACUAACCCUAAAUCAAACUAUGAGUUUUGAAUUACAAAUUCAACACUCACAAGGGCAUGGUGGCGGAAACUCUAACCCUAGGAGAGCAAGAAAUUUCUUGAGAGGUUUUGAUUUUGUCUAAAAAAAUUUAUAUAAUCUCUUGGAUGUUGAACUCUAGGACGUUACAUAUCUUAUUUACCGAAACCAUUUGAUUAUGAUAUGUGCCAAAAAUAUUUAUAACCAAAUGCAAUAAAGUAAAUACAAAAUAUACAAUAAAUUACACUAGAAAAUAUUCAAUAAAUUACACUACAAGUUAAUAAUAAUGUUAAUUUGCAGACACUAAUAUACGUUUUGUUCCGUUCUGCUUAAUUUGCUCUAUCCAAGAAAAUAAUGAAGUUGAGAUAUAUUCAUAUGAGUGUCUGAUGUGUUGGUCUAUGGUUAUUUAGAUUUUAGACUAUUUUGCAAAGCAUAAGAAAUAAAUAAAAACAAACUAAAAGUCUGAUAUUAUAAAAAUCUGGUUUUUAAAAAAGGCUAAAAGUAUAUUAUUUUAUAAUUUUAUGUUUUAAAGUGUUGGUUGUAAAUACCAAAGUAAGAAAAAACUCAUAAACAUCACAUACAAACCCGCAUAUUUAAACCGCAUAACCUACGAUUAAGCAAUCCACCUUAUGUGAACCAAAACGAAAAUGGUGUGAAACAUAUUGGUCUUUAUCCACCUUGGGCCGCGAGUUAAACUAGUUGGUUUGCAGCCCCGGGCCAUAUUCACAACUCCUAUUUUUGUAUAGUUUUUAUUUGAAACAUUAGAAAAUUAAGCGUCAAACCAACAUAAUAUUGAGAGAGUUGGUAACAUGACUCUUCCUCAUAAAAAAAAAAAAAAUUGAAUUUCAUUCUUAAAAUCGUCUAUUUGAAAUUGAGCGAACUUAACCCGUUCAAAGAUCAUAUGUCUUCCUAUCAAGCUAGGAAGGUACCUUGAAAUGUUGUUAAUUAUAAUUAUGAUUAAGAUAUGCUAGAAGAAAAAAUUGAGGGCCAAGGGCAAACUGGCUCAUUUAAUAGAUAAAUAGACUUUAAAGCAAUUGGUAUACAAAUCCAAGUCACACCUCAGCAAGGAAGUUAAAGUCAGCCUUUAAUUGUUAGCAUUCACAUAUAUAGUAAAGACUUUUGGUUUAAAUUAGGCAAUUGUACCACAUCAAGAACAUUUAGAAGAUGCCAAAAAAUAAGACUAAAUAAUACAAAGGCUUUGAUGAUUCGAACUAUUUUGACUCUUUGUGUAGAUUUUAGGUAUGUUUGGUGGGUAACGUACAACAUUCAAUCAUUCCCAUCAAAUAAUUAAAUGAAUCUCACACUUAAUAUAAAUUUAAGAAUCAUAUCUUGUUCAUGAUCAUAUACAAUCUAUAGUGGUGUAUGCCUAUAAUAGUGUCAUGGUAGGUAUCAUAUUAGCUUUGUCGCUACUGAAGUAAAAUAAUUGUUUGACCUAAAAUAUUACCACUGUCGCUCUGUAAAAAAUAUAAUAUAGAAACAAUAUUCUUGUGAGGUGAGGAUUACCCCCACUUAUAAAUACAUUGUCAGGUCAUGUUCUAUCUGAUAUGGGACGCUUAACAUCUUAGAAAUCGUGGUUUGGGCCUAACACAACAUCACAAAACGGACUUGUGAGGUGAUGAUUGCCCCCACUUAUAAACAUAUUGUCAGACCAUAUCUUAUCCGAUGUGGGACUCUUACGUACACAAAAUUAGCAUAUUACAUAGGCUACAUAAUUUUUUAAUACAUGUAAAAUUAGCAUAUUGCAUACAUCUAGAACUAUGUUUACAUUUCAACAACGUUUAUUUAUUUUCUUACUGCAAGUGACGGAAACAGAAAAAAAAAAAAAAAAAAAAAGUUUAAGUAUAGGAUGCUCUAUUGCGGAUGGUCUUAGUCUUCCCAAGAAUCAUCAUAUUUUUUAUAAUAUCUCCACCAAGUAUGUCUUUAUAUACUUGUGUUAGUACAAUCAAUCAAUGUCGUAAUUUUUUUUUUUCUAACAGUCGACAUUGUCUAUCCAUUUAAAUAUUUUUUUUCAAUACCAAAAAAAAAAAUGAUCUUUCCUAAAAAAGACCUUAAAUUUUUUUUAGAGAAAAUAGCUUAUAGCUUUUCAUUAUUAAUCAAUGUCAAAAUACUAAGAGGUACAUCAUUAAAAACUUGGGAACUAGGUAAGAAUAAAGCCUCUCUAGCAAGAGUAUGAGCGACCUCAUUCGCUUGUCUCCAACUAAACUCCAUCUUAAAGUUUUCAGAAACAUUGUUGUUGCCUUUGGUAAAAUAAUCUACAACUAACUUCGCAUCCAUCUCAAAAUCUACAUUUGUAAGUUGUAGUUCGUGUACCCAUUGAAUUGCAUAGAGUAGACCUAAUACUUCCCCAAUCUCUGGCUUACAUAUGGGAUUAGACCACAUCAUCUUUGCCUUCCUGAAAUUACCAGCAGCAUCCCGUAUACACAGCCCAACACUACUAAAAAAAACAAAAAUUAGUGAGGGAUAUUUAGUGAGGGAAAAUAUGAAAUCCCUCUCUAAUUCCCUCACUAAAUUUUACGACCAAGGAAUUUGUGAGGAAUUUCAUUUUUUCCGUCACUAAUUUCCCUCACUAAUUUUGCUUUUUCUAGCAGUGCAAAACCAACACGAUUUGAAUCUUCCGAAAACGCCGCGUCGAUGUUGCAUUUUAGCUUACCAGCUGCACUACACUUCUGCUUCCUCAUAUUUCCUCAUAGUCUGGCAUGUAAACAAUGUGUUGCUUAAUAUAACAAUUUUCUAUAUAUGGCUGCCAGAUUUGCUCCCCUGGUGAUUAGACAGUAAACAAUAAAAAACGUUACACGCAAUUUCAUGGUUGGUUCAAUAUUUUGUUGUCCAGCUAAGUUAUAACAUAGUUUCAAAAAAGACAAUUUGUUAUUCAAAUUUGAAAAUGAUGCAAUGAUAAAGACAUUUUAUCACCUUAUCAUUAAAAAAACACGUGUAAUAAUCACUUAAACACAUGGACAAAUAAAAUCACGUAAGCAAUCUUGAUAUUAAUUAACGAAGGUUGACUCAGUUUAUAAGAAAUUGAUUCAUCUGUACGCCAUAGAUUCAACAUUUAUUGUCAAUGUAAAUAUCUUUUUUGUAAAUGAUAUGUAAAUACUUCUAUAAACAUUAUUUAAAUCUUGAAAUAUGCCUUAACUAUAAUGAAUUUUUGGAGGGUAACCUAUCAAAAUUUAUUUAUAUAAUAAAUAAAAGGUAAAUAUUUUGGCUAGGAAAAACCAAUGGUAGGAAAAAAAAUUACAUGUUGUGAUGUCAUGGAAGUCGAUGUAUGAGUAAACCUAGCUACUUGCUGGAAAUGAAAUAUGUUAAAGAUCUUACACACUGAAAGGAUCAAAUAUAUGUUCCUUUCGCACGAAUAGUUCUCUCUCUUUCUUUUUUCUUAAAUCAUAGCCGUCACAACUUUUAUUCUUUUUGGUGUACAAAAAGAAUUGAUUUAGGAUCAAUUACGAUCCAUAAUCACCCCUUUAAAUUGUUAUUCUUUCUCUUUUAGCAAAGUAAGUGAUUUUCACAUAAUUUUCUUUCCUUUGUUUUUGUGAUUUUGUCGUAUAACACGAUUUUGUUUAUUUUGAUUUCUCGUAUUUAUGCAGUGUUUUUAAUUGUUAGCUUUCACAUAUAGCAAAAACUUUUGAUUUAAGUUAGGCAAUUGUACUACAUCAAGAACAUUUAGAAGAUGCCAAAAAAUAAGACUACACUAUGCAAAGGCUCUGAUUGGAACUAUCUUGACUCUUUGUCUGGAUUUUAGGCAUGUUUGGUGGGUAACCUACACCAUUCAAUCAUUCCCAUCACAUGAUUAUUAAAUGAAUCCCACUUACUAAAAUUGAGAAUCAUAUUAGCUUUGUCGAUACUGAAGUGAAAUAAUUGUUUGACCUCAAAAAAUAACAUCCGUGUAUAAAAGGAUAACAGAGAAACAUUCAUACACAAAAUUAGCAUAUUACUUUCACUAAAAAAAUUUUAGGCUUAAUACAUGCUUUCGUCCCUUAACUUAUUUUUGAAUUUCAUUUUGGUCCCUUAACUUUAAACCGUCUCAAUUUGUUCUCAUAACUUUGCCUCCGUUUACAGAAGGGACCACUUAGGUAAACGGAGGCAAAGUUAUGGGACCAAAUUGAGACGGUUUAAAGUUAAGGGACCAAAAUGAAAUUAAAAAAUAAGUUAAGGGACCAAAGCAUGUAUUAAGCCUUAAAUAAAUUAUACUAAGAGGAUAUUUGUCAAAGAUACAUAUUUUUAUUGAAGAAAAAAAUAAUAUUACAAAGCAUGAAAAAAGCCCAAUAAAUAAAAUGGUUGAACAGUGUUGGGAAAAAUAUUGCAAGAUAAAAUAAUAAAUAUAUUACAACAUCAACAAAACUCGUAAAAUAGUGUGAGAAUAUAGGAAAUUUUUCCAUGACAAUAUAGGAGGUGAACAAAAUAAAUUAUGUUAAAAUUAAAUUAGAAAGUAAUGAAAACUUUGGUAAAAUAAAAAGUAAUAAAAACAAGCAAAUCUCUAAAAAAAAGUAAUAAAAACAAACAAAUCCCUAAAAAAAACAUAUAAAAUAUUUGGACUAUAAAAUUAAAGUAGAUAUGAAUUAUUUGUUGAGAUGUUUAUGUCAAAUAGAAAAAUGAGUUUUCUAAAAAUAAAACAUAAAUGUUAAUUUCAUUGGAACACCAACAAAAUAAAAAUUCAUAGGGAGGUAGUUCUAUUGCAUCAAAUAGAUCUAUUAUGAGAUAAAAAUAAAUGAACAUCAUAAUAUUAUUUUUAGUAAAUGUAAAUUAAUGUAUCACUCAUUUUUUAUAGAUUAGAAAAAUGAUUUUGACAUUCUAUAAUUUAGAGAUUAUUUUUUAAAGACUUUAUUAAAAAGUAUAAUCAAUUUUGUGUUUAUUUUUCAGAAUAACAAUCACUUCUUUGAAAAAAAAUAUAUGUUAAUUUGAUACAAGGCUUAAUAAAUGCUUUGGUCCCUUAUUUUUGAAUUUCAUUUUGGUCCCUUAACUUUAAACCGUCUCAAUUUGGUCCCAUAACUUUACCUCAGUUUACCUAAGUGGUCCAUUCUGUUAGUUUUUUUAACAGAAGGGACCACUUAGGUAAACGGAGGUAAAAUUAUGGGACCAAAUUGAGACAGUUUAAAGUUAAAGGACCAAAAUGAAAUUCAAAAAUAAGUUAAGGGACUAAAGCAUGUAUUAAGCCAAAAAUUUAUUACGUGUUCUGGAUCGAUCAAAAGAUCAAUCCCAUGUUGACACGUGACCUAAAUUUGCACUGCCUUAAAGCUCCGCGCUUGAAGGAGCAUGCCAAUUUUAGUACACCGCGUCACGUUCAAGCACGCCUCGGCGUGAGGUCACCUUACACGUGUUCUCUAACUGUCUCCUGAUCACAUGCUGCAAAACUCGAAGACAUCUCCACGAGUGCGUGUAUAAGGGUGACUUAACUUCACCCUCAAAGUAUGAUUCACUUUUCACAACACUUUCUACAUACUCUUUCAAAGGAAUAAAAAAAACAUUUGUUACAACUAUUUUUAUUUAAAGAAUCAUAGGUGCGGGAUGAAAUAUUAAAAAGUUAUAAUCACUUAAUAAAAUAGAAAUCGAUCCUCACUGAACCGACGUGGACCACGAUUGAUGACCAUAUAUAGUUGAUGAAACCCAGAGAUGGGGGGUGGUUGUCUCCGCCACUGAUAUAGUAACAAAAUAAAGGUUUAAUUGCACUUUUGGCCCCCUAUGUUUCAAGAAGUUGCGAUUUUGACCCCCUAACUAAUUAAAAUACAAAACAUCAUUGAGCUCAGCCACCUCCCAUCUCUGGGCUUCAUCAACUAUACAUGGUCAUCAAUCUUGAUCCACGUCGGUUCAGCGAGGAUCGAUUUCUAUUUUAUUAAGUGAUUAUAACUUUUUAAUAUUUCAUCCCGCACCUAUGAUUCUUUAAAUAAAAAUAGUUGUAACAAAUGUUUUUUUUAUUCCUAAAUUCAAACCUCUGAACUAACGUACACUAAUCUUUUCCCUCAUGAACAAAUAGUACAAUAAUCCUCAAGAAGAAGCUUCUUAGUCUUCCUAAGGCGUGUUGUAGAAAUUAAAUUAACAAUAAUAUUUUCACUCAAAGCUCGUCAUGUUUUUUAUAAUAUCUCCAUCAAGUAUGUAUUUAUAUACUUAUGUCAGUACAAUCAAAUUCGGUCCUCGUGAGCAUAGCUCAGUUGAUAUGGACAAUGCAUAAUAUAUGUAAGGUUUGAAGUUUAAAUUCCGACAACCACAAAAAAAAGAGUACAAUCAAACUCGAAUCUGACAUCUCAUAAUUGUGAUUGCGUGUAUGUAAAUUUAAAAGGUGGUGAUAUUUGUGAGAUCUUUAUUUUUCUUUCUUUUUAUUGGUUUAAAACAAUAAAGAAAAAAAUGAAGAGAAAGAAUAAGAAUAUAAUGCGAAUAUAAAAGAAAAUUGUUGAAAAAUUGUUACAAAAUAAAUGUUAAAAUAUCAUUUCUUAAAUCUAAAACGUUGCUCGUCACUUUUUCUACAUGUCAAAGUUGAAUCUUGUGAAGAAGUGAUUGUCCCAAAAAUAAUAUUUUAUUAGCAACAGUACUAGCAUCAAAUAUUUGUCAACAAAAAUAAAGUACUAGCAUCAAAUAAACUAACGUGCUACAUAUGAACAUAACCUCAAAUAUUGACUAGCUCCAUGCAUAUACUUUUCCCACGUUAAAAAAAAAGCCUAAUCAAAUUUCUAAUAACAAUUCUAAAAUUACUAUACACUCUUUCCAUAGACAUCAUUAUUGAUGAUUGUGGACAUGACCCCACAAUAUUAAUUUUGGUACAUGCAUAUAGCUCGAGAUACAUUUUUAAGAGAAAUAUAAUUUGUAUGAUAAUUUCACGACAAUUUUUAUGAUAAUUUUUUUUUUCUCACACUCAUGUUGUAUUUUUGUUCUCUCAUUUCAUAUUUCUUUGUCUAUUGCUUUUUUCCUAAAAAAAGAAAAAAAAUGAUUCUCCCAAAAAUACUUGUACAAAUAUCCACUCUUAGAAAAAGUAAAAUUAGGAAGAGAAAUUAGUGACGGAAAACAUUAAAUUUCUCACAAAUUCUUAAAUCGUAAAAUUUAGUGACGGAAUUAGUGAGGGAUUUCACGUUUUCCCUCUUAAAAUUUUCCUCACCGUUUUUUACUUUUAGUAGUGAUCAUUGAUAAAUUUUUAAUUCAUCUAUUGAGGAGGAACUAAAUAACCAUUUGUGUAAAUCUUUUCUUUUUUUAUAUCUAACAGGGUGAUUUAUAAGAAGAAGAGUCUGAACAUUUCGAUGAAGAAAAUCUAUAGAAAAGAAUUAAUUUAGUUAAAAGUGAGCCAACUUGGUUUUACUCCAAAAAAAUAUUCUUUAAAAUUUUUGCUCAUUCAAAAUCUAAAAUUGUUGUUUUCAAACGUAUAAUUUAGCAACUGAUUAUUAAGCAUUAGGAAAAAGCCCAUGCGACAGUAAAAAAUUGGACGCUAACAUGUCAAUUAGCGUCAACCUAGUGUGAGGCUCGUGGUUGACAAUAAAAUGCUUGAAGCUAACCAUUUGUGUCUGCAAUCCUGAAGCAAUUUGUAAGUAAUAUCGUAGACCAAUUUAAAUUUUUUAAGCUAAGCAUUAGCGUCUGCAAUAUCGAGGCUACAUCGCGUGCGCUUAGUGUAGGUCAAUUUAAAUUUUUAAAAUUCUGUAAAAGCAUUGACUAAAGGGGUUGGCCAACAAAAUAAAACAUAUUAGAAAUAAUUAACAAUCCAUUAAAGAUAGAAAAAAAAGUAAAAUAUAUAUACAAAGCAAAGCACAUAUUUGAGACAAGCAUCAAAUGUAAUAAAAAAAAUGCUACUAUGUUAUUUAUCCCAAAAAUAAAAUUAAAACAUCUUACAAUCAUGUGCAACAAACUUCUUUCUAUUGCAAUGGAGUCAACAUGUGUUAAACCAAAUAAACCAAAUAUUUAGAUGAUCUCCUAAAUAUUUUCUCUACAUCUAAGAAAAGAAUGUUCCAAAAUCUUGGCUAUAUUAAAGUUGAUAGGGUGGAAAUAUAAAUCUUGUUCAUUUUCGUUUUGGUUUUAAGCACAUCCUCUUUGUUUGAUUUCAACCUACUCAAACAAGCACAAUAAGCUUCAACAUUGUCAAUAAAGAAAGCACACACAAUUACAAAAUAUGUCAUAUAUUAGUCUACAAGAUAUGAUGAUUUUUUUUCGAUGUUGACCAAGCUAAUUACAUUUUAAUAAAAAUAAUUCUAUCAAUGAAAUUAUUAUGACAUCUCUCUUUAUCAACCUAAAAAAGUUUUUCAAAGCAAAGCAGAGGGAGUUCUUCCUACUCAUGUCGAUUAAUCAAGUCAAAAAGCUAAAAAAAAAAAAAAAAAACCAUUACUACAAUAAAGGAGAUUUCACCUCGGUUGAAAUGAAGUUUUCACAUUGCACCGUUCAUGAGGUAAGGUGGUGUGGUAUGUCUAACACUAUUUACAUCGGGCACAUCAGGUUGGUACCCAAUGUGAUAAGUACUUUUCACAUCGUUUUAUCACCGGAUGUGAAAUCCCUUUUAUAAAUUAGAACAUGUGAUUUACAUUUCACAUUAACUUUCACCUCAAGUGAUGUGAAAUCCAUUUUUCUAAAUGGUACAUUUUUAACCAACUUAAAAUGUCUAAUUUUUUAUAACAAAUAUAUAUUUUUAACCGACUUAAAAUAUAAAUUCAUGUGCUCUAUGAAACUGACACUCACUAAAUUGAAUUAAACAACUCCAACAUUGAUACGACAAUCAUCACUAGCAUUUAACUCCACAACCUCAAAUUUAUAGAUCAGAGGGCCUAUAAUACAUGGUAGUUACAAAUUAUCAACAAUUGGACGAGAUUAAAUAUAUACAAUAUUGUUUAAAAUAUAUGAAUUCAAAGUCAUAGUAGCAUAAAAAAUAAGAAGGGGUUAAAUUGGAAGGGUAUUGACUACAAAUUAACAAAUCAGAAAAUCAAUUUGAAAAGAGUAAGAAUACUAAUUUACUUAACACAAAAAAAUAGAUCCAAAGCAUAUUAUGAUGACUAUUGACUAUAAUCCCCAUUACAUAAGAAAUACCCAACAAAUAUCAAAAAGAGAGAUCUAACUUUCUAUCUCCAUUUUGAUUAUAAUGAGUUCACAAACAAAAUUCCCUAAGAAACAAUAGAGACCAUCAGAAAUCAUAAGCAAAAUGUUCUAAAAGAUAACAAACUCUAAAAGCUAAAGAAUAAAAACAUAAAAUUGCAACUAAUAGAGAAAAGAAACGAUUUAAUUCAUAAGAGAAGAGAACAAAGGAGUUGAAAAUAUAAAAUAAAGAUAUUGAUUCAAGAACAAAGACGAUUUUACCUCUGAACAACUUGAACAAAGCAACAAACAACGAAGGGCAAGAACAUAGACAAUUUUGGGUAUGAAAGGUUUGUAUCUGAGUGAAGCAGCGAAUGGUUUGCCUCUGAACGGUGAAACAACGAAGCUCUAAACAUGGAGGACGACUUGGCUCAUAAUGAGUCUAAUUUUUUUAUUUUUUCUGGAUCUGAGUUUUUUUUUCCCAGAACUUUAUGGCUUUGAAGGUUUUUUAAUGAAAGUGUGAAAAGAAAAUAUUGGGAAAAAAAAGGUGAGGGAAAUCUUAAAAUAAAAGUAGGAAAGAAAAGGGAAAUUGAAAAAUAAUGGAUAAUUUUUUUUUUAGCUUCACAGAUAAUCGAUGCUAUUUAAAAAUAAAAUAAAUAGUUUUAGAAUAUAUUGACGCUAAUUAAAUAAUUAAAUUAAAAUAUAAUGAAUUGAAGAAAGCGUUAGAAUUUGUGGAUGCUAAUUAGACGCUGUUAGCAUCAGAAAUUGUCUCACGCUAAAAUUUAUGAAGCUAGAUUGCAAUUUUUUUGUAAUAUGUGAAAGGGUACCAUAGAAGUUCCCUUUUUAUUAUCUUUGGUGGAAACUCCCAACAAAUUUGAAAUAAUGUUACCCGAGAGGGAUACAUAGAACCUGUAAAAAUUUGCUUUUGGACGCAUUCACCACAUGUCCCGAAGCCUCGGAAUAAGAGUCAAAUAUUCUCAUAAGGCAGCAUACAUUCUUAUUUGGUACGUUUACAAAAAAAAUUAGAAUAUCGUCUGUGCAUAUGUUGGCCAGCUUGCCGAGCAAGAGUAAUCGAACGACUAAGAACCUCUUUUGCCAAACAAAAAUAAAAGAGGGGAUAGAAGGUCCCCCUGACGAACACCCCGCCCGCACACAAGAGAAGAAGCCCAUCGCUUUACCAUUCACCAGAAUAAAAAGACGCGCAGAGUGCAAAAUAUAGAAGAAAACCUGCAGGAGAAAGCCAGGCUAAAACCAAACUGAUGGAGCACAGCUAGCAAGAAAUUCCAAUCUAAAGUAUCAAAUGCCUUUCUGAUAUCAAGCUUGAGCGCUAAAUUACCCCCAUAUUGAUUACGAUUCAGAAGGUUAAUAGCCUCAGAAGCUAUAGUAAUACAUUCUGAAAUGUAUCGAUCACGAAUAAAGCCACGCUACUCCAAUCAGAUUAGGUAGAAGCUCUCCAAGUCUCCCCUAUUAUAUAAAUCCUUAACCUACUUAUUUUCUCUUAUUUCCAAAUCUGCCCUCCAAGUCUCAAUAUUCUAUUCUAAUAUAUUUCUAUAACAUAUAAGAAAUAUAUCUCUAUAACAAAUAUAUUUCUAUAACACAUAUAUUUCUACACCAAAUAAGAAAUAUAUUUCUACACCAGAUAACAUAUAUAUUUCUACACCAAAUAACAAAUAUUUUACACCAGAUAACAUAUAUAUUUUUACACCAAAUAACAUAUAUAUUUCUACACACCAGAUAACAUAUAUAUUUCUAUACCAAAUAACAUAUAUAUUAUACUAAUAAAUACCAACAUAUAACAUAACAAAAUAUCACUCAUCAAAAUAAAUCGACUAAAUUAUAAAAAGACAUCUAAACUCAAUAAAAUAAAUAAAUAAUAAAAUAGGACGUUACAGGAUCUGGGUUUUAUUUUUUUCUUUUCAGAACUUUAUGCUUUUGAAGGGUUUUUAAUGAAAGUGUGAAAAGAAAAUAUUGGAAAAAAAAAAAGGUGAGGGAAAUCUUAAAAUAAAAGUGGGAAAGAAAAGGGAAAUUGAAAAAUAAUGGAUAAUUUUUUUUUUAGCUUCACAGAUAAUCGAUGCUAUUUAAAAAUAAAAUAAAUAGUUUUAGAAUAUAUUGACGCUAAUUAAAUAAUUAAAUUAAAAUAUAAUGAAUUGAAGAAAGCGUUAGAAUUUGUGGAUGCUAAUUAGACGCUGUUAGCAUCAGAAAUUGUCUCACGCUAAAAUUUCUGAAGCUAGAUUGCAAUUUUCUUGUAGUGAUAUGUGAAAGGGUAAUGGUAUUUUUAUUACCUUUGGUGUAAGCUAGAUAUCCUCCGCAUGCAAUUGGAAAAACUAAUUCCUCAAACCUUCUGAGAAUCAAAUGAACGGAAAACUCUCCAUUAAAGACAAUGAUAUUUGAACAAUCAUAUACCUUCAAUACAUUGAUAUGAUAUUGAGUAGCCCAUUUUAGCAAGUAAGUUGUAAUAUAAUUAUAAUAAUAGUAAUAGCAGAAGACAAAAAUAAUGAUUUUAAUUGUGAUAAAUUAGUUGCAUUAUGUGUUAGAAAUGAUAAAAUUGAUAAAAUACUAAUUCUUGAUAAUUUAUCAAUAUAAAAUUCUAAAUUUUUAUUUUAUCGUGCAAAACAAUAGACUAUUAAAAGGUUAGAUUAACUCUAAUAUUUAGAUUUCUUAAUUUAUUUAUUAGUGGAUAAAACAGAAAAAUGUUCUGAAAAUUAUUGAGGCAGCUGUGUGAGAAAACAUAUGAUACAUGUAUAAUUUUUCAAAGUUUGUUAAGGAGAAAGGACAGAUUAAUUUGAUCAAAUACCCAAUAAUUAAUUCAUCAAUGACUACGCGUAUAUUGAAUUUUACUUACUUUGAAAUAGCUUACAAAACAAAAAUAACAAAAUAAUUUUUUUGAAAGAGAUAUAAUAAAAUAAUUAUUGGUCCAUACUUACUAUAAAGAAAAUAAGAGCAGUGUCAACAUUUUCCAGCUAAUAUGCUCACUUACUUUAUUCCUUUCUUUACAUUUCUUUCAUGAAUAGCCAACUUGAUUCGAAUUGGUCCAAAAAACAUGCUCACUUAUUCAAAGGCAGGCCAUUAUUUUUUAAUGAAAUUAUAUGCUUGUAUUUUGAUAUAAACUUUUUUUAUAAACAUUCUGCUAAAGAAAACUAGGUAAAUUGUAAUAAGGACACCAACCAAGAUGAAUAGUUAAGGUAAAAUGUGUAAAGAAAAAACUAUAUAAAGGGUGAUGCUAUCUUUCAUAAUAGCAACAACAAAACACACUUUGGGAAAAUAUGGGGUCUCAAAUGGCCUCUAUUACUCUCACUAUUGCAUUGGCAAUAAUCUCUCUUAGCUUCCCAUCUCAAAUUUCAGCAAACAAUUACAUCUAUUCAUCUCCACCACCACCAAAGCCUUACUACUACCACUCUCCACCACCACCAGUGCACUCCCCACCUCCUCCUUACCAUUACAGUUCACCACCACCGCCACCAAAGAAGGAAUACAAAUACCCUUCUCCUCCACCACCAGUAUACAAGUACAAAUCACCUCCUCCACCGGUAUAUAAGUAUCAAUCUCCCCCACCACCAGUUUACAAGUACAAGUCACCUCCUCCCCCAGUUUACAAGUACAAAUCUCCACCCCCACCACCCAAGAAACCAUACAAGUAUUCAUCACCACCACCACCAGUUUACAAGUAUAAGUCUCCUCCUCCACCUGUUUACUCACCACCUCCACCAGUUUACAAGUAUAAAUCUCCUCCUCCACCAGUUUACUCACCACCUCCACCAUACAAGUAUUCAUCUCCACCACCUCCUCCGUACAAGUACUCAUCACCACCACCACCAGUCUACAAGUAUAAGUCACCUCCUCCUCCUUACAAGUACUCAUCUCCCCCUCCACCUCCAAAGAAACCAUACAAGUACCCAUCUCCACCACCCCCAGUUUACAAGUAUAAAUCUCCUCCUCCACCUGUCUACUCACCACCACCAAUUUACAAGUAUAAGUCACCUCCUCCACCUGUCUACUCACCACCUCCACCAGUCUACAAGUAUAAAUCACCCCCUCCACCUGUCUACUCACCACCUCCACCAGUUUACAAAUAUAAGUCACCUCCCCCACCUGUCUACUCACCACCACCACCAGUUUACAAAUAUAAGUCACCUCCCCCACCUGUCUACUCACCACCUCCACCUGUNNNNNNNNNNNNNNNNNNNNNNNNNNNNNNNNNNNNNNNNNNNNNNNNNNNNNNNNNNNNNNNNNNNNNNNNNNNNNNNNNNNNNNNNNNNNNNNNNNNNNNNNNNNNNNNNNNNNNNNNNNNNNNNNNNNNNNNNNNNNNNNNNNNNNNNNNNNNNNNNNNNNNNNNNNNNNNNNNNNNNNNNNNNNNNNNNNNNNNNNNNNNNNNNNNNNNNNNNNNNNNNNNNNNNNNNNNNNNNNNNNNNNNNNNNNNNNNNNNNNNNNNNNNNNNNNNNNNNNNNNNNNNNNNNNNNNNNNNNNNNNNNNNNNNNNNNNNNNNNNNNNNNNNNNNNNNNNNNNNNNNNNNNNNNNNNNNNNNNNNNNNNNNNNNNNNNNNNNNNNNNNNNNNNNNNNNNNNNNNNNNNNNNNNNNNNNNNNNNNNNNNNNNNNNNNNNNNNNNNNNNNNNNNNNNNNNNNNNNNNNNNNNNNNNNNNNNNNNNNNNNNNNNNNNNNNNNNNNNNNNNNNNNNNNNNNNNNNNNNNNNNNNNNNNNNNNNNNNNNNNNNNNNNNNNNNNNNNNNNNNNNNNNNNNNNNNNNNNNNNNNNNNNNNNNNNNNNNNNNNNNNNNNNNNNNNNNNNNNNNNNNNNNNNNNNNNNNNNNNNNNNNNNNNNNNNNNNNNNNNNNNNNNNNNNNNNNNNNNNNNNNNNNNNNNNNNNNNNNNNNNNNNNNNNNNNNNNNNNNNNNNNNNNNNNNNNNNNNNNNNNNNNNNNNNNNNNNNNNNNNNNNNNNNNNNNNNNNNNNNNNNNNNNNNNNNNNNNNNNNNNNNNNNNNNNNNNNNNNNNNNNNNNNNNNNNNNNNNNNNNNNNNNNNNNNNNNNNNNNNNNNNNNNNNNNNNNNNNNNNNNNNNNNNNNNNNNNNNNNNNNNNNNNNNNNNNNNNNNNNNNNNNNNNNNNNNNNNNNNNNNNNNNNNNNNNNNNNNNNNNNNNNNNNNNNNNNNNNNNNNNNNNNNNNNNNNNNNNNNNNNNNNNNNNNNNNNNNNNNNNNNNNNNNNNNNNNNNNNNNNNNNNNNNNNNNNNNNNNNNNNNNNNNNNNNNNNNNNNNNNNNNNNNNNNNNNNNNNNNNNNNNNNNNNNNNNNNNNNNNNNNNNNNNNNNNNNNNNNNNNNNNNNNNNNNNNNNNNNNNNNNNNNNNNNNNNNNNNNNNNNNNNNNNNNNNNNNNNNNNNNNNNNNNNNNNNNNNNNNNNNNNNNNNNNNNNNNNNNNNNNNNNNNNNNNNNNNNNNNNNNNNNNNNNNNNNNNNNNNNNNNNNNNNNNNNNNNNNNNNNNNNNNNNNNNNNNNNNNNNNNNNNNNNNNNNNNNNNNNNNNNNNNNNNNNNNNNNNNNNNNNNNNNNNNNNNNNNNNNNNNNNNNNNNNNNNNNNNNNNNNNNNNNNNNNNNNNNNNNNNUAUAAGUCACCUCCCCCACCUGUCUACUCACCACCUCCACCAGUAUACAAGUAUAAGUCUCCUCCCCCACCUGUCUACUCACCACCUCCACCAGUAUACAAGUAUAAGUCCCCUCCUCCACCUGUUUCCUCACCACCUCCACCACAUUAUGUUUACUCUUCCCCUCCUCCUCCAGUCUAUUCCCCUCCUCCACCACAUUACAUUUAUUCAUCACCCCCUCCUCCUUACCACUACUAGAUAGUGGUUUACGAUAGUAUCAAAUGGUAUGCUUCUUCCUAUGUACAACCCACACAAAACACUUCAUAAAUAAAACAUUUUAAGACAAGUAUAUACAUUUAUAUAUUAUCAACUAAACAAUUAAAUAAGAGAAACAAAAUUAGUUAUUUGAGCACUUUUACAUACCGACACACGAAACUCGUUAUCUAAUAUAAGCCUCACUUACAUUUUCUUUCCUAUAAUCUAAAUUAUUCAAUUUUUUGAGAUAUCUAAAUUGUACAUACACCUGAUCAAACAGUUUAUAAAACUUAAUCUGAGCCUAUUUACAUUCAUAUUAUUAGUAUUAUUAAAUUAGAAAAGAUAUUAAUAUAUAUUAGUAUAUAUAUUUAGGGAGACAAAACAUGUUAUGUAAUCAAACAUGUUGUGUAUAUAUAUAUUUUAAGUGCUUAAAAUUAAUGAAAGAUAUUAACAUAUUUAUGUAUUUGUAUACUUUUGUAGGAUUUGAGGAAUAUAUUGAAAUAAAGAGAUUAUAGUGCAAAGAAGGAAGAUGCAUUUCGCAAUUAUAUAGGGGAAAAAUCAAAGCACUUUGCCUCUGAAGAAGUUACUCUUUUUUUUCCUUCAUUUGUUUUGUUUUGUGAUUAUUCUCAUUAUUAGUGUGAUUGGUUUUUGAAUUAGACAGUUACAAGAACCGUGUGUUAUAUCAUGAUUGAAUGCAUUUUGUUUUGCGACCUACUUCUUUGCGAGGGGUUGCGAAAAUAAAUAAAAUUGAAUAUUUCUCCUUCUCAGUCUAUGUACAUUUAAUGAUUGAUAAACUAUACUGUAUUCUACAGUAUAAUUAACUAACUCCUACAGAAAUACUGAAAUGGAAUAACUCCUACAGGAAACUCCCAGCAAAUUUGAAAUAAUGCUACCCGAGAGGGAUACAUAGAACCCGUAAAAAUUUGCUUUUGGACGCAUUCACCACAUGUCCCGAAGCCUCGGAAUAAGAGUCAAAUAUUCUCAUAAGGCAGCAUACAUUCUUAUUUGGUACGUUUACAAAAAAAUUAGAAUAUCGUCUGGAUAUAAGUUGGCCAGCCUGCUGAGCAAGAGUAACCGAACGACUAAGAACCUCUUUAGCCAAACAAAAUAAAAGAGGGGAUAGAAGGUCUCCCUAACGAACACCCCGCCCGCACACAAGAGAAGAAGCCCAUCGCUUUACCAUUCACCAGAAUAAAAAGACGCGCAAAGUGCAAAAUAUAGAAGAAAACCUGCAGGAGAAAGCCAGGCUAAAACCAAACUGAUGGAGCACAGCUAGCAAGAAAUUCCAAUCUAAAGUAUCAAAUGCCUUUCUGAUAUCAAGCUUGAGCGCAAAAUUACCCCCAUAUUGAUUACGAUUCAGAAGGUUAAUAGCCUCAGAAGCUAUAAUAAUACAUUCUGAAAUGUAUCGAUCCCGAAUAAAGCCACUCUACUCCAAUCAGAUUAGGUAGAAGCUCCCCAGUUGUAAAGAAUUCCUGAACCAAAAGAAUCGCAUCCUUUGCAACAAUGUCCAAGAAUGUCUGGAAAAAGUAGCCAUCAAAACCAUCCAGACCAGGAGCACCAUCCCCAUUCAAAUCAAAAAUUGCAACCUUAAUCUCUUCAAAAAGUGGUAACUUGACUAGCAUAUUAUUAUCUUCAAAUGUCACUCGACGUGGAAUCAAAUUAGCCACCAUAGAAUUCUGCACACAAGUAUUAUUGUGACCAAAGAGAUAUUCUUAGUAGAAGCCGUAAUUUUUGCAACCCGAUGAAAGUAUUCCUAUCGCCCUGUAUAAAAUGUUAUGAAUGAGUCUUCUCCUUCCAAAAUUGAUCCUGACAUAACAACGCUUCAGUGAUCAGAAGUUGCGCCUUAAGAUCCUCCUGAUACGAAGCAUUAGUAAAACCUUUCGUGUCGAAAAGAAGCUGAAUUUAGUUAACUUCAUCAUGAGCUAACCUAACCUGUCUCGCUACAUCACCAAACACAGACCUAUUCCAGACCCGAAAAACCUGCUUCAACCUCUUAAGCUUUUCCUGAAGACUAGACAUACAACUGCCAACACAAACCUUACCCCAAGUAGCCGAAACUAGACGCUUGCAUCAACCAAGUUUUGAAAAAUUUGAAACUAGUUGCAUGCGGAAGAGGGGAAAACAUCGAAGAAACCAACAUAGCAUGGUUGUUUGAUUGAUGCAUCACCAACGAACAAGAAGUGGAGCGCCAAAAUUCAAACCAAAAUUCAUUACAAAUAGCCAUAUCUAACAUCGAAACAACAGUCUCUUAACCAAAUCUACCAUUAUGUCGGGUGUAGAGCGCCCCCACAGUCGGCAUGUGAGUCAAGAAAUUGGCAUUCGACUAAGACAAAAAAUAUAUGCAAGAUGUAGAAGGUGUUGGUCGACGCCCCCUUUUCUGAUAGGCACUAAAUAAUUGAUAAUUUUAUAAAUGCAUGAAAAAAUUGAAAACUUUCUUUCAUUGUGUUAUUUAUUUAUAAAAUUUAAAAAAAUUAUUGAUUGUUAUAAAUAUAUAUUAUUUAUUUUUAUAUGUUGGAAAUUUCAUGGAUCGUAAUAAAUUAUUUAUAAAUAUUUUUUAUAAUGAAAUAUUUUAAUUUAAUUUUAUCAUAUUAUGUUUUUGUUUAUGGAUCUUUAUGUUUUUUUUUUGUAAUUUAUUUAUGUUAUUUCAUAAAUACACGUAUUUCUUUUCUAUAACUUUUUUUUAGUUUCUCUCAUAUCAUAUUACUAACUAAUAUAUUCACGUGGGCUUAACUCAGUUUUGGUAUGAACAAUGCAUAAUAUAUGCAAGGUCCGGGGUUCAAAUCACGGCCAUCACUAAAAAAUACUACUAACUAAUAUCUUCAUUUCAUUUUCUUUUCUUUCAUGUAUAUUUCUCUUAUAUCAUUCUACUAAAUUGAGUAUUGUUAAUUUUCUCAAAUACUAAAAUGCGUCUUCAGUCUAAAUUUUAUAUGUUUGACAUGAUCAACGCUCUACAAUACAAGAAAAGGUAACUAUUUCUUUUUUACGAAAUAGAAGUUGCUAGGAAACAACAUAUAUAGGCAACCAUGUCCAAUUUUGAAUAAACGAUAAGAAAAUGAGUAAGACUAAAAAUGGUGACUAUGAACGACGGUAGUUAGAAAUAAUAAUUAUCAAAGAAUUUUUUGUGAGUAUUUGAAUAAUAGAAUAAAUAUCGUACAAAAGUACAACAAAGAUAAUUAAAUAAGGUUUAGGUCUUCUUCUUGGAAAGAAAAUAUGUGUUCUGUCAACAUCAGUUAAUUUUCUCAUGUUUUAGUUAUAUUGCAAUCUGUCAAUGCUGUGUUUCAUUGGGUCCAAAAACCUAUAAUUAACAUAAGAGAAACUUAUAAAACCUACUUCAACGAAAUUCAUAAUUUUGAAAAAAGUGAAUUUGAAUAGAUCAACCGGUUGUUAGUCAAAUUUCAUAAACCUAUAAACCUUUGCAAACAUAUGUAUAACCAUUUGGUAAUGGAUAACUCAUUUGAUUGAGCUAUCACAUUAAAGGAGUUCAAGGUUCCAAUCCUCACAAGAGAGAAAAUAUUAACAUAACAAUUAAUAUAUUAACAUUUGAUAUUUAAAAAAAAAAUUAUAACCAUCUUAAUAUCAUUAAAGAACUAAACGCAACUUUGUUGGUGAAGAUCAUGAAUCAUUGGCCCUUCUCGAUCCACAACUUGUCUUGUUGGGAUCCUUGUCAAACUAUGUUGUUUCAAAGACAACAUUUUUGAUGUUUUGAUGAUAACAAAUCACAAGGGUUGGUCUGGUGGUAUUGGUUUGGGACCUGCGAAUGUGCUCCUUCUCGAGGUCUCAGGUUCGAUUCUCUUGACUGUCAAUUUAGGUGGGCUAAUACAAUUUGUUUAUGGGUCAUGCUAACUUGUCCUCAAAGGACACAAGUUAAGAAGCUUAAAAUAGAAUUAACAAAUAAAUUUUAUAUUAAAAUGAUAACUUUAAUAUAUGUUUAAGUGUGCAAGAAUUUAAUUGAGAACUAGAGUUCAUUAAUGACUAUCUAUCUUAAAUUGUAGACUAAAUUAAAAGUAAGUUAGGAAUAAUAAUAUGAGUCAUCCUGACUUUUGCCCUAAAGUACAUGUUAAGCAACCUAAAAAUAGAAAUAUUCUAUUAAAUUUGAGCAUUUAAUUAACAAAAAGUAAAAAGAUAAAAUUUAAAUAUAUUAAUUCAACAAAAUAUUUUUACUUUUGACUCAUUAUCUUAUGUCACAUAAAGAAAUAAAGGAAACUAAGAGUUAGUUGUAUAGAUAACUUGUUCCACAAGUUAUCUAGUAGUUAGUUGUAACUAACUGUAAUAGGUUUUAGAUAGCAUACAGUUGGUGUAUUAUAGUUGUUCUAGUCGUCUAGGAUCUAUAUAUAAGCUGUAAUGCUCAUAUGAUUCAAUCAAUGAGAAUUUUACUCUUCAUAUUCAUUUCUUCUUUCAUAAUAAAUGAUUUUAAGAAUAGGGAAAUGUUAACUGAUACCUUUAAGAUACUGGUUAAGGUACUUCCUCCGAUCCUUAUUAUAAAAAACAAUUGAUUUUUUUUGGUUUAUUGUAUAAGUGAUGUAUCUAGUCUAUAUUUACAAUAAGAUACAUUAAUUAUUCUAUGAAUCUAAAAAGUCAAUUUUUUUCUUAUAAUAAGGACCGGAGAGGGUAUUAAAUUAUGAUACCAUAUCAACUUCACUUACGCUAAGUUGUCUUUGCCAAUUUUAACUCCAUUACACCUAUUAUCAAACAAAUAAUAUUGCCCAUCAACUAGUGAAUACAACAACAUAUUUUCUUAUUUUGCGUAUCUUUGAUGAGAUUCCGACAUGCAUUGGAUAUAUAUCUACAUAGAUCCCAAUCAGGGUAGUUGCCCUCAUUGUGUAUAUAUUUUGUUUGAUGUUUUUUAGUUAUUUUGUUUUUGUUCCUACUAAAAUUAAGCGAUGCCCCCACAAAUCCAUUUUUGUGGAGUUUUGUUAGAUUCAACGACGAUUUUUAACACCUUUUCAUGCUUCUUAAAAUAGCUUUCAUUAUCUAAAAACUUUAAUUUGUAAACAUCAAUUUUAAUUUCAUAAGUCAUGUAUAAUCCAUUAAAAUUUCAUAAACCAUAAAAUUUCAUAGUCCUUACAUAAUUCAUAUCUACAAAUUGCCCACACAAAUUUUCAACUAAGAUCUUUUAUCCGUGCAUACCCUCAGGCACGGGUUCUUUUGUCAUCCCAAAUUUUUAUGUGUAUAUCUCUCAAAGUCUCAUGUUUAAAUCACAACAUCGAUUUCUUUGGAUUAGUCCAUACAAAGCUUUACUUUAAAGUUAAUUAGUCAUCCCACUAGUGGAUUGUAAGAUUGGUUCCAAAGAUGACUUGGUCCUUAGACGCAAUACCGAGUUUCCAAAAGAAAUUAAUAUUUUUAUGACAAAAAAAAAGAAAUUAAUUCAUAUCCGUAUACUAUGAGUCAAUUACUUUAAUUUUAGUAAAGUACACCGCCCGAUUACUAUUAUAAGCAAAAAUCAACAUUUUAUAUUCAUUCAUUAAAUGAUAUAUGUAAUCUAUAAUAAAGAUCUUAUACAUCAUUAAUUGAAUGAAUCUAAUAUAUAUAUAUUUUUGUUUAUAAUAGUGGCUGAAACGUGUAUAUAUUUUAUUUACUCUUUAUAAUGAGUAAACUCCACCACUGACGGUCGAUUCAUAUUUACUGUCACAUGCAAAAUACCGUAAUUUACCAUAAUGCAUGUAAAUGGUGUUAAAUUUGGUAAAGAAAAAAACUAUAUAAAGAGGUCACUAGUUUUCCUUAGGCAUAACCAAAACCCGUUUAAAGUGACUUGUAAGGGGAAGAAUGGGGUCUCCAAUGGCCUCUUCUUUACUCACUACUCUAAUGGCAAUACUCUCUCUAAAUUUUAUAUCUCAAAUCUCAGCUAACAACUCGGUCCACUCAUCUUCACCACCACCACCAAAGUUUCCUUACCAUUACUCAUAUCCACCCCCACCUCCCAAAAAACCCUACAAAUAUCCAUCACCUCCACCACAAAUAUAUAAGUACAAGUCUCCUCCACCACCGCUACCAAAGAAGCCCUACAAAUAUCCAUCACCUCCACCACCAAUAUAUAUGUACAAGUCACCUCCGCCACCGAUAUAUAAGUACAAGUCUCUUCCACCACCGCCACCAAAGAAGCCCUACAAAUAUCCGUCACCUCCACCACCAGUUUACAAGUACAAGUCUCCUCCGUCACCAUCACCAAAGAAGACCUACAAAUAUCCAUCACCUCCACCACCAGUUUACAAGUACAAGUCGUCACCCCCACCUUAUAAGUACCCAUCUCCACAACAACCUCUACAACUAUCGCAACAAACUACCAAUUACUAUUACAAGUCACCACCACCGCCACAUAGGAAGCCCUAGAAAUACCAAUUUCCUCCACCACCACCUAAGAAGCAAUACAAGUAUAAUUCAUCUCAACCACCACCGGUCUACAAGUACAAGUCAUUUCCUCGCCCUCACCACUACUAAAUAGUUAGUAGUAUAGCCCUUAGUACAUACGGUAUGCUUCUUCAUAUCUAUAUUAUUUAUUUUAUUUUUUUGACCAAACAUAUCUAUAUUAUUUUACAUCAAUCAAUUUAAUUUAAAAACUAUUAUAGCCUUCUAAAUGGAUAUGGAUGUUCGCAUAAAUUUUUUUAAUUAUGGACCAUUGAGGUUAACUUUGUUUAUGAGGUUAUUCAUUUCAUUAUUGGAAAAAAAAUUCAUUAUUAUUAUGAUCAUCAUCGGCAACCAGUAAAAUAACAAAAAAUUAACUUCAUUUCGGCAAUAAAAUUUUUGACAACGAAACUCUAGAGAAUUUUUAUUUUAUUACCCUUAAAGUAUUGUCCUUACCAACUGAAUUCAGCUCACGUGGACAAUUCUAGUUAUUUCUAAUAGUAUUAAAGAACAUCGUUGUUAUUUUCUUUAUUAAUUUAUAGUUUUAAAAAAUAGCCGUCGUAGAUUAAUCUUUAAUUUAUAUAUAAUUGUUAAUUUAUUUGUUUAUUUAUGCAUUCAAUAAUAACUUAUUAUUAUAUCACUUCGAUGACCAAAUAAUAAUAUAUUUAUGUGUGUACACUUUCGUAGGAUCCGAAGAACAGUCGCAAAUAAAGUAAAGAUGGUGGGUUUUGGAACAUUAUUUUUUGUUAUAUUUCACCUUUUUUUUUUAUUUGGUUUGUAUUUUGUAAUAUUUUGUUUUGGUAUUUGUCAUUGUUUGAAGGCACUGUUCUAAUAUGAUGAUAUAUAAAUAAAUAUAUGUUGAUUUCUGUGAUAUGUGCAAUUAUUUCUCUUGUUUUACAUAAUGAAUUUCUAGCAUAAAAUUUGGUAUGUACAUAUAUGUGUAGUGGAACAUGGAAAAAAAUGAGAAAAUGAGAUGAAAAUGACGUGACUCGUUUUUCCGUCAACAUUAUUAUUUAAUAUCAUUAGUAAACGUUUUAGGGUGACUCUUGAACAGUUCAUCGCCAAUUCCUUUACAAAAUCAGAGGUUGAAUGGUGGAUUAGUCAAGAGGGACCAAUCUAAAAAAAAUAGUCAAUUGAAUAUUAAAGUUUGGAAAUAUUAGCCGAUGUUUCUCAUAAAUGGGUUUGUCUAGCAUUUGCAACAUUGCACAUGUUAAAUGAAUUAAAAGUGGUAAUUUUACAUUGAAAAAGAACAAUUAUUACUUUUUUGUCUUUCUUGACUGGUGUUUUGGAGAAACCGAUUAACAUGACUUUUAAAAGUAUCGGUUCUUCUAAAUUUGAUGGAGAAAAUAGAGUUUAAAGAUUUUUUAGUUGAUUUUAAUAAUAAAAUGACAAAAAAUGUUAGAGAUCGAUAGUUUGAGGAUUGAAUUGAUUGUUUAUAAAAUUUAAAACUCUCGUAUUCCUUUGUUUUGGCUAAGAACCUCGUGCAAACUCAAGAAAUAUCAACAAUCAUUUUUGGUUCAAAACGAAUGGAAAUUCUUACUUAUCCAACGAUAAAAAGAUGUGUAAAGCUACCCAUGUUAGUUAACAUCAUUUCUUUAAUAAAAAAAAAAUACUCCCUACAUAACCUAAGUAAUAACAAUGAUAGUAAACCUAAAUCUAAUCUACGAACCAAGCUUAGAAGCACAAAACUACACGCAAAAGAUAAAGAUAUAAGAGAAAUAAACACACCAAGAAAUGUUUACCCAGUUCGGUCCAACAAUGAACCUAUUAUGUGGAGCGACAUUGCUCCACUUCACUGUCAAUUAAUUCUUUACAAAGUGAUACAAAAGAGUUACAAAAAAUUAGUUUCAACGAAUUCUUCAAGAACAAACCUAAUUUAUACUCAUUUCCCAAACCUAAUCCCCAUGUAAUGAAUUAUGUAUGAUGAAUAAAGUACUAAAAAAGUUGCCUCAUGGUUUGGAAAUAUGAUGCAUAGCUAAGUUGCUUGGUGCCGAUUCGUAUUUAUCCUAAGCCAUAUUUGGAAAGUAUUUCACCAUUUCAGAAUAAAACACUUGCUUGCAAUCAAUUAGAAGAAAGUUUACAAUAUAAAUCAAUAAAUCAUGUUUUGGGUAGAGUGUCAACUUUUAUUUUAUUUGGUCCAUAGACGAAGUGGUAAGCAUGUUGAAACUCACAAAUCUGGGAGGUAUCGGGUCCCGAACCAGAGUGAAAGUGUUCAACCUAACAAUUUCGACAUUAUACAACAUCUAUAUUUGUACAAGUGUUGCGGCCUAUGGAUGUUGGCACAAGGUCUACCAUACCAUGGUGCCAUUUUCCUAGACAGUACACUGAAUAAGAUGUCCUAGAGACACAUCUUGGAGGAUACAACACAUUAUUAGCAAAUAUGCUAAAUCCAAUCCAUUUCAUGCCUCGAUUGUGACAAAUAUUGUUUAAGCUUCAUAUUCAGCUCACCUUUGAAGCUGAAAAUAAACUUCAAGUGAAACAGAAUACCUAAUCUCUGUGAUACUAUUGACAUGCAUCACAAGUAUAAAACAUUGUAUAAAGGGAAAAGGGCAACCCGGUGCACUAAAAGCUCCCGCAUACGCAGGGUCCGGGAAGGGGUCCCACCAUUAUUGGUGUAUUGUACGCAGCCUUACCCUGUUUUUUACACAAGAGGCUGUUUCCAAGACUUGAACCCGUGACCUUUCAGUCACAUGACAACAACUUUACCAGUUGCGCCAAGUAUAAAACAUUGUAUGUAAUUACAAAAUCCAAAUUGAUUCCCAAUUGAUUAUUCUGCAAAUCCAUACAUAGCUUUCACUUAUCCUUUUAGAUACAACAAUCAAAUUAAGCCAUAAUGGUCUAUCAUAAACCAAAUUUUGGUCCAAUUCAUUAAUCUCCAAGUUUUUCCUAAUAGGUUUUCUUAUAGUUUUUCUAGAUUGUUCAUUAAUCUCCAAGUGAGAUCGGCUACAUCGAUCAAAUUACACCAUAAUAUUCUAAGUCUUUCACUGAUCCCAUUAUAUAUUAUGCUAAAACGAUAAAUCUCAAAGGUUAGCAUGAUUUGCGCUACUCUGGAUCCAUUGCAAGAAGAUAAAUUUAAAUUUGUGGUUAACUCAGAAGAAAAUACACUCAACUGUUCAGACAAAGUAAAGUAACUCUCACAACAAGUACUUGUGGAUCAGUCAAGAUAAACUCAUAUAAUUACCGUGGUAAAUAUCUAUGUAGAAUUCCGCUUAUCGGGUGUCGCCAUAUAAACCAUUCCUCUAAUAAAAACUCACCUCUAUUUUUUUCAUGCUUAUUCUGGAUCAGUUCCAGAGCUCCAUCAAUCAACACUUUUCUGUAGAAACCUAGAGGAAAUGCAAUGACUUUACAUGACUGAAACUACAAUUAACCCUUGCUCAAUUGAAGUAUACAUUUACAAGUAGCAAUGGAGGUGUAAUUCCAUCCAAUAGUGGUUAAACCAUCAAUUCAAUAAUCGAUCGAUACAUUAACAUGUCUACCAAGUACCAACAUUGAACCUAAGAAAUGUUUGGUUUGAAAACCAUAAUUCAAUCCAAACGGAAAAGCAACUUUUUCUUGCUUUUACUCAAAGCAUGAUUUUCACUCACAAGGUAGUCAAUAUGGAAGUGCAUAUAGGCAGUGUCCUAGACGGUAAAACUGCAUUAGAUAAUCUAGAGUAGAGACACCUCUUAGAGAGCACACAACACAUUAUCAUUUGUGAAAUUAAAGGCUAAUCGUUGAAAUUUCUCUGCACAUUGUAGCAGCCUCGAAAUCCAAUCCACUUCAUGCCUCUAUCUGAAGUAUAGUUGACAUACAUCACAUGUAUCAUAACAUGUAAUCACAAAGACCAAAUUGAUUGCAAGUUUGCAACUUAAUUUAUCUAUAAAUACAUACAAAUAUUUCCCUGAUCCGUUUAUAUCAUAUGCCAAAACUUAAUAUCAUGAGUCAUGAGUACACAAGUGAUGGAUACAUAGGAUCCACAUCCAAAUACAAACUUGUGAGCUACUAGUUUAGUCAUUUUUCCUUCGGUAUUAUAAACAUCAAACAAACAGGAGAUCAUUGAAUAGCUUAUAUAAGUCAUGUUUUCAUUUUAGGAUGAUGCUAUCAACCUAUACCAUUGUAGGUAUUUUAGAAUUCCUAGUGAAAAACACAGUUGAAAGGGCAAUCUUCAACUUUUGUUUGAGUGAUUGAAUGUAAUUACAUGUGUCGGUAUAUUAGGAUUAUCAGACACUCAGACACACUGUUUACCUAAAGUGUUGGUGCUACGUAGGACAGCAAACUACAGUCACACAGGGUAGCAUAAAUUAUGCUCCCGCGAAUCCAUUAUGAAGGGGAAAAUAAAUCAGUUUUGUGGCUAACUUGAAGAAAAUGCACUCAACUGUUCAUACAAAGUAAAAUCUCACAAGUACAUGUGGACCAAUCAUGAUUAAUUCAAAGGAUUACCACGUUAAAUUGCUAUCUUUCAAAAAUCUAAAUCGAAUUAGGCUUAUCAGGUCUACACAUAUAAACCUUUCUAAUCAAAACUUACCUCUAUUUUUCCAUGUCUGCUUGCUAUAUUAUUUCUGGAACAGUAACAGAGUUCAAUCCAUCAACAACUUUCUGCAGCAGCCCUCAAGAAAAAGCAAUGAUAACUUUAUAAGACUGAAACUACAAGCAACCCUAGACAUCUAAACAUGGUUUGAUCCAACUGAAAAGCAAGUUUUUUUUCUUUUUGCUUUUAGUUAAAGCAUGGUUUUAAAACACUCAAAAUCAUGUUUAAAUAUAAGUCGUCCAAAUUGUUUUUGUCAAACAUAUGUUUGUGAAAAACUUCAAUUUACAAACCUCCAAAUUGAGGUUAGGAAAUGCAAGUUGCAAUCCAAAAUACAACUACAAAAUCUAAAUAUAGCAAGUCAUUGUUGAUUUGCACACUCCUUCAAUAUUGCAUUGAAAAACCAAUGAUAUUAUACAUUACAAGAUAGUUCACAUAUAAAAGAGAAUGACUGUUAUACACUUACAACGUGGAUUGUUUUUACAUGCUCAACCAAUCAAAUUACACUAUGAUGUAACAUUGUACUCUUUGUUCCUAUGUAUCUCCACAAAUAUCUAUAUAUCUUGUAUGCGAUUUGAUACAUGUAUAAAACAAAUUUCACUUCCAUAUAAAUUAUAUCCAAAGUAAACAUAGCAUAAAUGAUUAAAAUUUAAAAUACCAUAACCAAUGUCCAACUAUGAAUCCAUAAUUGGAACCCUCAAGGCAAUGCAUCAAGUCUCCCUUCAAACACAAAUCCCCUAUAGAGUCCAUCACCAUUUCCAGGCACAUUAUCAAUCCAACUCCACUCAUCUCCCUUCUCUCGACCACGAUCCCACAACGCCAACUUCCCAACCCUCUUUGCCGAGAAGCAAACCCUAUCACCAGCUCCAAACACCUUAAACUUCCCCGCCUCCUGAAAACACUUAAACAUCUCCACCGGCAUCCUCCCCGCCUCAUCCCACUCCAUCAUCCCAAGAUCAAGCCUCAAAAUCAAAAUCGUCGAACAUGGUGAAUUCAACGAAAAUGACGACUUCAAACCACCAAUCAUCAAAAUCCUAUUCCCAACCCCGCGAACUAACCGCGGCCUCUUUAAAAUAUCAAAAACAUCACCCCAUUCCUGCCGCUCUAUCCGCGACCACUUACCACUCGUGGUCGCAGAAAAGCAGCACGAAAACAAUUUCCAUUGGCUCCUCCACGGGGAGCCAACUUCACAAAGCGCGUAAGCCCAGUCCUCAAUAAGAACUGGGCUCCGUGGCUUUGACGGUAAAUUCGACGAAAAUUUCUGCCAGCUAGAAAUUUUAUCAUUGUCAUCGGAACUGCCAUGGCCAGCAAAAUAAAACGCAGCUAAUUCAGUUAAAACCAUUACUCGGUUAACUGAAUCAACUAUAACAGAACCAUGUCUACACCAAGCAGAUCCUAAAUGAGGAAGGAUCCGGAAUUUCCGGGUUAAAGGGUUACAAGCAAUAAGUGAUUUAGUUGCUUGUGUUUGAGUAUGGGCUUGGGCUUGAGAAGAAACUGGGCUGUUGUUAAUGGGCUGGGCCCAAAGGUAGAUGAGUCCAUGAGAUGAAGCAACUGGAAGAGGAGAAGAGAAAGGGAGGAAGUUGAGAGGAAAAUGAAGCCAAUGAUUUAGAUUUGGAUCAAAGAGGUGGAUGGUGGAGGAGGGAGGGUAGUGGUUGUGGUGGCGGAGGGCAAGGAGGUUGAGAGGUGGAAGAGUGGUGGAGAUGAGGUGGAGGAAGGAAGGUGUGGUGAGGAGAUUGUUGAAGAAUUUGGAAAGGGAACGGCAGAUGAUGAUUUGUUGGAGAGGUAAGGAAGAGAAGAUUUGGUGAAGUGUGUCUUGUGGAAGGUUGUAGAUUAAGGGUUCUUCUUGUUCUUGUUGUUGUUGAUGUGCCAUUUUUGUGUGGUUGUGAUUUGGUUUGUGAUUGUACUUUGGUUGUGGUGAUGAAGUUUGAUGGGAGAAUGAAUGGGUAAGGAUGCCUUAUUAUUAUUUAUUUUUUAAAAUUUCUUUACUUUUUCAAAGUUGUGGAAUGUGUAUUCUCUUUCUUUUAUUUUUGUAUGUAUUAACUUGUCGAGUUGUCUUUGGAUAUUUUGAUUGAGUCACUCAAGAUUUCAUUUUGGUGUAAACUACUCUCACCAUUUCAAAAUACAUAUCUAAUUUUUAUGAUGCGCGCUAUUCACUGGACUUAUUUUGAUCAUACUUUUUAACUAAUGUAUAAAUAUAAAUAUUAGCAUGUAAGAUAUUGUUUGAUUUGUCUCGAUAAAUAUUUUCAAAAUAUUAAAUUUUUAUAAUUUUUUACUUUAGAUAAUUAAAGAUAUUAACGAUCAAAAUUGUGUAUUGGCAUGUGUGAAGUGGUUGACUUGGACAUGUAUUUUAAAACGGAUGGAGUAUUAAAUUGGUUUUGUAAUGCGCUCUCAAAUUAGUUUCUAACUCUAUGUAUGUUUUAAACUAUUUAUUUUUUGAGAAAUGCUAAAGAGUGUUUUGGGGCAUUAGUUAAGAUGAUAAAAAUAGAAACAUUGUAUUGAGAAAUGAUUAAAAGUGAAGAAUUUAACUUUUUGAAAGUAAAAACAUUGUUGAAUUCAAUGUAAAUAUACUAUUUUUGGUUUCCUUAACCAUUGUCCUGAGGGCACCGGUUAGCAAGAACUUUUUUUUGUUUUUGUUAAAUGUUUUUUAAUUGGGUCUCUGUUUUUAUCACAUGUUAAAAACUAGUUUGAGAAUGACCUACAAAAACACGAAGUAAAUUUGUGGUUUACUCUUUUGUUUUGCUUAAAGAGAAAUGUUAAUGAGUGUCAUCGGAGCACUUUUUAAAGAUUUUAAAUAGUAAUGUUUUAUGAAAUUUUGUGAAAUUAGUGUAUUGAAAAUUGAAAAUAUUUAACAUUUUAAAAGAAUAAUUUUUUAUUUUAAAAUUAUUAAAGAGUGUCCCACAAGAGCCAUUUUUUAAUUGCGUUUACUCUUUUGUCCCUUGUUUUGGUUUAGGCGUGGGGGAGGAGUGGGGGAUAUGUCAUUGAUGAAAUGGUCCCAUACUCAAUACAAAGAGGGGGAAGAGAGAUACUAGAGUUGAAAAGUAUCAAACUCACAGGAUUAACACUAGUUAAUUACUUAGUUAUUAUUGUAAGAUAGUUAGUUAGUGUUAGUUAGUUAUACUAGUUUACUAUUUGCUGAGCUGCACAGAUAGUUAGUUGGUUUAUAUCUAACUACCUCUUGUAUUAAAGGAAACUCUUGUACACUUUUUGAUUAAUUCGUUCAAUAGGAUUUUUAUUUUCUUCCUCAUGAAUUCUGUGAAUUCUUUGAAAAAGGAGAAUAUGAAGGUUAAAAUUUGAUUGGGCUGGUUCAGACGUGUAAACGACAAACUCGAGAUUGUUCGAUUAAGAUAAGAGGGUUCAAAUUUUAACAUUAGAAAUUUAAAUAUUAAAUAAAAGUAAAAAAUGUUUGGAGAUCUUGAACAAACGACUUCGUGAUGAUGCAUGCAUACAACCUUGACUGUAUCUAAUCCAAUUAUGUUAAAAUAGAGGGAAUAGGUUAAAUCUAUGACAAGAUCAGAUGUGAAGUUGACGAAAUUACUUUGGGAAUUAUGAUUUUGGCAGGGAAAUAAAACACAUACUUUGACGCUUUAGUAAAAUCACGUCAAAAUAUUUUUGUCAAACUCACCUAAGAAUCGAGUUCAACUCUCACGGAAGGUUAAACUCACUAAUUUGUUGCAAGAGGGACAAAUGGGGAGACAAGAUCACGAGUAACACCGUUGGUUGUCGAUUGGGCGGGCUGACGGGCUCUUACAUCACAAAGCAAUCGAUGUUGCAUUUAAACUUUGAUUGGAGAAGCUUAAGGUGAGAUUGGUUGCGGGGGAGAAAGUGAGAAAAGAGAAACAUGUAAGAGAAUGUUUAAAAGAGAUAAAGAAGUGAGAAAUAGAUGAGAUUUUAGGUAUUCUUUGGUAUAAGAUUUUAGAUAAAUGAAGGUAGAAUGCACUUUUGAGUUUAAAGUUACCUAUUUUGUUGUUGUUUUACAUGCUCGCAUUACCUUAAUUACAUAUAUUGAAAAAGAAAAUGUAAUUAUUUUUUAUUGAGGGUAUAAACCAUGGUUUCUUGAUUUCUCUCAUAGCUAGUAGCAAUAAGAAGACACUAAAUCCAGUUCACAUAAGAAAAGUUUCAUAUCACACAUACAACUACUCUUCUUUCUGAUUUUCCUCCUCUAUAUAUUUGUUUUCAAACUAUGGUUCCUUGAUGAAUCUUUUUAUAGUGACUCAACUAUAACUGGAUACUUGUUCUUUGGCAUCCUCACAAGUGUUGGUUGGACAGAAUCAUCUUUCUCUAAAGCUCUCCAUCUGUUACAUCAAUUUUCAUUACACUCAUUAGACAAUUUAUUUCAAACAAGCAAAAAUGAUAACAUAAGAGAAAGGGAGUGAAAUAAAAAUAAAAAAUGGUAUAUUUAGCUGUUUUAAAAAAUUUAACAAAGUCCAAUAUUUUGAGUUUUAGUUUUUUUUUCUUUAGUUGAGGGCAACUUUGGUGCAACUGGUAAAGUUGUUGUGUUCAAGUUUUGGAAACAGACUCUUGUUUAAAAAAUAGGAUAAAGUUGCGUACAAUACACCAGAUAGUGGGACCCCUUCCCAUAACCUACGUAAGUGGGAGUUUUAGUGUACUGGGUUGCCCUUUUUAGUUUUUUGCUCAAGCGUUUUUUGCUUAAGUUCCCUAAGUGGAGGUAAUUCGAACAUAAAAUGUGGGUACGUUUUUUAGUCAGGAUUCAAAUUUUGGUUUACCACGUUGUGAAAGUACAAUCCUUUCUGUUAGACUCAACUUCCGUUAAUAUCUUAAUUUAAUUCUUAUAAAAUAAAAUUAAUUAUCAUAUUUAAUAAAUACAAGGCCACAUAUCUUACUUGUAUCUGGUGACAAGGUGAUGAAUGAAGACACAAAUUUCAACCUUAGCAAGAUUCAUUCCAGGACACAUACGUGGUCCACUACCAAAUCCAAGAAAGCUGAAAGGUCUCAAGUGUUCCUGCAUUUGAUUGAGUUAAUCAAUUUUUGUUUGCAUUUAAAUUGAAAUGUUAAUAUUAAUUAGGAGUUUUGUGACAAGAAGAUAAACUUACAUCAAAUCUAGAGGGAUUAAACUUCUCAGGAUCUGGGAAAACAUUAGGGUCAUGGUGUAUUGAAACAACAUCUAAGUUCACUGACCAUCCUUUCUUAAUUUGGUAUCCUGCAAAAUUUAACAUCAACUUUGUUGUUAUAAAAUAUUGGUCAUAAGAAAUAUUUAAAUCGCGAAUCAGAAGACCUAAUUUCCGAAUUACAGAUCGAAUAUUCUUAUGAUUAGUAAGAUUGAUUACCAACAAAAAUAUGUUAUUUUGAAGUAAAAACAAUUGACAUUGUUAAGAUUGUUAGAAUUAGCUGGUUAAUUAGGAUUAGUAAUUAGUAGUUAGUUACUCAAUUAGUAAAAUUAGAAGUUGAUUGUACCAUUGAAUCCUAUAUUAAAUAUGAUUAGUAUGUACUCGUUUCACCAUCUUUUUCAAUAUAAAUUUUUAGGGUUUUUUCUAUGUUUCAACCUAUAAAGCCUACAUCUUCGUUGAGAUGGAUCUUCAUCUCUUCGAUCCUGUUAUUUCUAAUAACUCAUAAGCUAAUGUAUCAUCUAUUUACCUAAAAAUAAUUCAAGAUUCAAGUCAUAAAUAUCACAAAAGAAAAGUGUUUGGCUAUACAAUUUUGCCAAAUAAAAUGUUUGGCUUUACUAAGUUUUUCAUUAGAAGAAAUCGGGGCACAAGAUGAGAUUCAUGUUCAAAAUAGAUACAUAUUAGUGGUUCGUAUCAAUUAGAUUUAGUUUUGUAUCGUGUCGAGAUACGAACCACAUGUACUAUCUUAGAAUGCAUAUAACAAUGAUUAACAAACUAGUAAUUAUCUACUAUAUAAUUUUGGAGUUUGACAUUAACUCGAAGCACGCAUUAUCUUUUAUUUUACAUAUAAGAGUUUGACACUGACUCUAAAAGUGCAAUUUCUUUUAUAUUUGAAUCCCUAUAUGUUAAUCUCGAACUAGAUAUAUGUCUCAUAUUUGUAUGUAAUUCAUAUAAAGAAUUAUAUCUUCAAUUAUAUAUGAAGUUAGCAAUAUUUUUUUUUGGCUUACCAUCAAUUUCAAAAUCUUGGGCUGCUUUCCUUGAAUACCAAGGUAGUAUUGUGGCUCUUCUGAGUGUUUCACUAAUCACCUGAAAAUCAAAUAAUAAAUAAUCUUAGUGAUAUGUGAAAAUUUGAAAUCACUUACAAUUAGAAACUUAUAUGUUGAUUCUCACUUUGGCUGUGUAAGGCAUGUUAUUAACUUCAGACCAUGUAAGUUCUGUUCCACUUUUUCUGUUUGCAAUAAUUUCAUUAUGUUCCUCCUGCAGCAAAAUAAAAUAAAGGACAAGUUUAGAUUAACAACUUAAUUAAUUGCUUAUCAUAUAAGCGCUUAUAUAUAAGUUUUUUUUUUUUAAUAGAAGUUCUUAAAUAUAAGUUAUUUCUAUAUAAAAAAAAAUAAAAAAUAAAGUCAGACUCUUUCAGUAUAAGCUAUAAUCUGUUAUCAAAAGCUAUCAUGGAGAGCUUAUGAAAAUAAGCUGAAAAUAGAGUAUGGACAUGCCAAACAGGCGCUUACUCUCAAUUGUUCGAGAACAUUUUGAUUUUCUUCAAGAAAUUUGAUAAGCCAUGUAAGAGCAGCAGUUGUGGUAUCAUGGCCAGCAACAAGCAGAGUUAAUACAUUGUCUUUUAAUUGUUUAUCAGUAAGUUUAUUUUCAUCUUCUUCUUGUCCAUCUGAUUUUCUGCUAUGUUUCAUAAUUAAGGACUCUAAGAAAUCCUGUUGAAAAUCUUGACCAUUUCUCCUCCUUGAAAUUACGGAAUCCAACAUGUCGUACAUCCUAUCGCGGGCCUGCACAUAAUGCAUCAAACAAAAAGAAUUGUUAAGAGUCCUGCCUACGUGUUAGUAUAGGCGUCGUGUCAGUGUUAAUGCUUUAUAGAUAUUAUAUCCAUAAAGAAGAAAAACUAAGUUACUCCUACGUGAAAAAUAUAUCGGAUUUGUAUUAAUAUUUAGUCAAUUUGAAUUGCUUUGUUACCUUGAUACCGCGAUGAAAAGCUGUCCCGGGAAGUUUAAAAGGCAAUGAAGCAAAUGAAGAAGAAAUGAUCUUGAAGUUUGACCUAAACUUUUCUUGAUCCUCUCCGGUAGGUUCUAAGCUCAUGAUCAUGUGUCCAAUCACUUUAAGUGUAAACUACAAUGUUCAAGAGACUUACUUAGCAUGAAAUAAAAUGUAUAAGAAUUUGAAACUUUCAAUGUUUGAUAUUCACAUCGAAUCAGGUUUGUUGUAGUCGGCAAUCUGACGCAUUCAUGCAGUUGACCUAUCUUUGGUCGUUGAUCAAGAUCGAACAGUUCAGAUUUUAAACUCAGUAUUCUUUAUUUUUAAAAUAAAAAAUAUCAAAAUCUACAUGAAGAUUUGAUUCGUCUAAUCUAAAUCCAACGACCACAGUUAUACUGACCGCUUGAAUGCGUCAAAUUUCCGACCGCAAGGAAUCAAAUUUCAUUCUUAUCUUGUGGCACUCAACUGUAGAAGCCUCUUCAAGAACAUGUACUUUCUUUCCUUCCCAUUGAUCUAAUGUUACAAUUGCUUGAGUAUUAAUAAAAUGGAAAUAUUUUUUGAGACCAUCUAAUGACAAAGGUUCAGCAAUUAGUCUUCUAAGCCUUUUGUGUGCUUCACCAGUGGUUUGAAGCAAGCUGGUGGGCCCCAGAACUUGUUGGCCAGUGUAAAACAAGUUUAAACUCACAAGUCCAUCUUUCCCAGUUAACAAUAUCUUACUUGCUUCUCUACCAGUCAUGAAGACCGUGAAUCUUCCUAAAACAAAGCUCUUGAAAACCUUUCCAUAUCUGCAAGAAAAUAAAUACAAUCAUAGUUAAAUAAAAUCAUUGAAACUCUUGAGUACCUAGUAUAUAAUGUAGGUUAGUCUGACACGUGUCGAUGUCAGACUAAAAACAUGGAAAUGGAUUCUCUAAAAUCAGUGGUAACUUAGUCUGACACGUGUCGAUGUCUAGCUACCCAACUCCUUAUUUGAUUUUGGCCUCUCUAUUGAGCGACAUUGACACGACACAUGUUAAAAUUAAUAACUCAACUGCCUCAAAUAUUCAUCGAAGAUAACAUGUCACUGCCAGUGUCGUGUCAAGAGACGUCUGUGUUUGCGUUAGUGUUUUAUAGUUGAUUGCUGACUACACUUAACGAAGUCCCAAAAGUAAACAAUUUUAUGUUUUAACAUGAACUAAAAAUUAAAAAAUUCUAUAUAAAGUAAAGUUGAAAUAUUGUGAUUCUACAGGGUCCAAAAAUAUAUUUAAUAUUUUUUUGUGUGGUGGUCGGGGUUCGAACCCCAGACACUGCAUAUAUUAUGCAUUGUCCCUAUCAACUGAGAGCUAAACUCACGAGGACAAACAUAUUUAGCCUUUAAUAAGUUAUACAAAGUUCAAAGUUUUGAUGAUUUAGUUACCUCUUUUGUCUAUUGUUCAUGAAGCUAAAGAUUCCAGAUGGACUUGAAAAAUCAGAGAUGAAUUUGAGACUCUCUCCAAUAAUAGGCCAACCUAGAUUACCAGGAAUACCUUCCAUUUCUUUAGGAGAUCUUGUCAAAUACAUCAACAAUAGAAUUGAUAACACUACCAAGAAAAAGAUCAAAGAGAGGAUCCAACAAAGUAACAUAUUAAUCAACCCCAUUAUCAACUAGCAAAGAACACUAAUAGUUGAUUAAAUCAACACUUGUUAUAUAUAUAACAAAGUGCUUAAGACAUAUGUUACAAAUUUAAGACUCUGCCUAGUAUUUAUAUUUUAUUUUAUAGUAUGAUUAUAUUUUUUUUUUAACUUAUAGUAUGAUUACAUUUAUAAUUUAUUAUGCUGCAGGCCAAUGGUAUAUAGUGAAAGACGAAAAUUACCUGUGUAAGCGAUCAUUUUGAGGCAGUAAAUAAAAAAUAAUUAUUUGGUAUAAUCUAUAACUUCAAUGUUCUUGUUAGUAUCAUGAUGUUAAUCAAUAAGAUGACACAAAUCUUGGUGAAUUAAGGUAUGUUUGUGUCCAACAAUAAAGACUAGUUACACGAUGCAAUUGUGAUUUAUUCAAAAAUUAACAAUGUUUCAUUAAAUAUAUUUUUUUUAUGUGUACCCCAUGUUUGUGACAUAAGUUAAUCUAUUCAUGCAUUUAAUUUAUGUUAUGACAUUUGUGAAACAAACAUAGAUCCUAUUUGCCGUCCGUAUAGACCAAUGUCUUGCAUGACAAUUUUCUUGUAUUAUAUUAAUACAAAAAUAUUUCAAUGACACAUUUUUUUCUAUCUUUGACACAUAUUAAUACAAAAAUUAUAAGAGGACUAAUUUGACUUGUUUUUUCAAAUUUAGGAUUCUUAAACAAAACUAGGGUUGGAAAUAUGCUAGCCGCUCGAUAGAAAAUUAUGACAUUAUUUGUCUGAUGUCAAGGCAGUCUUUUGUUUUUAAUCAAACAAUAAUGUCAAAAGGCUUAGAUAUAUUUAAGAAAACAUGAUAGUUAUAUGUAUAUUUUUGUUUUCAUUUUUCAUGAAAUAGAUUGUUAAUUUCAAUAUGGAUACCAAAAGUUUUCAUUUUUCAUGAUCGUAUCACAACCCUCAGACGGCACGCUGCGACUCACACUAGAUUGUCCGCAAACACGUAACUAUAAGGGUCCACAAUCAGCUGAAAUAUGUUUUUUCUCAUUCGGCUAAACCUUUAGGCUCUUCUAAAACUCCUUACCGGCUUAAGCAUUAGAGUCCUUGCAAAUUCAUCACCCCUUCCAAUGAGCAAUUGUCGUAAUCCACCGCAUCCGAAAUCUUAAAACACAGAAUCUUAAGCAGUUGUAUUCUAAAUCAGUUUCGGACUCAGAAUCUUAAAACAAAGGCAAUAAAAAGAAGAUCCUUUAACUUCAAACAUUUACAACAUGUUAUGUGGUUCCAUAACCACCAUCUAUAAUCAACUAGUUCUUCUAAAUCUUUAUGUUAACUAUGUUUUCACCAGAGAACUGUAACACAAAUUCAAAGGGUGAACACUUCUAACCUAUAAAACUGCAGAAAGUACAAAAUAAUAGGACAUGUUUCUACCUUAAACUGUAGAAGAUACAUAAAACAUCAUAGGAUUAAGGACACUGAUAUAUGUAAUACAGACAUAUUUAUACAACAUGUUACUUGGGAUGAAUAUAUUCUGUAACCAAAUCAUUUACAUUGAUGUUGUAUACGAGCUACUUUUGGUAAUUGAAGUCCAUGAAGUUAGAGCGGCCACGACCGUUGAAGGGUUGAUCAGAACGAGAAGGCGGCAUGCCAGGUUGUGUCUGCUGGGGUUGAGGAUUACUCAUCUGUUGCAUGGUUAAUUGUGUAGCAAAUUGCGAGAACAUCCCGUUGAAUGAAGGAUUACCGGCUACGGCAGUCAAAUGAUUCUUUUGUGCCCUAAGGCGUUGAAGUUCUUUCUUCAAUGCUUCAUUUAGAUCUGCAAUCACAAAGUGUAGCCAUGUUCAUAUUUAAAUGGUCAAACUUAAUAACAAGCAAAAGUGUUAUUUGCAAAUGGUCAAAUUUCAAGCAAUGAUAUUUCUUUGGAAUUAAUUUUCAUUUCAACAAAAUAUACACCGAUUUAUAUCACAAAAGCAACUAAUUUUUUUUUUUUUUUAAGAAGCUAAAUUAUCCCAUCUAAAUUGACACUGGAGAGAAUCGAACCUGAGACCUCGAGAGGGAGCACACUCCCAGGUCCCAAGUCAAUACCACCAGGCCAACCUAAGUGGGUUUAAAAGCAACUAAAUUAAGUAUGACAUUGUCAUCAAAUAAGUUGUUACAUAAGAAUCUCGCUUGUAAAAUCAUCCUUAAAUACAUUAGAUAGGGAAAAAUCGGAUAUUUUCAAAACUAAGGGUCCAAAACCGUACAUGAGGCAAAAUAGCAGGACCAAAGCUGUAUUUAAGCCAACUUUUUUAGCAUAGUUUUAGAAAGAGGUAACAUUGACAUUAAUGAAGAUUCAUGAAAUCUUGUUCACACAACAAACAAGUGUAACAAAUGACUCAGCCUUUUUGUUGGUCCAAUUCAAUGAGAUGUGAUAAAGGGGGAAACACAAAUCUACUUUUCAUGCAUCAAGAAAUAUGAAACGAUAUAUACCUUCUCUAAGCUGUGCUUGUUGCUCGAAGGCAUCUAACUUCAUUUUGAGCUCCUUAUUCUGAGCAGUCAAAUCAGUAGUGUCUCUCUGCAUCGUACGAUUUAAUGAUUAGUUCGUUCCUUGGUAGCACAUUAUGUCAAGUGCACACAAAUUGAAAUUACUAAAAACAGAAUCAUGCGAGCGACAUAAUAUUUAAAUUAAUUCGGUCAAUAAAAAUUUACAUCAGAAGAGGAUAUCUGAUGAGUUGGAAUGGUGGGGACCACCCAUCCAUCUAACAAUCACAUGAAAAGGCAAUAAUUAUGUUUUGAGUCUGUAAUCCAACAAACCAAGGGGACCAUGUGGGUUGGAUGCCUGGAUAAUUACCACUUCACUCAAAAAUAUCUGUCUUAAGAUUGGUUAAUAUCAAAUCGAAAUUCAAAUCGUGAAUCAGAACAUCUAUUUUACAAAUCGUGAAUCUAAUAUUAUGGAACAAUGCAUGCCAAUCUCUCCCGAUAUUAUGGAAGAAAGCCCUCUAACCAGUGAAGCACGGACACUUUUUGGAUUAGGGGUGUCCCGGUGCCGGACACACGUCGGUGUCGGACACGACACCUAUGAUUACACUGAAUUAUGUCAUUUUCUCUAAUUAUUAUCCGUGUCAUGUCCGUGUCUGUGUCCGUGCUUCAUAGCCUCUAACAUAGUCACUAGUCAAAAAACUCAAAGGAACAAAGAAGACCACUGUAUUCCAUAGAAGUAAUUACUAAAUGGAAUAAUCCUCGAGAAUUCCGACAUUUCUCACCUUUUUAGUUGUCGUUUUAAGGUUAUUUAACAAACCAAGAAAAUUAUUAAAUUUUGUUGAAUUAUUUGUCUUUUUCCUAUUAUAGCCUAAACUAUUUAUCAUCUCAUAUCACUUAUUUCUCUCUCAAUAAUAAAUAUUUAAGGGUGUUUUUGACAAAAUUAAUAGUUAGUGUUGUAAUGAACCUUGAAAAAGACAAAUAAAUAGGAACAAAAAUUAUUCUACUGAAGUGACGGUAAAAGGACCAGAGGGAGCACUCAAAGAAUCUUGUCAUCUUCACUCAUCACAACACCACACAAUUGGCAUAUAAAAUGAUUCUCUGAACUGAACUCAACCAAAAAUCCCUCAAACACACUUAAGAUUAUGCACCAGUAAAAUCUUGCAUUUGUAAACUGUAAUAAAGCCAGAAUAACAUAAAUCCUAACAACAAGAUACUCUGAUAAAUUUAUGGAGCAAUCAUGUCAUCUAUCUAUGCAAAGAUAUGAAUCCAGUAGCAUCCACUAAAGUUAGUUGUUAAAUAAAUUUGAUUUUAUUUCCAAAAACUAAGCACUCAUGUUUCUGCACCUUGGAAAGGAGUGCCGCCAUAUUAUGUAUCAGAAAAUAAACCAACCUACUUCAAUGAUGUAAAACGGUUUAAGAAAAAUCUUAUACCAUAUGGUGAAGGCUCGAUUUAUAUUUAUGCAUGAAAAUAAUGAGAUCACUGCACACUGUAUUACACACUGCAGGACAUCUUUUAGUUAGGAAAACAUGGAUAGUGACAGCAUCAAAAACCGAUUUUCUGUAAGCAUGAAUGCAUAGCAUAAUCGAGGAAAAUAGGAUUGGAUGGACUUUAGAAAGAAAGAAAAAAACCUCCUUUUUAUCCUGGCUUAGGACCAUCUAUGUAAAAUUUUGUGGAAAUACAAGCACAAAAUUGGCAGAGCUCACAAAAGAGUUGCUUAUAGUGAAAUUACUUUGAAAACGUAGAAAAUAACAUAAUUCAAUGUAAUCGUAUGUGUCGAUGUUAAACACCGACACAUGUUCGGCACCGGGACACGCCUAACCUGAGGAGUGUUCGUGCUUCAUAGGUUGUAACGCAAAAUAUAUAGGAUGUAAUAGAGUAAUUAAAUUUAAUUUCACCAAACUAUAUAUUUAUAUGUAUGUAUAUGUGUAGAUAUAUACACACAUAUAUCCAUAUAGACAUAAAUACCUACCUAGUACCUAUACACAUGCAUACAUGCAUAUCCUUGCUAUUAUGUAGGUUCCAUAAACAGUUGUGACCACACAACUCAAAAUCAGACAGAAAUAAAUCUACAUCAUUGUUAAAGAUGGAGGGUUCCAUCAACCACCAACAAAAACAUGUUCCAAACAAAUUCACCUCUAUUCAUUGAAAGCUACAAUUCAGAACAGUGAAAUGAAAAGGAAAUAACAUACCUGAAGGGUUGUAAGUUGCGCAGAGAGGUUAGUUGCUUCAGUUUGAAGUGUUUGCACUUUCCUCUCCAGCUCACUUGUAUAUCGAGUUUUCCUCUCUUUUGAUCGUGCAGCGGAUUGCCUAUUAGCAAGAAUCCUGCAAAACAAAAACAUUUUAAGGAACAAACCAAACCCUUCAUUUUUUUUUUCUUUCCAUUAUUACAAAAAAUCAUGUUAAAUCAGACAACUAGAAAGCAUGUUAUUAUUAGAAACAAUUAUCUAAAAUGAUCUGUUACGAAAUAAAACAUACAGAAAAUUAAAAAUCAAAUCUAUGACAAGAUCAAAUCCAAAAACACAAUUCGUUUUAGUCUUUGACCAGAAAUUCCAUUUGUGCAAGAUUAACAUCCCUAAUUCAAACGUCUGAACUUAGAACCAAUCAUAAACACAUACAAUUUUCUUCUUUUUUUACAAAACCAUCGAAAUUAGAGUAUUUGACACCCAGAUGCUCCUCAGAGUAUCCCGCCAAACUUCAGUAUGAGACUAAUCUCUCUUCUAAGAUCACAUGGAUUAGGUAAAGAUACAAUUUAGGGUGUUGGCACUCAGAUGCUUAUCUGAGUAUCCAACAAACUUUGCUACAAGACUAAAUCAAACAUUGGUCCUCCGCUACCACAAACUAAGUGUUGUUAACCAACUGAAUCACACGGAUUGGGUAAACACACAACAACAACCAAACCUUAACUAAAUACAUGAGAUCGACCAUAUGGAUCAAACGACACCAUAAUUUUCUAUCAUAUACCAUUUCUAACCAACACAUAAGUUCUAGAUAUUUCUUAAUUGUUUCUCUUGUAGUUUUUCUACGUCCACCCCAACCCCAGUGAUUUGACUACCCUUCAUCUGAUAUACUAUAGUUCCUAGAGAAUCUACAUGUCCAAAGUCCAAACCACCUAACCCAAUCAUAAACACAUACAAUUGUUUUUUUUUAGGAACCAUCGUAAUAACGGUCUUUGGCACCAGAGACUCCUCAGAGUAUCCCCACAACCCUCAACCCACCCACCAACUACAAACUCAAUUUUGCCUAACCAACGGAGUCACACUAAGUCACACAUAUUAACUAAACAAUAACAAUCAAGUCUUAUCCUACUAUCUCAGGUCAGCUACAAGGGUCAAACACCGUCAUAAUAUUCUAUCAUAUAUCAUAUACCACAUAUUCAUUGAACUUCUAUAGAAUCUAAUUAAAAACUAAAUAUUAUUUUUUUUCAUAAAAAGAAAAACAAGAACCUUAAAUUUAGAAGAUAAAUAUAAUAAAUUUCUUUCAAAAUUAACUUCAAAGAACAUUAAAAAAAAAUAAAAAAAAAAAAAAAAAAAAAGUGAAUUUGCUUGUGAUGGUGAUGAUGAUAAACCUUUUAGCUCUCUUAGGAUCAAUAAGAGCAAGUUCAGCAAGUUUCUCAGCUGGCAUAGAUUUCUUCACACCAUCACCAACCUCAAACAACCCCAUCUCAGACCCAUCCAUCGAACUACUAUACCUAUGUCUACUCACCUUCCUCUCUUCAACCUUUUCCCCUUCACCACCAAACCCUAACCCAUCAAAAAACUCAGAAUCCACAGAUAAACUCCUAAGAUGCCGUCCCUCUGACGCUGACUUCCCGAUGGACUCAUCAGAGUCCAUCGGGACAGCGUCAGGGGACAGAAGAGGGAGGUUGGAGAUAUCGAAGUCGGAAGGGUCAAAGGUGAGAAGAUCGUCGAAGUUUGCUGCGAAACGGAAGGUGGUGUCUGAGUGUGAACGGCGGUGGUGGGUCCCACGUGAUGGUGGCAUGGUUUCUAAGUCAAUUAUGACUGGUGGUGGUUUUCUUGUGAAGUUGUUUUGUUCCAUUGAAACUAAAAAUAAUGAUUUGUUUUUUUUUUUUUGGGAUAUUAAGGUUUGUUUUGUUGUUUUUUGAGUUUGUGUUUGUGUUGGAACUUGAAAGUGGCGGUGGUGGUUGAAGUGGAGAGAGAGAGAGAGAGAGAGAGAGAGAGAGUUUUUUCAGGUGGUUGGAUGAGUUAGAGUUAGUGAGAAGGGAAAUUGACUUUGGUUUUGUUUACCUAAAGUUGAGGAAAUUGUCUUUAGUCAUCAUUAGAUUAGACUAAAGAGUGUCAUUAGGGUUGAGAUUAUGGUUUGAUUGGAUGUUAGUGACGGCAAUGGCCAAUAAUUUUUGGUGUUGAUUAAACAAUGGUCAAUAAUUGAAAUGGCUAAAUAUGAAAAUUGAAGGGUUAAUAGGCAUAUACCCCUGUAAUAUAAGUCAUUUUUGGUUUUCCCCUUGUAAAAUAUUUUUUUGUUUUGAAAAACCCACCUAGGUUAGCUGACUGUGCAUUUUCGCUGAUGAGGCACGCUGACUGUAUAAUUUUUAUUAUUUAUUAUUUUUUUAUUGUGCACACGUGGCAUUUGUGAUUAUUUUAAAAAAAAAUGAAAAAAAAUUGAUAAAAAUUCUGGAAAAAAAUUUAAAAUAAAAAAAACGAAAAAAAAUCUAGAAAAAUUUAUAAAAAUGAAAAAAAUAUGAUAAAAUACCGCAAAAAUAAAAAAAAAUCUGGAAAAAAUAAAAAAAUUCUCAUAAAAUGAAAAAUAAUGAAAAAAAUAAAAAAAAUCAAUAUGUAUCGAAAUGCCACGUGUACACAAUAAAAAAAUGAAAAUUACACAGUCAGCACGCCACGUCAUCAGAAAAUGGUGACUCACCGUGCCACAUCAGCGGAAAUGCACAGUCAGCUGGCCUAGGGGGGUUUUCCAAAACAAAAAAAAAUUACAAGGACGGAAUCUGACAAAAAAAAUUUACAGGGGAGAAAACCAAAAGUGACAUAUAUUGCAGGGGGGUAAAGACCUAUUAACCCAAAAUUAAAAAUGAUACUCGACGAGGGUGUUUUUGCUUCUUGCAGUUACUCAACGAGAAUAAUAUUUGCCGAUUCAAAAAAAAAUGAUACUCAUUUUGGUCGCAUUUAUAAACCACUUUUGUUUUUUUGAUUCAUUAAAUAAACUUCAUUUGAUCCUUAUUAUAAAAAAUAAUUGAUUUUUUAGGUUAAUUGAAUAAUUAACAUCUCAUUAUAAAUAUAAAUUAGAUACAUCAUUUACACAAUGAACCUAAAAAAUCAAUUAUUUCUUGUAAUAAGGAUUUGAGAGAGUAUAUCUAAACUAUAAUAUAAUUUAAUUACAUCACUUAUUCAAUGAAUUUGAAAAAAUAAAAUUUUAUUAUAAAUGUUAUGGGAAGAAGUAAGAAGUUAUUUCACAUUUGUGCUAAUAUUAUUUUGAGGGGGAGAUGUAACUUUGUAAUGGUUCUUCCUACCAUAAUAUUUGUAUAGUUGUAUGUGAUGUUUAUAAAGUAUAUUCAAAAGAGAAAUAGCAUAAUUUUUUUUUAGCAAAAUUACACUUUUAGUCUUUUAACUUAAUUUUAGGUAACAGUUUGAUCCUUUAUCUUUUUUUUAUUUCAAUUCGAUCCUUUUUGUCCAUUUUCAUAUGAAUUUUUAAGCUUAAAAUUCAUGAUUUUGUUUUCUUAUUGUCUUUCAGUCUUCAAAUCUAUGAAUCCUCGUCUAUGUUUACAUAAGAAUAUUAGAUUUGAAGCAUGAAAAUGUAUAUGAAAAUGGACAAAAAUGAUCAAAUUGAAAUGAAAAAAAGAUAAAGGACCAAACUGUUACCUGAAAUUAAGUUAAGAGACUAAAAGUGUAAUUCUGCCAAAUCUUUUAUUAAAAUACCAUAACCAAUGUCCAAUUAUGAAUCGUUAAUUGGAACCACCAAGGCAGUGCAUCUAAUCUCCCUUCAAAAUAAUGUUAUAUAAGUGUGUUUAGAAAUGUAUACUAUUUAUUUAUAUUUGGUCUUGUGAUCAUAUAAUAAUAAUUCACACCAAGAUGAUUCUAAGCGGGAAGGAUUAAUGAAUGAAAAUUGCUUUUCUCCCAUAAAAAAAACACUCGCUCCCAACUGAAAAGACCAUACUACCCCCGUAUGACAAGUCAUUGAAUAAUUGAAUUGAGUUUUAGAAGUUUUUCUCAAUCACAUAACAAUUAUCAAUUCAUCUAAUCAAUCAACAUAUAUCAAAUUAUAUUGCAAGAAAUAAAGAGAAAGGAGAAUAGGACACCAAAUUUGUAGACGUUCCCCUAAUCGUCCUGGCUAUUAAGUAUGUCAUCUCUUCGUAGAAUAAAACUUAUCUUCUACACGCUUCCACUAUAAUGUUGAAAAUGUUUACAAGAGCCAAUUACAAAGGUUCCUUAAAUUUAUGAAUCAACCCUGUCCUAAAUCUUAUACAAUAAGUAAUCACUCCAAAGCCUCAUUGAAAUUUGAUAAUCACAAAUGUCUUCGAAUCUCAAGCUUGCAGUCAAUCCAUCAAUCUUCUUAACAAAGAAUUCUUCUUUGUUAUUGCUUCGCUUCGAUCCCAUUGAACUUUGAUUGUUUGAGAAACAACCCCAACGAUCACCUUUGGAAGUGAAAAGUACCUCCUUUUCCAUUAGAUCCUUGAUGGUCCACUAAAAUUCUUCAAAGAAACCAAACUUAUAAUUAUCAUAUAGCACCCUAACAAUCUUUAUCUCAAAUCGUACGAGUCUUCUUAGAAAAAGUGUUAAAUUUGAAGAAGUUUGUAGAGAGAGAGAGAGAGAGAGAGAGAGAGAAGACUUUAAAGUGUUUUUGUAAUUUGAUUCAAUGAGUAAUAGAAUGAGUUUAGUCAAGUAUAUAUAGGUGAGUGAUAUAUGAACAAGUAGAGCUUUAAAUAAAGCUGAAAAGGUGUGUUUGAUUCGAAUCAACAAUAUCAUGAAUUGAAUCAAUAAUGUAUUUUCUAAAUUCUGGGUUGUUAUGAAGAUUAAGUAGAUAACCAUGAAAUGUGAUUCGAUUCACUGAUUUCAAGAUGAAGAUUUAUACAAAUCAUCAUAAUUUUGAUUUGAAUCCAACUAUAGAGGGGAAAAUGAAUCGAUUCAAAUGGCUUUAGUAAAACAUUGAUUCAAAUCAAAUUGAUUAAAAACAUAGUUCCAUGGAAAAGAUAUGAAUCGAUUCAAACAAGUUAGUAAAAAAUAUUGAAUCAGAAUCAGAAUUUUCGAAAAAAGAAUUUUUAAAGCCUAAAUGUCAUUAGGAAAAUUAAGUUUCCAUUUUCUAGUUGGCCCCUUUUAAACUAGAAUGCAUUUUGAUUUGUUAUCAAGAUUCUCCCAUAUUCUUUGAUCAUGAAUAUCAAAAUGAUGAAUUUUUUUUUCGCAAUCAUCACCAAGAUUUUUAAUAUUAUAUGCAUUUGACAUAUCUUUAGGAACACUUGAAUUAUCAUCAAUUUUCUCAUUUCAUUUUCAUGAUCUGAAUUUUUCAAGUUUUUCUGUGUGUCACUUGGUAGGGAAAUAUAGGGCUGAAAACACUUAAUUGGGGACGGGUGGUGGUGGGUGGGUGUGUGGGUGUUAUAUAGCAAUGAUAUCAUCAGGACUGAAAACUUUGUUCAUGUUUGGGCCUCCUAGUUUGAUUUUCUAUAUACACCCCUUAUAAAACAUGUUUUUCUAUGUGCAGUCCCCUAUAAAAUGAUUUUUUUUGUCCCUAUAAACCUCCCGAGCCUAUGCUCAAAGUCGACCUUGUCAUCUACUUUUUUUUUUGUUUAAGAAGAUAAAUUAACCCAACUAAAUUAACAUCAGAGAGAAUUGAACCUGAAACCUUAACAAAAUCAUGGUAAAAUUUCAAGUCAACCCAAAUGGGUUCCCCUUGUCAUUCACUUCUGUGUUAUGCUUAUGUACUUUUUAUUCCUAGGAAUAGGAUUUACUCACAUUUUCAUGGAAAUAAGAGAUAACUUUCCAUUACCACAUCAUUUGAACACAUUAAUUUUAUUUUUUUUAUAGAUUAAAUCAUUUUUUUGAAAGUUUUAGAUUAAAUCAUUUGAAAAUAUUUUUUGGAAACUAAAUUAGUUACCAAACACAUAGAUAGGAUUCAAAUUCCUAGUAAUCAUGUUACAAGAAAUGAUACUCCUAAGAUUGUGAUUAACUUUCGAAAAAACACACCUUAAUUAAGAUUUUUGGUGAAUAUAUGAUGUUCAAAGUGUCCAACCGUGUAAGGCUACCACUCGUGGUUCAAGUCCCACAUCAAGACAUCAACCCAAUAAGAAACUGAAAUCAAAUCAAUCAAAUUAUACUAAAAGCAUACACAAACAAUUUCCGAACUAAAAGAAAAUCUGUUGCGGUAUACAAUAGUUAAAUUUGCGAUUGCAUUUGCAUUUAUUAGUGGAUAAAAAGUGGGAAAUGUUUUAAAUAUUCCCCAUGCUUGUUCUUGAAUAUGCUAAUGGAUAUGAGGCAUUCUGUAACACAUUGGCACAGUUGCUGGGAAAAACAUUUGCCUUAUUCCUUCAGCCUUGAUAAUGGGGAAAAUGAUACCCAAUGCAACCUGCAAUAUCAUAAAAAAAAAUAUUUACACUAAAAUUUUGCUUCACCAUGUCAAUAUCAAUAAAAUUAAAGCAAGAAUAUAUAUAUAUAUAUAUAUAUAUAUAUAUAUAUAUAUAUAUAUAUAUAUAUAUAUAUAUAUAUAUAUAUAUAUAUGUAAGUUUACUAACUUAGACGUAAUUGUGGUAUGCAGAUAAGACGGUGUUAGUUAUAACUAACUUGAUCAUAGGAUUUACUUGUUAGUCAAGUAACCAUGGUUAAUUAAAGCUUUGCAUUGUUUAUAUAAGGAGAACACUAGAAUACAAUUGUAAGGUGUGUGUGACUCAUUGUUGAUCACAUUCCACAAGAGAAUAAAAUUUUCACAUUGAAUUUCCAUUUUUCAUUCUCUUCUCACUUAUUUUUGUUUUCUCUCUUCUCUUCUUUUCACUUUGUUUUCUUGAAUCACGUGAGUUUUAUCACAAAUUAGAAGCGUAUCUCAACACGAUCUGCAUUUUAAAUUUUUUUCUAAAAUAUUGAUUUUAUAUGUUUAAGCUAAAAGGAAAUGAAAAGUACUCACAAAAAUGAAUCGAGCUCCAAGCCAAAUUCUUUUUGGAGAAGGAAAUGGCAUCAUUAGACGAACUAGACCAUAUGUAGCAACACCAAUGAAAUGGUAAAGCAAACUCAAUGGACGAGAAUUUAGCCCUGCGAGUAGAGCUAUUGGUCCAUCUGAGAAAUCACCUCCAAGGCUUAAAUAAUCGAAACAUGCUUCACGCAUUUCCUUUCUAGCUGGAUCUGGAGAUACACAAAUUACUGUAUGCAAUAAACCAGCUAAUGUGUUUACUGUUGAUGACAAUGGCUGAAAAUUAAAUCAAGUAAAGAAGUGAGUUUUGCAAUAAUAUACGACAAAAUUGUUUCAUAUAAACCUUCCAAAUGAUCCAUGGAAGCUUACAAUAUUUUUAGUACGAAAAUAAUAAAUAGUAGGAAAAAAAAAGAGUGAGGGACGAAAAAUCCUACAAUAGCAAUAUUUGAAGAGCGAAAAAUACACAAUAACGAGUGUCUUUAGGACACUCUUGAACAACCUUUAAAUAAUAAAUUUUAAUCAAAAUUGAUGUAUUCAAAUACAUUGGAAAUUGAACAUUUUAAUUUUUCCUAUAAACAUUUUCUUAAUUAAGAAUUUUUAAAAAAUAUUGUUAAGGCACUCGUUAGCAAAACCCUAACUUUUAUAUUUGCAAGAUACUUACCUUGCGUAGGGUGUAGAAUGGCUCAAGGUAUUUGCAAAGAGUAGAAACAUCACUUAGGUUAUGUAGAGGUUUAAGUAAAUUUCUUAGCAAAACAAUGUCAGACAAAGCCACAGUCAUUCCUCCUCCUGUUAAAGGAUGACGCAUAUUGAAGGCAUCUCCCAUCAUUAAAGCCCCAGGAGUGACAUAUGGUGUGGCAGGCAUACUUCUAUUGGGCAUGACUCUUAUGUUUCUUUUGUCAACAGCUGCGAUAAAAGAAUUAUACAACUCUGGAGGAAUCUGAACAUAAAGUUAGUUCCAUCUUUUAGUAAAAGAAAUAUUAAACAUAAAUUUAUUGAAAAUAUAAAUCCCACAUCAGAUAAAAAGUUAGACUAAGAGUUUAUAAAGCAAGAUGAGGUAAAAGACCAAUAGGUGUAGAUCAUUAGAAUCAUGGUAGUCUAAGCAUUGUUGUUAAAAUCAUGAUUUAAAUCUUAAAAUUCAGUAUUUUGCGACUUUAUUCACUUUCAUGGAUUUAAAUCCAUUGCAAAAUCCCAAAACAGAUAAAAUCCUAGAAAAAUAGCAUCAAAAUCGAAUAAAAUCGUGAAACACAUGCAAAAUUGAAGGAUUUUACAGGAUUUUGUCCAUUUUUUUAUUUUUAUAAUUUUGACCCAAUUUUUCAAUUGACCUGAUUUGUACCCGUGAUCCAGUUCUAUAAAUACAUAAAAACCUUUUUUUUUUUAAUUCUUUUAGAUCACAUUGCCUCUUCACCGCACAUACAGUUCAAAACGUAUGGUGUAAUUUAUUGAUUAGGGUAAUUUAAUUAAAAAUAUUUCAAUAAUUUGAACCACGGCCUCACUGUUUCAUUUGUUUUUUUUAUACCACUUUUGUUUAAUCACAAUUGUAAUACCCUUUAAGGGUUGAUUAUGUGGUUGCUGGGUCAGGUUCACGCCCCCUCAACUUUUGUACUUCCUUUUUAUUUUAUAUAUUUUCUUUUGCUAAAAAAAUUAUUUCAAUCAUUUGUGGGAUAGACGAAUAAUAUUUUAGGGAUCGGAGGUAAAUUAAAUUAUUUGACUUUUGGAACGAUGAACGUUCUCUGUGUUUUGGCAAACUCAAAUGUUCCAAAAGGGUGGGAGACUGAAGGAAGAUUGAGUGGCAUUCGUUUGUAUGUAAUUUUACUGGCAGCAACGUUGACACCGACAUCUGGUCUUUGAAGGAUUUUGGAGGAUAAGGAGGAUGAGGACCCAUAUUUACCUGUGUUGGUUGUACAAGGAUCAAAUUUAAAGGAGUAUGAAGCAACUCAUCUUUUUUGUUUGUAAAAGGUGGCAUGGAUAUCACAAACAAUGACGGAUAAUCAGACUAUUGGUAAAAUUGCGGAAAUUAAAAUUGUGAUGGUAAUGAUACUGUUGCUAGGGAGAGGGUUAUGUGUGAUCAAUGAUUGUGAAACCUUUAAUAUAAAAGGUUUGGCGGGUCAAGCAAAGCAAAAUAUAAUCAUGGAGUUGGUAAAUAACAAAAGGUGGAUUUCUUGACAAUUCAAGAAACAAAAAUUAAGGUGAUUUCAAAUCAUAUAUGUUAUAAUAUAUAGAGAAGUGAUGAUUGUGAUUGGACGUUUAUUCCUUAUGUCGGUAUUAUCGGUGGAAUUAUUUCUAUUUGGAACAAGUCGAACUCGAAGCUCGAUUUGGGGGUGUGUCUAGAUUAGGAUAUCCAUGGUAAAAAAAUGUUUUGUUUUAAAAAUUUAUGCUAAAUGUGACUUAUAAAGGGAAGAGAAGAUUGUGGGAAGUAUAGUGGAGGCUAGAAGGGUUGUAAGGGAAGGAGAGUGGUUGAUCUUAGAGAUUUUAAUUAGGUGUGUGGAAGGGAUGAGAUAAGAGGGGUAAACGUGAGGAGCAUUCGUAGGACAAAUUUAGAGAUAAAUUUAUUCAAUAAUAUUUUGGACGAGGUGGCAU